rnacentral:lncRNA from 1 species
CGGACAAGCCGCCGGCGUGCCCGCCGUACUGCUGGUAUGGGCUGCCGCCGCCGUACCACUGCCCCUGCAGCGCCGAGGAGGACCCCAACUCGUGCGUCAUCUGCUAAAAUCAGCGCGCGCCGCCGAUUCCCUCCUCUGUAUAUUUUGUAGCUGGCCGUGUGCUGCGCUGCCGAUCGAUCAUGCCUUCGACGGUGAUCGACGGCGCACGCUAUACAUAAGGUCAUGUAUCCGGUUAGUCCCUUACCCGGCAGGUGUGCAUCGGCUGCGUUUAUAAAGUGCAGAUAUGGAAUGGAAUCAGAGUGUGGAGAAAAGAUCAAAUAGAACUGCUUGCUUGGAUUUUUCAGAGAAAGUUCAUGGAUUGGUCCUCAAUGGUGAUAAGAACAUGCUGAAAUAGAUAAACCGUAGGUGCGGCAGAUCGAGCGAGCGAGGCACAAUGAGAUUGAUAAAAAAUCCAGGCGGCUUGCUAGAUUGGUCUCGCGUGCAUCUCCUACAUUUACCAACGGAAACUCUGAAGCUGUCUGGCUGUGCUCCACCUGAGACUCUGAGAGUCGCUUUCAGUCAGUCGGUUGAAAACGCGAACAUGUUUUCGAGCUUUUGGACCGGAUUUAAUGAUGCGCUUGUGUUUACUGCGACAGCGAGUAAGCCCCAUUGGCACUUCCCUCAUUACAACAUAAUACGUACACAGUAGUGGUACAUUAUUAACAGUCCAUCUCAUAAGACAGGCAUUGUUAACUCCACGUCUUAAUCUUUGCCCUAACUUCAUAGAGUUUUCAAUAAUGGCCAACAUCUUGUGCGUUCUACCCACGGCUGCCAAGCUGUCGCAUUUUAUCCGCUCAUUAAUAUAUUUGUUUGACUUUGGCUCUGUUAUAACUUUACACCUUUUACGGUUCCUUGUCUAAACCACACUCUUAAAUCAGGUGAUAAGGUAUUUGUCCAAAAACAUCAAAAAUAUUUUCUCUCUUUAAGGAACAUACUCUAAUCAUGCGAUAAGGAGUACUUCUUUUUGUGAGGACGAACAAAAAUCAUACCAACAAGUUGUACCCACAUGCAAAAAAAUAGUACUACUCUCCAACAAGGCAACACAUAUGUGUCCGAGUUUUCCACCCCCAAAUAGCUGUUGCUUCACCUUAACAAGUUUAGACGAAAAUGGUAAAAACUAUGAAUAUAUAUGUCUCGAGGGAACAGGUCAACAGCUGAUGUGUGAAGCGUAGCAAAAAUAGUCAUAUGGAGUAAAAUAAGUCACAGGGUUACAACUAAAGGUAAAAGGUAAAUGAAAAAAGAGAUAGAGACAUUGGAUUCAGAUUAGUAAAUUCCAACAAAAUGACAACACGGGUCCCUCAUUUUACUUUUCCUUGGACGUGCCCAAUUCUCUCCUCAUAUUUGUUUACUUGCACAAUCUAAAGGCACCAGCCUAAAAUAAAUCUACUCGUAGCUAUCAGUGACAACUGCAGGUUUGUCCUCGCGUGUACCGAUGUUGUUGCAUUGCAUGCAUCACUAAGAAUUCUCCUCCCAUUAUUCUACAAACCUCACCCGUAGCUACUUUCUCCGUGAAAAAGAACGGAGGAGUUGAACGUUGAAACUUUCCCGCGGAGCAUNNNNNNNNNNCGCGCCCUAAGAAUAAUGCAGCAUACUGUCACACACUCCUUUUUCACGAUAAACCUUGCUUGCCAAGGUAACGCGGCGUCCACAUCCUGCCGGGACGAAUCGCUAUCGCUUCUAUAUUUCUUUUUUGUCUGGCGACGCCACUCACGCACGCAUGGAUUUGGAUUGGAUUGGGUUGGGUUCGCCUUGCGCACAUUGCCUUUAGAGUUGCUUUCAGUGAGUGGUCUCGAUGAGAACGCAAAAGGUAUAGAGAUUCCAAAUACCAUGAUUAGGAUGGUGGAAUACAUUGUUAACCGCCCAUCUCGUAAAAUAUACGCUGUUAAACUGCGGGUCUUAAUCGAUGCCCUAACUGCAUGGAGUUUUGAAGAAUACCACACGGCUUCUGUGUUCUAUCGCCAGCUGUGAAUCCAGAUACAUUUCAUCCGUCCAUCAUCCGAGUAUAUUUCAUUUGUUUACAUCUUUACAGUUGGCGUUUGUGAUAGCUCUAAAUCAACCCAUCUGAUUUGUUUUCCUCAUUUUAAGAGCAUCUACAACCUCGUAUGACAAGUAUGGCCUUUUAAACACCCGCGAACGUGUCCACGUGAAAUGAUCGGGCAUGACUUAAAUUAGCAUAACUGCAUCCGAACAUCUUAUACUAGAUUCUUAUAUUCAUACAAAAACAUGCAAACUAAAAAUCCUAGGUACUAUGUAGAUCAUCUAGCUACUCCUCGUCGGAGAUGUUGACUAUCUUCGUGCCCUCCGAUGAAUACGAGCGCGGUAGCCUGGGGCGGAGCUCUCCGUAGGGCGAGGUGCUCGCCCUACCUUGGUUUGUGAGAUUUAUUUACGUAUGUAGGUUAGGGAGAAAUCUAAAGAAUAAUGUUGUAAAAUCAAAGUAAUCCACACCAAUACCCUUUUUUACGAAAUCACACUAUUGUUAUCGUAUCAUACUACACACAAUCACCAUAGUACAACAUAAACACAAACAUAAUAACAGAAGGAUAACCUAGAAACAUCCUAGUGAAAACUAUCUUGACAAAUCUGUGGAAACAUCCUAGAAACAUAACGAAUGGCAAUGGAUGAGAUGCGCAUGGAGGCAGAGCAGAUCUGAUUUCUUCUUAUGAUGGUGGCUAGGGUUGAUCUCGACUCGGCUCAUCACCGCAAACCGCUGCGGCACACACAUCGUGGUGAUGCGGACAACAGAGGAGGAGCGUGCGGAAAUCACUUCUCUUCUCAAGCUCUGAUAACAUGUAGAAGAGAAUCUUUUAUAAGAAGAUCCAACACCUCCUUGAGUAGUAGGGUGAAAUUAAUCAUCCCAUCGCAUCCCUUAUGACAUCUACAUGGGCUUUUAGAGAUUUGCUAAAAUCAUUAGAUGGGUCCAUCAUAUAUUUCAAUGGACUAAGGCACUCUUGUUUAACGGAAUUUGAGGGUGCUCCUAAGUGCGUCAUUUGUCUCGGUCAGUCCCUAAAAAAAUUCAGCCCUAAAAAGAAUUUGGUUCGCUUGUUCUAUGGUUAACCGGUCAACGGUUCACCAGUUGACCGGCCAACCAUUGACUUUUCAAUAAACAAGGAAAAAAUAUAUUUUCCAUGUGGGAAAACAAUUUUAAAAACUCAUCAAUUUGAAAAAUUGAUAUUGAAUUUGAAAACAAACUCAUUAAUUUGAAAAAAAAUCAUCAAUUUGGAAAACAUUUCUUAUAUAUUAAAAAAUAAAAUCAUCGAUUUUUAAAACCAAUUCAUUGAUCUUUAAAAAAACCAUCAAUUCUGAAAAAAAAAUCACAAGGAUGAAAAUUUUCAUCGAAUUUGAAAUAAAUUCAAUAAAUUGUAAAUAAAACUUUAUCAAAUUCGAAAAAAUAAUCAAGUAAUUUUAGAAAAAAACAUUGACGUUAGAAAACAUAGUUGACAUUCUUAUAAGAAUAUUCAUCAAUUUUGAAAAUAAACUAAUUUGAAUACAUGUUCAUAAAUUUUGAAAAAAAAGGUUCAUCGAUUUUGAGGAAAAACUUCAUGAAUUUGAAUAGAAUCUGCACAUCCAUGUAAAAAAGAAAAUGGAGAAAAAAUGGCAUACAUAAUAAAACGUCCGAAACAAACCACGAACGGAAGAAAAAAUAACAACUGUUUCACAACAGGGUUAUUGUUUGCCUAUUUGAACGAAAUAAGAAAAAAUAAGAAAAAAUAACAAUUCAUUGACAUUGUAAUGGUUAGUGUUGUUUCCUUCGAACCCUUAUGCUGGUUCGGCACUCUUUGCGUGAAAUUGUCAGGGUUUCGUACAGGCGAGCCCCAGAGCGGGACAAUUGAGCCACCCCACUGCGCCCUCGUGAAGCAGCCGCUUUUGGGAACCUCCAGAAAGUUCCCUGCUACGAUUUUUGUUUUUAUACCGAUUUAACGGUUUUAUUUUGUGAUUCUUUUUUUCUUUUUCUUUUUUGUUUUCUUUUUUCAAUUUUUUUUACUUUUUGUUCCGUUUUUAACUUCAUAUUUACUAGAUUUAAAAAUAUUUUACUUAUGUUUUUCUUUGUUUUACAUUUUUAUUUCUUUCAUAAUUUUUUUAUUACCCAUACAUAAAUAAUGUUUGUGAUUUUGAAAUAUUGUUUGCCUAUUUGAAAAAUGUUUGCCUUUUCCAACUUUUGUUCUCAGAUGUUUAAGAGAUGUUAUUUUUAAAAAACAAAUCAUAAUUUUUUAAAAAAAUCGUGAUUUCAAAAACUUACCACGUUCAGGAAAAUGCUUUAUUUUUUUAAUUUUCGUUAGGGUUUCUAAAAAUGUUUUGAAGUUGAAAAUUGUUUCCAAUUUUUCAAAUUUAUUUCCAAAUUCAAAAAAUGUUCAGAUUUUCAAAUUGUGUUCGGGUUUCAAAAACAUUUUGUGUUUCAAAUUUUGUUCCUGUUUCUAAAACUUGCUAGAAUUUGCAAUUUUUUACGUGUUUUCGGAAAAAAUGGAGUUUCAAAUUGAAGAAAAAGAAAACAUAUUAAAAAGAAGUAGAAGAAGAAAAAUAAAUAGAAAAAGUAUGGAAAAAACGAAGUGCGACCUCUACCAUACGAAGCGAACAGAAACACACUCUUUGCUCGCUCGUGAAACGGAAGAAAUUGAAAACGGACGAAAAAAGCCCGUCAAAAAGAGACUCUGUGCAAAUUAGCAGCUACUUGACACAGUAAGCGUCACACAGGAACUUCCCGAAGCCGGUCUGCUGUUCAUUUUUCUUUUGUCGUAGUUUACAAAAAUGACGGUCUGCUGUUCAUUUUUCUUUUGUCGUAGUUUACAAAAAUGAUAGGGGUAUAUAGCCCGCCCCAGAUUAGAGCGCUUGCAGCGUUGUUACCAAAUGCAUAUUGACGGGUGAUAAAGGCGUCGAAUAGGAAAUGCCGGAAUUUGCCCUAGUUUUCAAAAAUUUGUGGAAACACAUGCGGCUUUGACAUAACUUGCAAAAUUCAUGUGUUUCGAUGUACUCCCUCCGUUCCUAAAUAUAAGACCUUUUAAAGAUUGCACUAUAAACUACAUACGGAUGUACAUAGACAUAUUUUAGAGUAUAGAUUCACUCAUUUUGCUCCGUAUGCAGUCGUCUAAUGUAAUCUCUAAAAGGUCUUAUAUUUACAUAGGAUGGAAUUCAUCGCAUGCGACAUCCAGUACAUAAACCUUUGCGGACGUCGCGAACGCGUCCGCGUGCGUCCCCUUUGCACGUACGGACCGUCGCUGUUGCAUGCAUCAUUUCGUCGCCACUAAUAAUUCCCGCUCCAUUAUUGUUCUACAGUACAACGGUGGAGUUGAAGGCUGAAACUUUCCACGAGAGCAAAUCGCUACAGCGUACAGCCUACACUUGCAGUGGCUUUGUAUGAUUGGACGCCGGCCCGAACGGGAAUGCGUGCGUGCGUCAUAGGCUCCACGUACUGCUGACGCCCGCAUGCACUUGGCCACUUGGGCAGGGUGGGGGUUGGGAACUCGGGAUUUGCUUCUCUCUCGCGGCGAGCGCACGUUUCCGCGUCGCUGGUGGAGAUGGAUGGCCGGUCUUUUCCGCCGGCCGAUUCGCCGGAGAUAUACGCUCGAUGAUAUGCUAUGGCGUGUGCAGGCCUCUCCAAAUAGUGGAAAGGUGGCGACUAUCUUUCCUCAAGACGGUGCCAUGUAAAGUUGAAGCUGGUUUGGUUUGCUAGAGAUCGAGGUGGCCGUCCGGAUGCGCACCUGCUGAACUCAGCCUAGAUGCGCGCAUGCAUGCAUGGAAACAUUAUCCCUAGUCUAGCGCGUACGUGUCUUUUGUGUCUCCUGUUCCUCUUGUUGAUCGAAAUAUGCAAACUCGUAGACUGUUACCACUAGUACUCCCUCUGUAAACUAAUAUAAAAAAUGUUUAGAUUACUAAAGUAGUGUUUUAAAUGUUCUUAUAUUAGCUUACGAAGAGACUUUCUAAGUUGCUGUUUGCUACUUAAUUACUGGUACUAACAAGGCUAUGACAGAGUACUUGCUCGCAUCGCAUGUACUAGAACGCUUGUAUGGCUAGUGCUGGUGGAUGCACACCAUACAUUAAUCUUCUCAUGCCGGGCAUGGAGUAGCUAUCAGUGUGGACUUCUGGACUCCACCACCUCUGUCCUCUCGCAUGGACCGUUCUUGGCCUUGGCCUGUGGCAUGCAUCACCUCCCAUCAUUAUUCUACAAAACCCACACCGGCCACACCGGUUUCUCCAUCAAAAAGAACGUGCUCGAGGUUUAAACUUUCCAGCCGAGCAUGGCUGACGGAGAUGGCACGGUGUCGAUUCACCAUGGAUUAUUGGGCGCAAGCCAUGCUAGAGCCUAGAGGCUGGAUCACGAUCGAGUGCGUCACACAGAUAGAUUCGUGGUGCGUAGCCACGUACGUAGACUUUUUGACGCCUUGCUUGCCAAAGGUGGCACUGCGUCCGGCCUCGGCGACGCUGCUUACGCACGCACGCACGCACGCACGCACUUGGGUUUGGGUUCGUUCGGUUGGCCGCUGCUCUCGCGCACUUUGCCGCGUCCGUUGGCGAUCGGCACGAAUAUCUUCCGGGGAUUAUCCUUUCACACAAGAUCGUCCGGAUUCUGCCGCGAAAUUCCCAAGGCACCGGCAAGAGGGACGGAGGCAGCACGUUCGGUUGCUAAAGAGGAGGCCGUCGGGGUGGGCGCUGAAGUCAAGUCAGCGAAGGUGCGCAUGCGGCCAACUUGAUUGUCAAUUUUUUGGGUUUCUUCUCACGCUGAUCGAUAUGAUCAAAUUCGGCAACAAGUGGGAAAUUGCAUGAGUAAGAGCAUUUACAACUACAUCUAUUAAAAUAGACCCCUCAAACGCCUACAAACGGCCGCGUCCACGAACAUAGACCGGUCACUUUCCUUUGCAUUCGUGUAUAUCAUAUCUGACACCCUAUAUCUAUAUAAAUCUAUGAAAUGUAGUACGCAGCUCACCAAACGAUCAAACCAACAUGAAACGGACAUACGAACCGAUACCAAACGGGCAUAAUUCACGUAAACAUCACCAAAAAAACAUAAUUAACACAGUUCAACGAUCCAACACAUUCUAACUACAUACUAAUAUGGGUUUCAAACAAAAAACUGCAUACUAAUACUAGAUUAUCUAAAAGGAGAGGGCGAGCUUCACCACUUUCUCGCCGGCUCUUUUCCCUUCCGGUCGCCCCGACGAUGUUGUAGCCGUCCUAAAAAGGAGGUGGGUCGACGUCGGAGUCAGCCCCGUCGGAGGAGGACGGCGAGGAGAUGACGAUGUAGGCUGACGCGGCCUUGCUUGCCCUUGAGCUUGGCCACCCUUGCCGCCUCGCUGCUGCCUCCCGCUCGGAUUCCUCAAUGCUGAGCCGGAGCUGUUCAGCGUUGAUCCUCCAGAGCCGCCGAGCGUUUGUCUCACCGUGGUUAGUGACCGAUGGUACACCCACUGAAGGAGAUGCUCCUCCUCGUCGGGCACCGACAACACACGAUGGUGACGGGCAGACUACGCACCUACGUCGGACCCGUCCCCAUCUCCCUUGCCCUCUACCUCUCGUGGCGGGCAGGCCGUGCCUUUGACUUUGGAGUCCCAAUAUGUGGUGUCGAUGGAGCGGGCACUAGAACCCACCGCUGCCAGCACGGAGCAGCGGCCGAAGGUAGAGGAGGCCAUCAGGUGGGUAGAGCAGACUGCGUAGGCCUCGUCGAUCCGCGCGCGGGGCGAGAAGGGUCGGCGUGAGCGCUGUGCCGAUGGCCUACACGAGGUCUCGCACCGGAGCCGGAGUUGUCGCCCAUAUCGACCCACGAGCGCUCGAGCGCAAUACGGAGCUCGAGCUCCCACUCAUCUCCGGAACAGCCGUUAGAGUGGCUGCCGGUGCUGGACAUGCUCGCUGGCACUACAAAUUGGACGAAUUGGGGAAGCACGAAGUCGGUGAUCGGAGCGGAGUGAAAUGAGCUAGGGUUUGUUCCGGACGAAAGGGGGAUUUUGUGGGGUCGGGAUGGGCCAACGUUGGGUCUGGCUGACGUCCCGGACGCGCCCGGGCGCACCUUGGCCGCCUCAUAUCCGUUCUAUAUUUGGAUUGGAUAUGAGGGGUGCCCGUCAGCCCGGACAUUUGUCCGCGGUUUAAGAGCUUCGGUUGGUCGGUUUUUUGUCACAUGUUAGUUACCGGACCUCGCAUUUGAGAUGGGUAGGAGGGGUCCCAUUAUAGAUCCUCUAAGAUCAUCUACAAGUGGACUGGGCAAAUCCAGGCCCUAUAUGUCCGCGGACGCGCCCACGCACGCAGGCGGACACGGCUGGACGCCCCCUCAUAUCUUACUCCCCGCAUCCACAUAUCUCAUAGUCAUAUCUGUACUCUUAAAUUCAUACAAAACUACGCACGUUGAUCACACAAAUAAUUGUCGCAUGUAAAUAAAAAUGUUGGUACUGAAUAUAAAUAGUCUUUACAUAAAAUUUAUUUGAAGUGCACAAUCAACCAUGUACUCUUUGGUUUCCAUGGUGGAUCCACAUAUGCUCCAUCACAUCAUUGACUAAUUGUCCGUGCAUCCAAUGAUCUCUGAAAUUCUAAUGCAUUUGUAGAAAGUUCAUAAGUUGAGCUGCAUUUUGAUCUUUCGGGAUUCCAACAUACCCUCCAAGUGCUUCAAAAUCAUUUGUUUGGAUUAAAUCAUCACCCUCAUCCUCGUCAUAUUGUGCAAAAUACACAACAUGAAGUCAUGAGCUAGCAUAUAGUUUCUGACUCCCACAUCAUUGCAGCCCCAUGAACAAUUCCUCAAUGAGCUUGCAGCACUACGAAUGCCCUCUCCACAUCCUUCCUAGAUGCUUCCUUCAUUGAUGUGAAGUGCUUUUGUUCGGUACCCUGUGGUUCGGAUAUGGACUUCACAAAUGAAGCCCACUGAGGAUAGGUGCCCUCGACAAGCUAGUAUCCAAUAUUGUAGUGUCGACCGUUGACGGUGUAGUGCCCGUCGGAGAUUCCCCAUUUGCAAAGCAUCUUGAACACCAGAUAUUUUAGAAGCACGUUGAUUUCGUUGUUUGAAUCGGUCAUUUCAAAUAAAGAAUGCCAAAUCAAUAAGUCAUGUGAUGCCUCCACUUUUAGUAUGAUGGUGGACUCUUUGAUGUGAUCUUGAUACAUUCCUCGCAAACCUUUGGGGCAGUUCUUCCGCUGCCAAUGCAUGCAAUCAAUUGAUCCCAGCAUUACUAGAAACCAUCUAGCCUCUUCACUAGCCAACAACUUCUCCAUGUCCUACAUAUUUGGCUCUCUAAGAUACACUUCUCCAAACACCUCGACCAUAACACGGGCAAACUUGACAGUAGUCUUCAGGCAUGUGCUUUCUCCUAUCCUGACCAUCUCACCAAUGACAUCUCAUGCAGUAUCAAGUGCAAGCAUUCUCAUAGCAGUCAUGCACUUCUACUUGGCAGAGAAAGAGACUUGACCGCAUCAAUUGUUGGGGAACAUCGCAUGGGAAACAAAAAUUUUCCUACGCGCACGAAGACCUAUCAUGGUGAUGUCCAUCUACGAGAGGGGAUGUGUGAUCUACGUACCCUUGUAGACCGUACAGCAGAAGCGUUGGUGAACGCGGUUGAUGUAGUGGAACGUCCUCACGUCCCUCGAUCCGCCCCGCGAACUAUCCCGCGAUCAGUCCCACGAUCUAGUGCCGAACGGAUGGCACCUCCGCGUUCAGCACACGUACAGCUCGACGAUGAUCUCGGCCUUCUUGAUCCAGCAAGAGAGACGGAGAGGUAGAAGAGUUCUCCGGCAGCGUGACGGCGCUCCGGAGGUUGGUGAUGAUCUCGUCUCAGCAGGGCUCUGCUCGAGCUCCGCAGAAACGCGAUCUAGACGUAAAACCGUGGAGAUAUGUGGUCGGGCUGCCGUGGCAAAAGUUGUCUCAAAUCAGCCCUAAAACCCCCACUAUAUAUAGGAGGAGGAGGGGGGAGCCUUGCCUUGGGGUCCAAGGACUCCCAAGGGGAAAGGUCACCCCCCCAAACCGAGUCCUACUUGGUUUGGAAGGUGGAGUCCUUCUUCCCUUUCCCACAUCCUUCUUUUUCUUUUCUUUUCUCUUUGAUUUUUCUUCCAAUGCGCAUAGGGCUCUUUUGGGCUNNNNNNNNNNNNNNNNNNNNNNNNNNNNNNNNNNNNNNNNNNNNNNNNNNNNNNNNNNNNNNNNNNNNNNNNNNNNNNNNNNNNNNNNNNNNNNNNNNNNUGUUUGUCAAUAUAUUAGUUUAUAUGAAAGCAGACUGGUAGUGAUUAGGUCAAUAUGUCAAUUACUUUAAAUCUUGCUACAUGGGUGUUGGGUCUCUAUACACACCACUAACAUCUUUUGUCUUGAAAUAAUCUUAUUGUCACCAUUUUCUGUUUGCUAAUGAAUAAAACAUCUUUUUUACAAGCUGACCAGUGUCAAACAAUGAUAAUUGCGCUUAAUUUAUGUUGUUCGGUUCAAAUGUUCGAGAUAUUGUUCCCAGUAUCCAAAGGUAUUGUCUCAUGUCCCAGAUGUUUCCAGUUCUAUAUAGGAGUGUUUUUUCUAUGAUGUUUGAUCCAAUGUUCUCUUUUUUUGCGAGGGUGAUCGAAUGUUCUCUGUUAGUACAUGACAGUGAUAUAUUUUCUCAGUUCAUAUUUUGGCCACAAUAAAAGUUCAGGGCUUUUUACGUAAGGACCAAAUUAUACAUUUGUUACACAUUUAAUUAUAUUAUUUAUGGUUUCCCAUUCGGUACUAUAUAUAAUCUUUGUUUGCCAACUUAAAUAAAGGAUUACUAAAGAUAUAUGUUAAAUGUUCAUUCGUAGUUCUGUUUUAUUUUCCAUCGAUGUUCAUGCCAUGUCGUACUUCUAUCUAAGGUACCCUUACCUUACUAAGGAAAAUUCAUAAUUAAACAUCUCGCCCUUUCAAAUAAAGGAGGAGAAGUCUAUCAAAGAGAAGAGCCACAGUUACCAUGGUGAUGCGGUCUAUUUUUGCAUAUAUAUGAACAUACAAACAUGCAUAUUCAACAAUAAUAUCACCAAAAAAAUCAAAAAUUAAAAACAAUAAAAAAACAGAGCCGUGGCGGCGGCGGCUCACAUCGAGGGCGGCCGGGGCGACGGCGAGGGCGACGGCGACGGCCNNNNNNNNNNNNNNNNNNNNNNNNNNNNNNNNNNNNNNNNNNNNNNNNNNNNNNNNNNNNNNNNNNNNNNNNNNNNNNNNNNNNNNNNNNNNNNNNNNNNNNNNNNNNNNNNNNNNNNNNNNNNNNNNNNNNNNNNNNNNNNNNNNNNNNNNNNNNNNNNNNNNNNNNNNNNNNNNNNNNNNNNNNNNNNNNNNNNNNNNNNNNNNNNNNNNNNNNNNNNNNNNNNNNNNNNNNNNNNNNNNNNNNNNNNNNNNNNNNNNNNNNNNNNNNNNNNNNNNNNNNNNNNNNNNNNNNNNNNNNNNNNNNNNNNNNNNNNNNNNNNNNNNNNNNNNNNNNNNNNNNNNNNNNNNNNNNNNNNNNNNNNNNNNNNNNNNNNNNNNNNNNNNNNNNNNNNNNNNNNNNNNNNNNNNNNNNNNNNNNNNNNNNNNNNNNNNNNNNNNNNNNNNNNNNNNNNNNNNNGGCUUGGGGGGCGGAGGGCGGCGGGUGAUGGCGACGGGGCAGCCUGGCGGCGCCGUGGAUGAGCUCGCGGCGUUGUCGGGCGUGGAUGAGCUCGCGGCGUUGUCAAAUCUGAAAAUUUCCAAAGUGUUGGCUUAUAUAGCACAAGCAUUGGUCCCGGUUCGUGGCACCAACCGGGACUAAAGGGUUGCAUUGGUCCCGGUUCGUGGCACCAACCGGUACCAAAGGCCUCUUUUCGGCAGCCCAAAGGGCGGGAAGCAGAGGCCUUUGGUCCCGGUUGGUGCCACCAACCAGGACUGAAGAGGGGCCUUUGGUCUGGGUUGGAGCCACCAACCGGGACUAAAGGCAUGUGCCUGCCACAGUCGCGGUGCGGUUGGAUGUUUAGUCCCACCUCGCCAAGCGAAGGGCUGCCGAGCGUGUUUAUAAGCUCCGCUGUGGCUGCAAUGUCGAGCUGUACGAAUUUAGAGACAAAAUUCAGCCUAAAUUCAAACAGCUAGUUAGGCUAACUAGCACUUUAAAUUCAAAGAGCUAGUUAGGCUAAUUAGCACUUUGAAUUUAGGUUGAAUUUCUCUCUAAAUUCGAAUCUAUUUUUUUAUUUUUUUUUGNUUUGUAACAAAAUUCUAAUUACUUAUUUAUUUUCUUCUAUGAUAAUUAUCUAGGUACAUAUUUUAAGGUGGGCCCCACGAGCACCUUUUAGUACCGGUUCCUGGCAUGAACCCGUAAAAGAGUUUUUUAGUUGAUUAUUUAUGCAGCUAUUUUUAGUCCCACCUCGCCAAGCGAGAGGCACUCGUAGCAGUUUAUAAGCCCUGAGUGUAGAGACGAUGAUGGGAGAAGCGCAGUGCUCACCUGUCUGUUACAACAUGCAUUUCAAAUGAACUACAAAAAGUUUGAAAGUUGGCAUGGUAUCAUCAUAAUAGUUGUGGAGAAAGUCUUCACUUCUUCUUUGCUUGUGUCCUUUCCUUAUUGCGCUGUAACCAUGGAUAAUCUUCAUCAUUUAUCAGGAUGCUUGGGUCAGCCUUGACUUUGAAGGGAGGAAUUUCAUGAAACUUUUCAUAAUCUUCGGACAUGUCUGUCUUGCCCUCCACUCCCAUGAUGUCCCUUUUUCCUGAAAGAACUAUGUGGCGCUUUGGCUCAUCGUAUGAUGUAGUCGCUUCCUUAUUUUUUUAUUUUUCUCGGUUUGGUAGACAUGUCCUUCACAUGGAUAUCCUGUGCCACAUCAUUGGCUAGGAUGAACGGUUCGUCAGUGUACCCAAGAUUGUUCAGAUCCACUGUUGUCAUUCCGUACUGUAGGUCUACAUGUACCCCUCCUCUUGACAGAUUGACCCAUUUGCACUUAAACAAAGGGACCUUAAAAUCUACUCCGUAGUCAAGUUCCCAUAUGUCCACUAUGUAACCAUAAUAUGUGUCCUUUCCCCUCUCGGUGGCUGCAUCAAAGCGGACACCGCUGUUUUGGUUGGUGCUCUUUUGAUCUUGGGCAAUCGUGUAAAAUGUAUUCCCAUUUAUCUCGUAUCCUUUACAAAUUGUAACAGUCGAAGAUGGUCCCCUGGACAACAAGGACAGCUCAUCACAAACAGUGUUUUCAUCUCUGAGACGUGUUUCCAUCCAACUGCUGAAAGUCCUGAUGUGUUCACAUGUAAUCCAGUCGUCGCACUGCUCCGAGUGUUUGGAGCGUAGACUGUUCUUGUGUUCAUCGACAUAAGGGGUCACCAAGGUAGAGUUCUGUAGAACUGUGCAGUGUGCUUCAGACCAAGAAUAUCCGUCCCUGCAUAUUAUUGUCUCCCCUCCAAGCGUGCCUUUUCUAGUCAGUCUCCCCUCAUACCUCAAUUUACGGAGACCUAUCUUCUUAAGGUCAGGAAUGAAGUCAACACAAAACCCAAUGACAUCCUCUGUUUGAUGGCCCAUGGAGAUGCUUCCUUCUGGCCUAGCGCGGUUACGGACAUAUUUCUUUAGGACUCCCAUGAACCUCUCAAAGGGGUACAUAUUGUGUAGAAAUACGGGGCCCAGAAUGACAAUCUCGUCAACUAGAUGAACUAGGACGUGUGUCAUGAUAUUGAAGAAGGAUGGUGGGAACACCAGCUCGAAACUAACAAGACAUUGCACCACAUCACUCCUUAGCCUUGGUAUGAUUUCUGGAUCGAUCACCUUCUGAGAGAUUGCAUUGAGGAAUGAACAUAGCUUCACAAUGGCUAACCGGACGUUUUUCGGUAGAAGCCCCCUCAAUGCAACCAGAAGCAGUUGUGUCAUAAUCACGUGGCAGUCAUGAGACUUUAGCUUCUGAAACUUUUUCUCUGCCAUAUUUAUUACUCCCUUUAUAUUCGACGAGAAGCCAGUCGGGACCUUCAUACUAAGCAGGCAUUCAAAGAAGAUUUCCUUGUCUUCUUUGGUAAGAGCGUAGCUGGCAGGACCUUCAUACUGCUUUGGAGGCAUGCCGUCUUUUUCGUGCAAACAUUGCAGGUCCUCCCGUGCCUCAGCUGUAUCUUUUGUCUUCCCAUACACGCCCAAGAAGCCUAGCAGGUUGACGCAAAGGUUCUUCGUCACGUGCAUCACGUCUAUCGAAGAGCGGACCUCUAGGUCUUUCCAGUAGGGUAGGUCCCAAAAUAUAGAUUUCUUCUUCCACAUGGGUGCGUGUCCCCCAGCGUCACUCGCAACAGCUAGUCCGCCGGGACCCUUUCUAAAGAUUACGUGUAAAUCAUUGACCAUAGAAAGUACGUGAUCACCGGUACGCAUGGCGAGCUUCUUCCGGUGAUCUGCCUCGCCUUUGAAAUGCUUGCCUUUCUUUCGACAUUGAUGGUUGGUCGGAAGAAAUCAAGGAUGGCCUAGGUACAUAUUCUUCCUGCAGCUUCCCAGGUAUAUACUUUCGGUGUCAGCUAAACAGUGCGUGCAUGCGUGGUAUCCCUUGUUUGUCUGUCCUGAAAGGUUACUGAGAGCGGGCCAAUAGUUGAUGGUUACAAACAACAACGCGUGCAGGUUAAAUUCCUCCUGUUUGUGCUCAUCCCACGCACGUACACCGUUUCCAUUCCACAGUUGUAAAAGUUCUUCAACUAAUGGCCUUAGGUACACAUCAAUGUCGUUGCCGGGUUGCUUAGGUCCUUGGAUGAGAACUGGCAUCAUAAUGAACUUCCGCUUCAUGCACAUCCAAGGAGGAAGGUUAUACAUACAUAGAGCCACGGGCCAGGUGCUGUGAUUGCUGCUCUGCUCCCCGAAAGGAUUAAUGCCAUCCGCGCUUAAACCAAACCAUACGUUCCUUGGGUCACGUGCAAACUCAGCCCAAUACUCUCUCUCGAUUUUUCUCCACUGCGACCCGUCAGCGGGUGCUCUCAACUUCCCGUCUUUCUUACGGUCCUCACUGUGCCAUCGCAUCAACUUGGCAUGCUCUUUGUUUCUGAACAGUCGUUUCAACCGUGGUAUUAUAGGAGCAUACCACAUCACCUUCGUAGGAACACUCUUCCUGCGGGGCUUGCCGUCAACAUCACCAGGGUCAUCUCGUCUGAUCUUAUACCGCAAUGCACCGCAUACCAGGCAUGUGUUCAAAUCCUCGUACGCAUCGCGGUAGAGCAUGCAUGUAUCUUCUGCACCUCCAAUCCUAGAGGGCAUACGACCUUCUUUUCUACGUAUGUACUGUCGGGCAAUUCAUUAUCCUUUGGAAGCUUCUUCUUCAAUAUUUUCAGUAGCUUCUCAAAUCCUUUGUCAGGCAAAACAUUCUCUGCCUUCUACUGCAGCAAUUCCAGUACAGUACCCAGCUUUGUGUUGCCAUCUUCACAAUUGGGGUACAACUUUUUUUUGUGAUCCUCUAACAUGCGAUCGAACUUCAGCUUCUCCUUUUGACUUUCUCAUUGCGUCCUUGCAUCGACAAUGACCCGGCGGAGAUCAUCAUCGGGCACAUCGUCUGGUUUCUCUUGAUCUUCAGCAGCUUCCCCCAUUGCAGCAUCAUCGGGCACAUCGUCUGGUUCCUCUUGAUCUUCAGCAGCUCCCCCCGUUGCAGCAUCACCGUAUUCAGGGGGCACAUACUUGUCAUCGUCCUCUUCUUCUUCGCCGUCUUCAAUCAUAACCCUUAUUUCUCCGUGCCUCGUCCAAACAUUAUAGUGUGGCAUGAAACCCUUGUAAAGCAGCUGGGUGUGAAGGAUUUUCCGGUCAGAGUAAGACUUCGUAUUCCCACAUUUACUGCAUGGACAACACAUAAAACCAUUAUGCUUGAUUGCCUCAGCCACUUGGAUAAAAAUAUGCACGCCCUUAAUGUACUCGAAGGUGUGUCUGUCACCAUACAUCCAUUGCCGGUUCAUCUGUGUGCAUUACAUAUAAUUAUGUGUGUCAAAAUUAAGAAAAUUAGACAAAUAUCUAUCUAAAGUAAGAAAAUCAGACAAGUAUCAUAAAGAAGAUAAGAACAAGAGGCUCAACACGGUGGUGCCGGCGACGAGAUCGGCGCGAGCUAUCAACGGCGGUGAAAACGGGGACGGGGAGUGACGGACCCCUAAAUCUAGACAAAUCUCGGGAAAAAUGAAGCUCCUAGGUCGAGAUUCGAGAGGAGAAAGCUUAACUAGUGUGGCUCGGGUAUUUCAUUGAACACCUCAUGUGCAUAGGAGGUGAGCUAGAGCACCAAAAUGCCCUCCCCUCGUCGGCCAAAAAAAACAGAGUGCUCUGCCGCGGCGAUGGGUAUAUAUACGCAACUGAUUUGUCCCGAUUCGUGGCAUGAACCGGGACUAAAGCCAACCCUUCUGUCCCGGUUCAUGCCACGAACCGGGACCAAUGGUUGUGGGCCAGCAGCGAGGACCAUUGGUCCCAGUUCGUGGCUCGAACCGGGACAAAUGGUUCUACACGAACCGGGACCAAUGCCCACGAGGCCCCGGCCGGCCCCCUGGGCUCACGAACCGGAUCUAAUACCCCCCAUUGGUCCCGGUUCUUGAAGAACCGGGACUAAUGGGUUGGCCAGGGCCGAACGAUAGCCCUGUUUUCUACUAGUGUACUUACUACUUCCCAAUGCCUUCCUCUAGGCCCAAAUAUGGUGAAGUGUUAUGUAGUCGACGUUCACAUAACACCACUAGAGGAAAAGACAACAUACAUCAUAUCAAAAUACCGAACGAAUAUCAAAUUCACAUGACUAUUAUUAACAUGACUUAUCCCAUGUCCUCAGGAACAAAAGUAACUACUCACAAAACAUAAUCAUAAUCAUGAUCAGAGGUGUAAUGAAUAGCAUCAAGGAUCUGAACAUAAACUCUUACACCAAGUAAUAUAACUAGCAUCAACUACAAAGAGUAACCAACACUACUAGCAACCUUACAAGUACCAAUCGGAGUUGCGAGACGAAGAUUGGUUACAAGAGAUGAACUAGGGAUUGGAGAGGAGAUGGUGCUGAUGAACAUGUUAAUGAAGAUGCCUCCCCUCCGACGAGAGGAGUGUUGGUGAUGACGAUGGCGACAAUUUCCCCCUCCGGGAGGGAAGUUUCCCCGGCAGGAUCGUCCUGCCGGAGCUCUAGAUUGGAUCUGCUCAAGUUCCGCCUCGUGGCGGCGGCGAAACCACGAAAAAGCUCUCGUCUGAUUUUUUCUGGACCAAGACGCUUGAUAUAGCAAAAGAGGGGGGCUAGUGGGCCGUCAGGGAGCCCACAAGCCCCCACUCCGCCACCAGGGGGUGGCGGUGUCAGGGCUUGUGGCGCCCUGGCAGCCCCCUCCAGUAGUUCUUUCGCUCAGUAUUUUUUAUAUAAUCCCAAAAAAAUCCACGUAACUUUUCAGGGCAUUUGGAGAUGUGCAGAAUAGUGGACUAGGAUUUGCUCCUUUUCCAGUCCAGAAUUCCAGCUGCCUGAAUUCUCCCUCUUCAAAUAAACCUUGCAAAAUAAGAGAAAAAAGGCAUAAAUAUGGUACCACAAGUAAUAUAACAGCCCAAAAAGCAAUAAAUAUCAACAUGAAAGCAUGAUGCAAAUUGGACGUAUCAGCACCAAUCCGGACAACUCUCAGUAGCCAACCGGAUUCGUAGUGGAGUAGUCAUUUGGAAUAGCUUCGAGUGAAACGUGGUAGCAGCAUCUACAUUGUUACACAAAGGUUUGCAAUGUACACACGGAUCAGAAUGUUGCAGAACCGUUGACUAAGAGGGUGUUUGGUUGGGCUUCCUACCAGUUUUCCACGCUUUGAAGCCAUCAGCCCAACAAAACAGCCAACUUUCGUAUAGAUUUUGACCCGCAGGUGCAGCUGUUUUACACGCACACAGGAGAAGCUGGUCGCGAGCAGCUUCUACCGCGUUCCCCUGCGGUGGAUCAAUCCCAUGCCCACUCUACCCCUGCCACUUUGCUGUAAUUACAGGAAAACUGUCACUCCCAUAUAAAUGUGAAAUCCUCUCGUUCUUCUCUUCUCCCCAACCAUUAUCCCCACAGACAGAGGAUGGAGCAGCAAGGGCGGCACUAGAGUUUUGCGUAGCCAUUCUCGUCCGCCACCGGAGACCGUGACCGCCGGCGCCCGCCCACCCUCGCCUCGUUCGCCCACUGUUGCCUCGUUCGCCCGCCAUCGCCUUGCUCGCCACCGGAGACCUCGACCGUCAGCUCCCGCCCACCAUCGCCCCGUCCGCCUGCCGUCGCCUCGCUCCCCAUCGGAGACCGCCCGCCCACGCGUCGCCUGCCACCGGAGACCGUCGCCCUCGCCUCGCUCACCUCCUCCCAGCGCACGUUUCCCUUCUCUCCUUCUCAGGAUCUCCACGGUCUUCCCAAGGUAGCCCCUUGUUCUUCUUUUUUCUUUCCUCCCUUCUUAUAUAUGAUUCUAUUAGCAGAAAAUACAUGUCUUCUUAUGUGAUUCUAUUAGCAGAAAAUACAUGCAUUCUUAUGUGAUUCUAUUAGCAGAAAAUACAUGUUUUGAGCAGAAUGUUUAACUUUGAAUAAAAUAGAUGGACAAAGCAAAUUGGGAUGCAUAUCAAACUAAAUUAUUUUAUGAGAUAUGCAAAGAAGAGACGGAUAAGCACAAUAAGCCAGGUGGUUAUUUGAGUCCCAAAGAUUACAACAAUCUUUAGGAGAAAUUUUUGAACAAACUAAGAAAAACGUACAAGAAGGCAAUUCAAAAAAAAUGGGACCAAUUGAAGAAACAAUAUGCUCGGUUUAUGGCGUUGAAGAAUUCUGCAACUGGACUUGGUUGGAAUGAUAAGAUGGGAACAAUUGAAGCUGAUGAUAGUUGGUGGGACAUUCGUCUUAAGGUGAGGAUGUUCAAAAAUUAUUUAUGAUUAAGUUUUCGAAUUGUUUAUGUCAUUGUGUUAAUUUGUAUGCUAUUUUCAGAAAUACCCACGACAUGCAAAGUGGCGGUACAUAGGCCCUCCCAACUUGAAGGAGAUGGAUGUUAUGUUUGAGAAUGCUCAUAUCACCGGGGAAAAAGCCUCCUUUCCAAGAGAGAUAUCCAGUAGCUCGGAUGAUGAUAAAGAGAGUGAAGAUUUAGGAACUCCUUUGAAAUCUUUCAAGAAAAAAGGAGGGCGAGGUAAAACAUUAGGUAAAUGCAAAUCUAAGUCCAAUGUAGAAGAUGAAGAUGACAAGAACCCAUUUCUUCGUGCGUAUAAGCAAACCUAGGGAAACAUAAAUUCAAGAUUGAGUGGUGAAGGAUCAGCUAACCAUGUUCCCAAAGUUACUACUCCUACCAUGGCAGAAGUACUUAUUUUUAUGGUGGAGUGUGGGGCCGAGGAAGGGACUCCUUUGUUCCACACCGCGACCAAGAUUGUGAUGAAGCCAGAGUAUCGUGAGUUGUUUAUGUUGAUUAAAACCAAGGAGGGCAGGUUUGAGUGGCUUACGAGGGAGCACGAAGCAAUGUGCAAGUAGCAAGUUGUAUUAUCAUUUCCAACAAAUGUUUUUGUCUUUUGGGAACUAUUUAUGGGAUUAGUUUUCAGUUUGAAUGUGUGUUGAUGUAGUGAACUAUUUAUGAGAUCUGUUGCUAUCAUGUAAUGAAAAAUGUUGACUCUAUGUGGGAUGAUGUUCAUCUCAUGUGUUUUAUAUCUCAUAUGUGAUGUUUGCUGCCAUUUUUUGGGCUGCCAUGUACUUAUACAUUUGUUGCUCUAUUUUGUAGAUGGAUGAAAGUGUUGAGAUGGUUGAUGACGAGGCUGAGAGGACUUUUCUUCUUGAAAUGACACACAUUUCAUAUGAAGUUGCUAUGAUGGGUGAAAUAGCUAACAAAUAUAGUAAGACUUACUUGAACAAAGCACCAUAUCAAAUUCCUCAACAAACUGGUUAUGAAUGGGUAAUGGAGAAUCUUGAUAAUAGAAAGAUGUGCUACAAAAUGUUUAGGAUGUACCGAGGUGUUUUUAUACCAUUGCAUGAUCUUCUAGUUCAUGAUUAUGGAUUGCAAUCAAUUAGAGGCAUGACAUCGUUGGAAUCAUUAGCCAUGUUCUUAUGGAUGGUUGGAGCCCCACAAUAUUUCUCUCAAGUUGAAAAUCAUUUUGCAAGAUCAACUGAAACAAUUCAUCGAAAGUUCAAAGAAGUGUUGGAUUGUUUGUGCAAGUUAUCAUCCAACAACAUAAAUCCCACUAAUUAUUAUUUCUCAACUCCUCAUGAAAGAAUUAAAGAUGGUCGAUUUUGGCCACAUUUAGCGGGUGCUAUUGGAGCAAUAGAUGGAUGUAACAUACCAGUUUCCGUUCCAGCAUUAGAUGUCAUUACCCACACCGGGGGACAUGGAUUUACUUCUCAAAAUGUGAUGGUCGUUUGUGACUUUGACAUGAGGUUUACUUUCGUCGUUGUUGGGUGGCCGGGCCCGGCAAAUGGCACAAGGAUUUUGAAUCAUACCCUUGAGAAGUAUGCACAUAAGUUCCCUGUUCCUCCACAUGGUACUACCAAACAAUACUCACAUUCAAAGCAAUUUAGUUUCAAAAUUUCUUUUUGUAAUGCUAACUUUGUUUUAGUUUUUAGGCAAAUUCUACCUUGUCGAUUCGUGCUAUCCAAACCGAAGUGGAUACCUUGCUCCAUACAAACACCAAACCUGUCAUAUACCGGAGUUUCACAAUAGGCGGAGAUAACCGACAGGGAAGUAUGAUGUAUAAAAUCAUGCUCACUCUUCACUUCGCAAUGCGGUAGAAUGCACAUUUGGUGUGCUCAACGAAAAGUGGCGCAUUUUGAAAAAGGUGCAAAAAUUCAAGCCUAGAAGACAAAAGAAGAUUAUUGUUGCUUGUAUGGUGCUUCACAAUUAUAUUCGGGACACCAAGUUACGUGACAAAGAGUUCGAUAAGUGUGACGCGGAUGAGGACUGCAUGCCACAUGUGGUGCGACAAACUGUACCACUACAAGGCGAUGGCACCUCAUCUUUACUUGAUGUGGUAAACAUGAAUGAUAUUCGUGAUAACAUUGGUGACUCUUUGUUUGCGGCGAGAGGAGGAUAACUAUCUUAUGGGAUAGCCAUUAAUAUAUGAACAAGUAAUGUCUUUUGGUGUAGAUGUAGGAAAUAGGAAGUACAUUUUGGUAUAAAUAUGUGGACAAUGAUGUAUGAACAAUGUUCAUGAUGAUGUAUGAACAACUAAUGUUAUAUAUGAACAAUGUUAGCAAUUAUCACACUUUAAUUACAUCCAAAAUACAUAAAACAACUAAAAAUUAGUGAAACGUGUCAAAAAACAGAUUAUUACCAUGAUAUCAGUACAUAUACACCGUCUCAGUAUCUGAGGGGUAUUCUAGACAUUUCCUCGAAAGGCACAGCUCAGAUAGGCAGUUUACCAAACGACAACACUGCUCACAGCAGCUUUUCCAUAGCCCAUAGCUCACAACAACUUUUCCACAGCCCACAGUCCAAACAAACAUCCUCUAAACCUCUCUCAUAAGCAAAACAUGAUCAAACCCGAGAACUCAUUGGGUGUUAAUCACAUAGUGAUGUGAACUAGAUUACUGCCUCUAGUGCAAGUGGGAGACUAUUGGAAAUAUGCCCUAGAGGCAAUAAUAAAUUGGUUAUUAUCAUAUUUCCUUGAUCAUGAUACUCAUUUAUUAUCCAUGCUAUAAUUGUAUUGAUUGGAAACUCAGAUACAUGUGUGGAUACAUAGACAAGAUAGAGUCCCUAGUAAGCCUCUACUAGACUAGCUCGUUGAUCAAAGAUGGUUAAGGUUUCCUAACCACAGACAUGAGUUGUCAUUUGAUAACAAGAUCACGUCAUUAGGAGAAUGAUGUGAUGGACUAAACCCAAACCGUAAGCAUAUUGUUUGAUCGUAUCAAUUUUACUGCUAUUGCUUUCUUCAUGUCAAUGUAUAUGUUCCUAUGACCAUGAGAUUAUGCAACUCCCUGACACCGGAGGAAUGCCUUGUGUCUAUCAAACGUCACAACGUAACUGGGGAUUAUAAAGAUGCUCUACUGGUAUCUCCAAGGGUAUCUGCUGAGUUGUCGUGGAUCAAGACUGCCAUUUCUCAUUCCGUAUGAUGGAGAGGUAUCUCUGGGCCCACUCGGUAAUACAACAUCACAAGAAGCUUGGAAGCAAUGUGACUAAGGAGUUAGUCACGGGAUCUUUUAUUACAGAAAGAGUAAAGCACUACUAGGGAAAAGCUUAUAGACAGACGCUUACUAGUAGCGCGGGUUUUUACCCCUCGCUACUUGUACUUACUGGUAGCGCUAGUUUUGACCCCUCGCUACUACUAACUUGAUAGUAGUAGCGAGGAUUUUUACCCCUCGCUACUACUAAGUGGUCUCAAUCGUGCUCCCCGGGACAUGCAAUAGUAGUAGUGUGGGGUAUAAACCAGCGAUACUACUAAGUUGAUAGUAGUAGCGCAGGUUUAUACCCCUCGCUACUAUUAAUUACAAGGUAGGUAAUGUCCACAUAUCCUCGGCCAAAUUCCUCCUCUCUCCCUCAGUCUCCCCCUCUCUCCAUAGGCUCUCCCAUGGUGCUCCUGCCCAAGCACACCACCUCCUCCAUGUCGCCCAAUGAGUGCCAAAUCGAAACCCACUCUCUCAUGAUUCCGCUUCUCCCUCCCACCCGCUAUUCCCUUCCUCACCCACCGCCACUGCCGGCCUCGCACAUCAUCGCCUCCCCAAAAUCCGGCGAACUCCACUCCCACCUCAGCCUCCUCCCCCUCCUUCCUCCUCCUUCUUUGUUGUUGGAGGAGAGGGAGAUCUAGUAGAGUGCCAUCCAUGGCGGCGGCUAGAUCCGCAAUGGAUACAACCAUCGGUUAGUUUCUCUUCCUACUCCUAUCAAUCUCUCUAUCUCUCUCUUUGCCUUCUAGUGAUUUUCUCUUUAUUUGUAGUAGUAGCAGAGGAGAGGUGCGAGGAUGAGUUGGGUGGGGAAGCACCAUCACCAUGGACAACUUCAUCCCCUCCAGGACCAGCAUCAGCCCUCGAUGGAGAGGACGUUGACGCCCAGCGGCAGCAACAACCUUGGAUGAAUUUAUUUAUUUUAAUUCCUAAUUAGUUAGUAGUAGCACGGGACCCUUACCCGCGCUACAACUAAGUAGUAGUAGCAUGGGUGGCAAUCGUGCUACUACUAGCAGAAGUAGUAGUCGUGCGGAUAGGACACGCGCUACUGCUAAAAGUUAGUUGUAGCACCGUAGUAGUUGUUGGAAAUAUGCCCUAGAGGCAAUAAUAAAAUGGUUAUUAUCAUAUUUCCUUGUUCAUGAUAAUCGUCUAUCGUUCAUGCUAUAAUUGUAUUAACAGGAAACAGUAAUACAUGUGUGAAUGAAUAGAUCACAAUGUGUCCCUCGCAAGCCUCUAGUUGGCUAGCUCGUUAGUUAAUAGAUGAUCAUGGUUUCCUGAUCAUGGGCAUUAGAUGUCAUUGAUAACGGGAUCACAUCAUUGGGAGAAUGAUGUGAUGGACAAGACCCAAUCCUAAGCCUAGCACUAGAUCGUAUUGUUCAUAUGCUAAUGCUUUUCUAAUGUCAAGUAUCUUUUCCUUCGACCGUGAGAUUGUGCAAGUCCCGGAUACCGUAGGAGUGCUUUGGGUGUAUCAAACGUCACAACGUAACUGGGUAACUAUAAAGGUGCACUACGGGUACCUCCGAAAGUGUCUGUUGGGUUGGCACGAAUCGAGAUCGGGAUUUGUCACUCCGUGUGACGGAGAGGUAUCUCUGGGCCCACUCGGUAGAACAUCAUCAUGAGCUCAAUGUGACUAAGGAGUUAGUCACACGAUGACGUGCUACGGAACGAGUAAAGAGACUUACCGGUAACGAGAUUGAACAAGGUAUAGGUAUACCGACGAUCGAAUCUCGGGCAAGUUCUAUACCGACAGACAAAGGGAAUCGUAUACGGGAUUGAUUGAAUCCUUGACAUCGUGGUUCAUCCGAUGAGAUCAUCGUGGAGCAAGUGGGAGCCACCAUGGGUAUCCAGACCCCGCUGAUGGUUAUUGGCCAGAGAGGUGUCUCGGUCAUGUCUGCCUGUCUCCCGAACCCGUAGGGUCUACACACUUACGGUUCGAUGACGCUAGGGUUAUAGGGAAUUAUUAUACGAGGUUACCGAAAGUUGUUCGGAGUUCCGGAUGAGAUCCCGGACGUCACAAGGUGCUCCGGAAUGGUCCGGAGGUAAAGAUUGAUAUAUAGGACGGAUGGUUUCGGACACCGGAAGUGUUUCGGGCAUCACCNGGAUCAGAUCCCGGACGUCACGAGGAGCUCCGAAAUGGUCCGGAGGUAAAGAUUGAUAUAUAGGACGGAUGGUUUCGGACACCGGAAGUGUUUCGGGCAUCACCGGUAACGUACCGGGACCACCGGGACCACCGGAGUUGGCCCCGGGGGACCACCGAAGGGGGCAACGACCCCGGGGGGUAAGGUGGGCCAAGUGAGGGUGGGAACCAGCCCCUAGGUGGGCUGGUGCGCCUCCCCACUCAGCCCAUGGCGCAAGGGAAAGAAAAAGGGGGGGCAAACCCUAGGCCAGGUGGGCCUAAGGCCCACGAGUGGGUGCGCCACCCCCUCCUCCCCCUCUGGCCGUCGCACCACCCAUCUGGGAGGGCUGCCGCACCCCCUAGGGUGGGAACCCUAGGGGUGGCACCCCCUCUCCCCUUCCCCUAUAUAUAGUGGGCACUUUUGGCCUUUGGAGGACACGGUUUUCCCUCUCCCUCGGCGCAGCCUUGCUCUUCUUCCUCCUCCUCUCCGCCGGUGCUUGGCGAAGCCCUGCCGGGAGACCUCGUCUCUCCACCGACACCACGCCCUCAUGUUGCUGGACUUCUUCCCCAACCUCUCCCUCCUCCUUGCUGGAUCAAGGUGCGGGAGACGUCACCGGGCUGCACGUGUGUUGAACGCGGAGGUGCCGUUGUUCGACACUAGAUCGGAAUCGUCGCGAGUACGACUCCAUCAACCGCGUUCUAGCAACGCUUCCGCUUAGCUAUCUUCAAAGGUAUGAAGAUGCUCUUACCCCUCUCUCGUUGCUGGUCUCUCCAUAGGAAGAUCUGAACAUGCGUAGGAAAAAUUUUGAAUUUAUGCUACGUUACCCAAAAGUGGCAUCAGAGCCAGGUUUUCUAUGCGUAGAUUUUAUGCACGAGUAGAACACAGAAGUUGUGGGCGAUGGUUUGUCAAUUUUCUUGCCGUUACUAGUCUUAUUCUUUUCCGGCGGUAUUGUGGGAUGAAGUGGCCCGGACCGACCUUACACGUACGCUUACGUGAGACUGGUUCCACCGACAGACAUGCACAUCGUGCAUAAAGGUGGCUAGCGGGUGUCUGUCUCUCCUACUCUAGUCGGAUUGGAUUUGAUGAAAAGGGUCCUUAUGAAGGGUAAAUAGCUUUGGCAUAUCGUCGUUGUGGCUUUCACGUAGGUAAGAAGGCGUUCUUGCUAGAAACCCAAAUCAGCCACGUAAAACUUGCAACAACAAUUAGAGGACGUCUAACUUGUUUUUACAGGGUUUGACAUGUGAUGUGAUAUGGCCAAAGUUGUGAUGUUGCAUGUAUGAUGUAUGAGAUGAUCAUGUUAUUUUAAUAGGUUUCACGACUUGCAUGUCGAUAAGUAUGACAACCGGCAGGAGCCAUAGGAGUUGUCUUAAUUUAUUGUAUGAGAUGCAACGCCAUGUGCUUACUACUUUUACUUCAUCGCUAACGGUUAGCCAUAGUAGUAGUGAUAGUAGUAGUUGGCGUGACGACUUCACGGAGACACGAUGAUGGAGAUCAUGGUGUCACGCCGGUGACGAUGAUGAUCAUGCGAUGCCUGAAGAUGGAGAUCGAAAGAGCAAAGAUGAUAAUGGCCAUAUCAUGUCACUAUAUGAUUGCAUUGUGAUGUUUAUCAUGUUUUAUAUCUUAUUGCUUAAAAAGACGGUAGCAUAAUAAGAUGAUCCCUCUUAAAAUUUCGAGAACGUAUUCCCCUAAGUGUGCACCGUUGCGAAGGUUCGUUGUCUCGAAGCACCACGUGAUGAUCGGGUGUGAUAGAUUCUAACGUUCGCAUACAACGGCUGUAAGCCAGAUUUACACACGCGAAACACCUAGGUUGACUCGACGAGCUUAGCAUGUACAGACAUGACCUCGAAUACAAGAGACCGAAAGGUUGAACAUGAGUCGUAUGGUUGAAUACGAUCAGCAAGAAGUUGCUCACCAUGGUGACUAGUCCGUCUCACGUGAUGAUCGGACACGGGUUAGUCAACAUGGAUCAUGUAUCACUUAGAUGACUAGAGGGAUGUCGAUUUAAGUGGGAGGUCAUACUUAAUUUGAUUAAAUGAACUUAAUUGUCAUGAACUUAGUCUAAAAUUUGUCUUUAUAAAUAUUGUAGAUGUCCAACGUCAACCUCAACUUCAACGCAUUCCUAGAGAAAAACAAGCUGAAAGAUGAUGGUAGCAACUAUGCGGACUGGGUUCGCAACCUGAAGCUCAUCCUUGAAGCAGCUAAAAAGGCUUAUGUCCUUAAUGCGCCGCUAGGUGACCCUCCCGCUCCCGCAGGAGCCCAGGACAUUCUAAACAUCUGGCAAGCGCGGAGUGAUGACUACUCUCUGGCCAGGUGUGGCAUGUUAUACAGUUUAGAAACAGAGCUCCAAAGACGUUUUGAGCAACACGGGGCAUAUGAGAUGUUCCAGGAGCUGAAGCUAGUUUUUCAAGCUCAUGCCCGUGUCGAGAGAUAUGAAGUCUCCGACUAGUUCUUCAGCUGUAAGAUGGAGGAGAAUAGUUCUGUCAGUGAGCACAUACUCAAAAUGUCUGGGUUACACGGUCGUCUGACUUCACUUGGAGUCGAACUUCCGGAUGAUGCUAUCAUUGACAGAAUCCUCCAGUCUCUCCCACCAAGCUACAAAGGCUUUGUGCUUAACUACAACAUGCAAGGGAUGGAGAAAACCAUUCCCGAGUUGUACUCGAUGCUCAAGUCUGCAGAAGUAGAAAUCAAGAAGGAGCAUCAAGUGUUGAUGGUCAACAAGACCACUAGUUUCAAGAAAGGCAAGGGUAAGAAGACCUUCAAGAAAGACGGCAAAGCUGUUGCCGCGCCCGGUAAGCCAGAUGUCGGGAAGAAGAAAAAGAACGGACCCAAGCCUGAGACUGAGUGCUUCUAUUGCAAGGGAAAAGGUCACUGGAAGCGGAACUGCCCCAAAUACUUAGCGGACAAGAAGGCCGGCAACGUUAAAGGUAUAUGUGAUAUACAUGUUAUUGAUGUGUACCUUACCAGCGCUCGUAGUAGCUCCUGGGUAUUUGAUACCGGUGCUGUUGCUCACAUUUGCGAUUCAAAGCAGGAACUGCGGAAUAAGCGGAGACUGGCCAAGGACGAGGUGACGAUGCGCGUCGGGAAUGGUUCAAAGGUCGAUGUGAUCGUCGUUGGCACGCUGCCUCUACAUCUACCGUCGGGAUUAGUUUUAAACCUUAAUAAUUGUUAUUUAGUACCAGCUUUAAGCAUGAACAUUGUAUCAGGGUCUUGCUUAAUGUGAGACGGCUACUCAUUUAAGUCAGAGAAUAAUGGUUGUUAUAUUUAUAUGAGUGAUAUGUUUUAUGGUCAUGCUCCGCUGGUGAAUGGUUUAUUCUUGAUGAAUCUCGAUCGUGAUGUUACACAUAUUCAUAGUGUGAAUACCAAAAGAUGCAAAGUUGAUAAUGAUAGUCCCACAUAGUUGUGGCACUGCCGCCUUGGUCAUAUCGGCAUUAAGCGCAUGAAGAAGCUCCAUACUGAUGGACUAUUAGAGUCUCUUGACUUUGAAUCAUUUGACACAUCCAAACCGUGCCUCAUGGGCAAGAUGACUAAGACUCCAUUCUCAGGAAUAAUGGAGAGAGCAACCGACUUAUUGGAAAUAAUACAUACUGAUGUGUGUGGUCCAAUGAACGUGGAAGCUCGCGGUGGUUAUCGUUAUGUUCUCACUCUCACCGAUGAUUUGAGUAGGUAUGGGUAUAUCUACUUGAUGAAGCACAAAUCUGAGACGUUUGAAAAGUUCAAGGAAUUUCAGAGUGAGGUUGAGAAUCAAGGUGACAGAAAAAUUAAAUGUCUACUCUGGUCGUGGAGGAGAAUAUUUGAGUCACGAGUUUGGCACACACCUAAGGAAGUGUGGAAUCGUUUCACAACUGACGCCGCCUGGCACACCGCAGCGCAACGGAGUGUCUGAACGUCGUAAUCGCACUUUAUUAGAUAUGGUACCACUACUGGAAUUCAGUUAUUUGCCGUCAGCCUCUUCUUUGCCGUCUGCUGGCUAAUGGCAAAGACACUAUUUGCCGUCAGUCACAAGAAAACGGACGGCAAAGGGAAGACUGAUGGCAAAGAUACUAUUUGCCAUCAGUCUGGUCUUUGCCGUCUGCUGGCUCAAGGCAAAGAGCAGGAGGGCAGACGGCAAAGAGCACGGGGCGGCCCACCACACACCCCCUCCCUCCUCAUAACGGUUGCUCUCUUUGUCGUCUGCCUUACACCUCUUUGCCGUCGGGGGGCGGACGGCAAAGAGAGGGCACCCCUAACGGCCGUCUCCCCCACCCCACGUCCCCCUGUCUCCGACAGUUACUCUCUCUGUCUCUCUCACCCCCCCUCUCUGCGAGCGCCCCCGCCUCCCUCAUCGUCACCCUCCGCCCGCACCCUCGCCCUCGCCCUCCUCGCCGUCCUCCCUCCGCCCGCACCCUCGCCCUCGCCCUCCUCGCCGUCCUCCAUCUGCCCUCACCCUCCCAUCACCGGCCAGACCCCCUCCUCGCUCAGCGGCACUCCUCCCUCCACCGGCUUGGAGCAGCAACCCCAUGGCAAUGACGAGGUCACCCGGACGCCAUUGACUCCCGAGACCAGCGUCGGAGCCAGGAGCAGCAGCCCUUCGACCGAUUCCUCUCGCCCAAAUCACAAGGUGAGCUCCAACAAUGGAUUUCUACCAAUGUUUUUUGACUUUGGAUAAGUACUAGUGGACUGGACAGAAACUUGUUAUGUGUUGAAUAUCCCUUAAUUAGUUUAUGCCACCACAAUCUUGUUUUAGUUUAGGUUUAGGUUUAGNNNNNNNNNNNNNNNNNNNNNNNNNNNNNNNNNNNNNNNNNNNNNNNNNNNNNNNNNNNNNNNNNNNNNNNNNNNNNNNNNNNNNNNNNNNNNNNNNNNNNNNNNNNNNNNNNNNNNNNNNNNNNNNNNNNNNNNNNNNNNNNNNNNNNNNNNNNNNNNNNNNNNNNNNNNNNNNNNNNNNNNNNNNNNNNNNNNNNNNNNNNNNNNNNNNNNNNNNNNNNNNNNNNNNNNNNNNNNNNNNNNNNNNNNNNNNNNNNNNNNNNNNNNNNNNNNNNNNNNNNNNNNNNNNNNNNNNNNNNNNNNNNNNNNNNNNNNNNNNNNNNNNNNNNNNNNNNNNNNNNNNNNNNNNNNNNNNNNNNNNNNNNNNNNNNNNNNNNNNNNNNNNNNNNNNNNNNNNNNNNNNNNNNNNNNNNNNNNNNNNNNNNNNNNNNNNNNNNNNNNNNNNNNNNNNNNNNNNNNNNNNNNNNNNNNNNNNNNNNNNNNNNNNNNNCUCCUCCUUCUUCUCCUCUUUCAUAUUAUCCUUGCUUUAAUUAACCCAACAAUGACAUAAUUAGCCCAUUUAGCUCCAAAAUACCAUAAUAAGCUCAAAAUGGCAUAAGAACCUUGGUUAGCUCAUUAAUAUUAUAUACUUAGCUUGUUUUCCUCUAAAAUGACAUAAUUGGAAUAUUUGUGUUGAUCGGGUGGAUUUACAUGUGAUAGUUGUCUCGUCGCUGUGAGGUCUGCUGUGCGAAGACCUGCCCGUGCGUUGUACGAGCUCCGCCCCUGCAUUCGUGGGUCAGUACAAAUUUCAUCUCCUCCCCGCCCCUUCAUUUACUGUGGCUCGGUUUCCGGAUGAAACUUUCUAGAUUUAGGUAAUUCAAUUAAUUUAUCAGUAUGCGUGACCAGUAUGCGUCUCCCGUUCGAAAGGGCGACAUCUAUAAAUAUGCAUGUCUUUGCAUAUUUAUAACCGCCAUCCUUUCGAAUUGUCCAACAUUAUCCAUGGACAAUCCGAGUAUGUUUAGAUUGGGUUCGUUUUCCCGCAUGCUGUGCUCUGGAUCCGAUGCGGAAUUUCGUCAGUGCCUCCCUGUUGUUCUCCGGAUGCACAUCCUCUCUGUUUAUUGCGGAGACGUGUAUCAGGAGAACAGCGGGGAGGUGCUGCCGAAAUUUUGCGUUGGAUCCAGAGCAGAGCAUGGGAAAAUGAACCCAAUCUACACAUACUCGGGUGGGAUUAGGACCUAUCUUUACCUAUUAGCGUGUACGUUGCCUGGACGUAAUAAAAAUGGCGAAAUAUGAAUAUAAAUGCUAAAUUAUAUAUCUAAAUAUAUUUCUUCUGUCUUUAGUAGCUACGCAAGAUGAGUGAUCGUGCGUGGAUGUAUACCGGUCACCCUAGUCAGAAAGAGAUGACGAAAGAAUGGUUUUUAAAAACAAAGGAAUUUGUGAAAGCCGCAUUCGCAAAUGGCCAGGAAAGAAACUAUUGCCCCUGUCCUGGAUGCGACAACUAUAAAAAGACGACAGAGGCUGUAAUGAUUAAACACCUGCAGAGGAGGGGUUUUAAGCCUAAUUAUACGGUGUGGACAUUUCAUGGUGAGUCUAUACAACGCACAAGAGCUGAGGUGGUCCGUCGUCGCACGGACGAGCAUGGUACUGGGAUCGAAGACAUGGUGCAAGACUUUGAUGAUGCUCGGGAUUCGGAAGAUGAGAUGGAGGAAUCUGCAAAGGCCUUUUAUGAAAUGUUGGAGUCUUCAAAACGUCCUCUCCAUGAGCACACUGAGCUCUGUCAGCUGGAUGCAAUUGCACAAGUAAUGGCUCUGAAGGCUGAGUUCAACUUGGGAAGAGAAUGCUACGACGCGAUGAUGACACUAUUUGCACGUUUCCUACCCAAAGGCCAUGUCAUGCCUGCAAACCUGUACCAGUCGGACAAAAUACUUCGUGUACUUAAGAUGCCCUAUGAGAAGAUAGAUGCAUGUGAGAAAGGAUGUGUCUUAUUUAGGAAGGAGUAUGCACACUUGGACUAUUGUCCCAAUUGCGAGUCUUGCAGGUAUCUUGUGGUAGACAACGGUAUGGGUGAGAAGAGGCAGACCAAAAUCGCAGUUAGUGUUCUUCGGUAUAUGCCAAUCGUACCAAGACUUCAACGUCUUUUCAUGGUCGAAGAGACAGCCAGACAGAUGACAUGGCACAAAUUGGGCAAAAGAACCGAACUAGAUGCGGAUUGGAAUAAGAUGAUGGUACACACAUCGGAUGGGGAAGCGUGGAAACAUUUCGAUGGAUUGCAUCAGGAUAAAGCGGGAGAUCCAAGGAAUCCUCGAGUCUACGUCGCCACGGAUGGUUUUAAUCCCUUCGGCAUGACGGCAACCCAAUACAAUUGUUGGCCUAUAUUUGUCAUUCCACUGAAUCUCCCCCCCCCCGGGCAGAUUAUGCAAAGAAAGAACAUAUUUCUGACGUUGAUAAUUCCAGGGCCCAAUUAUCCGGGGAAGAAUAUGAAUGUGUACCUGCAACCGCUUAAGGAUGAAUUGGAAGAAGCUUGGGAAAAUGGGGUCAAGACAUACGAUGCCGCUAGAAAAGAAAACUUCAAAAUGCAUGUGUGGUACAUGUACUCUAUGCAUGACUUGCCAGCGUAUGCGCUAUUCUCUAGAUGGUGUGUGCAUGGAAGGUUCCCGUGCCCCCAAUGCAAGGCAGCUCUUCAGUUUCAUUGGUUGCAGGAGGGUCGGAAGUAUUCUUGCUUUGACUUGCAUAGACAGUUCCUGGAUCCGGACCAUCAGUUCAAAAAGACAAGAAGAACUUUACCAAAGGUAAAGUUGUCAAAAACUUGGCACCACAUGCGUUCACAGGCCAACAGAUCCUAGAUCACUUAAACGCCCUCGAACCUGAUCCAGAGCGUCCAGGGUAUUUCAAGGGGUAUAAUUCAAAACAUGCCUGGACUCACAAGCCAUGCUUCUGGGAUCUGCCUUACUUCAAAGACCUCCUUCUUCCACACAAUAUCGACAUGAUGCACACUGAAAAGAAUAUCGGAGAGGCUAUUUUUGGUACAUUGUUCGACAUAGAUGGGAAGACAAAGGAUAAUAUUAAGGCUAGAGUCGAUCAAGAGACACUAUGUCAUAGACCGUUACAAAACAUGCGAGAAGGCAAAGGAAAGCAGAAGUGGUCGAAGCCAAAGGCCUGGUUCAAUCUUGGAAGGCCAGCUAUGAGGAAAAUUAUCUUGUGGGUCAAAAUGCACUUGAUGUUCCCCGAUGGGUAUGCAGUGAAUCUAAAGAGGGGAGCGAGUCUUGAAAAAUUAAAAAUCUUUGGUCUCAAGAGUGAUGAUUGGCACAUAUGGCGAGAGCGGGUAAUGCCGGUGAUGUUACGUGGCUUUAUUCCUGAGGAUGAAUGGCUAGUACUGGCGGAGCUGAGCUAUUUCUUCCAUAGUUCUUUGUGCGAAAGAAUUAUUGCCUGGCGUGGUAGAAGACAUGGAGGAGUUUGCACCGGAGUUGUUGUGCAAGUUAGAGAAGAUAUUUCCAUCGGGCUUCUUUAAUCCAAUGCAGCAUUUGAUUUUACAUCUACCGACCGAGGCAAGAUUGGGUGGGUCCGUGCAAGAUCGUUGGUGCUAUGCAACUGAGAGGAUGCAGAAGACCCUUCGAGCUAAAUGUAAAAAUAAGCGUAGAAUUGAAGCAUCGAUGGCUGAGGCAUUCAUUACUGAGGAGGUGGCAAACUUUGUGACAGCACACUACGAAGCCAAAAAUCAUCAUUUGCAUAAUCCGAAGCCUCGGCACAAUGAUGGAGACCCUAAAAAAGGUGGGUCCAACCUCAGCCUAUUCAAAGGGAAGCUCGCACCAGCCGGUGCUUCAAAACCAAUAACGUUGGAUAUCGAAGAAUGGCGGAACAUUUCGUUGUAUAUCUUCAACAACCUAACAGAAGUGCGGCCGUACAUCGAGUGAGUUUUCGGCACAUUUUCCCGUAACUUCUAAUUCAUUUGAACUGAUCUUAUUCCCGGAUAUUUCAAACAGCCGUUACGUCGUCAAAUUCUCGGAUGGAGCGGUGAUCGAAAAUGAUUCCGUCGAAGAGUAUGAGCUUCUGUCAAAGACAGGAGGCGGCUAUCCCGGUUUCAUCUCUUGGUUCAAACAAACGGUAAUUAUCAAUAAUGGACCAUUUCAUUCUUGGUCUAACUUGCGGCUAAUGCAACAACCGUUUCGUAUUAAACUUGUAGGCUAAUUCAGAGUCUAUGGACGCCGACUUGAGACAAGUCGCUAAUGGUUUUGACUAUAAGGUCCGUUCAUUUGAGAAAUACAACAUCAACGGGUAUCUCUUUCGUACCUUUGGCAAAGAGCUAUCUAUGCCCGACCGGAAAUCUACAAAUUGUGGUGUCUCUGCUAUCGGCGAAGGUGUUAUCGAGUAUUAUGGAAGAGUUGAAGCAAUUUAUGAACUUCAAUUCUAUGGUGAAAACCCACCGAACGUCGUAGUCUUCAAAUGUUAUUGGUUCCAGCCGAAAAAGACUAGAAGGACUCAUGAACAUAUAGGACUAGUCGAAAUCAAUCCAAACACCCAUUUAGAUGUUCCCGAUGUCUAUAUUACGGCUCAACAGGCGACCCAAGUUUUCUAUCUACCGUGGGCAUGCCAAACGGAUAAGAAUCUGGAAGGUUGGUAUGUUGUUUAUGAAGUGCCGCCACAUGUCAGACCACCUCUCCCAAAUGAACAGGAUUAUGAACCUCACAUUAACCCAGACACAUAUGAUGGAGAAUUCUUCCAAGAAACACGUCUUUCCAAGAAACGUUUCAAGAACCGCCGUGCUUCAUCCAAGAACAUGGAAGUAGACAGCGACAAUGAAUCCGACUCCAGCCCUGAGCCGGAACCAGAAGACCUGGAACUCGUAGAGGUUACUGAUGCGGAUGACCUGUCAAUGCUUCAACGAUUAAAGGAAGGCCUUUCACAACUUCACGCCGUUGAACCCGAUGAGCACGUCAUUCAUGAAGACAUGCGUGAUAGUGAUGAUGAUGAUGCAUUUAUUGAUGAUGAUUAUUAGUUUGUAAGAUUCAAAACUUAAAUUAUAUAUAUUUUAAUCUUUAUUAUUCAUGUACAUAUUAUUAUUCAUGUCAGUCAUUCAAUUUUUUUAUUUUGUACUAAUUUCUUUUAAUCUUUAUCAUGGCAGGUGUUGAAAGAUGGUGGGCGCGGGUCAAGAUCGCUCGACGAGUUCUUCCCAGGCGCCCCGCACGAGGGGUGGUACUACCCUUCCACCCCUAUCUCUCCGUAGAGCCUUGGUAGACAGUCUUUCGACACCAGCCGUGGGUUCUUCUUCGUCGGCGGCAUUGCCCGCUGGGAGAGGUGCUGGUCGGGGAGGGAAGAAGGGGAAGGGUACAGGGAGAGGUGGUGGGCGCGAAAGAUCCAGGAGGACUGUUGAGCCGUCCUCGCCACCACCACCAGCUCAUUCACCCGAGCAUAGGACUAGUAUGGUCGACCCGUUUGCGGAGGAGGCUACGGGGACUCCGGUCCAGGAGCCUCGUGUUCACGGGCAUUCGUCCCAUGAGACUCCGGUCCAGGAGCAGCCUUGGGUCGAGGUGCACUCGGCCCAGGAGCAGCCGAAGGAGACUACGGUUCCGGAGGCUUCACCCGACGAGGAGAGGCCCGGAUGGGAGCCUUGGCCGGAUCAAACCGAGUUGCCGGAUUGGAUCGAGGGUCCGGGUGGCUCAGGGGGCGGGGAUGGCGGGGAUGAGCUUACGGAUAGCGAGGGCGAUGUGCAGGUGGACGGGGCCCCGGCUACCGUGUACAAGCGCGGUAGUACACGUCUCCCGGUCGCCCCAGCUACCCGCGAGCAGAGGCCGGUGAUUAAACCUGAAGGAGAUAGGUAAGUACAUUUACCCUUUUUUUAGCUUUUGCCUUCAAGUUUGUUCAAAUAUCUAAUGCGCUGACCUUAUCAUACUGCAGGGGAUGGGUACACCCUCUUGGAGUCCGCAGGCCGAACUCCGUCCUUGGUGUGCUUUGCCGGACAAAUUUCCCGGGGUUUGUCACGUUGCCUGGUGAGGGUCAGGUUCCUACACUAGGAUUUACCUGGGAGCACUACCAGGCUGCGCCGGCCCCGCCGGAGGAGAUUAUAGAUGGUGUCUUGUGCCACACAUAAUUAGCCCAUUUAGCUCCAAAAUACCAUAAUAAGCUCAAAAUGCCAUAAGAACCUUGGUUAGCUCAUUAAUAUUAUAUACUUAGCUUGUUUUCCUCUAAAAUGAGAUAAUUAGCCCAUUUAGCUCAAAAAAGACAUAAUUAGGUAAUUUAGCUCCAACAAGAGGAGAAGAGGAGAAGAAAUANNNNNNNNNNNNNNNNNNNNNNNNNNNNNNNNNNNNNNNNNNNNNNNNNNNNNNNNNNNNNNNNNNNNNNNNNNNNNNNNNNNNNNNNNNNNNNNNNNNNNNNNNNNNNNNNNNNNNNNNNNNNNNNNNNNNNNNNNNNNNNNNNNNNNNNNNNNNNNNNNNNNNNNNNNNNNNNNNNNNNNNNNNNNNNNNNNNNNNNNNNNNNNNNNNNNNNNNNNNNNNNNNNNNNNNNNNNNNNNNNNNNNNNNNNNNNNNNNNNNNNNNNNNNNNNNNNNNNNNNNNNNNNNNNNNNNNNNNNNNNNNNNNNNNNNNNNNNNNNNNNNNNNNNNNNNNNNNNNNNNNNNNNNNNNNNNNNNNNNNNNNNNNNNNNNNNNNNNNNNNNNNNNNNNNNNNNNNNNNNNNNNNNNNNNNNNNNNNNNNNNNNNNNNNNNNNNNNNNNNNNNNNNNNNNNNNNNNNNNNNNNNNNNNNNNNNNNNNNNNNNNNNNNNNNNNNNNNNNNNNNNNNNNNNNNNNNNNNNNNNNNNNNNNNNNNNNNNNNNNNNNNNNNNNNNNNNNNNNNNNNNNNNNNNNNNNNNNNNNNNNNNNNNNNNNNNNNNNNNNNNNNNNNNNNNNNNNNNNNNNNNNNNNNNNNNNNNNNNNNNNNNNNNNNNNNNNNNNNNNNNNNNNNNNNNNNNNNNNNNNNNNNNNNNNNNNNNNNNNNNNNNNNNNNNNNNNNNNNNNNNNNNNNNNNNNNNNNNNNNNNNNNNNNNNNNNNNNNNNNNNNNNNNNNNNNNNNNNNNNNNNNNNNNNNNNNNNNNNNNNNNNNNNNNNNNNNNNNNNNNNNNNNNNNNNNNNNNNNNNNNNNNNNNNNNNNNNNNNNNNNNNNNNNNNNNNNNNNNNNNNNNNNNNNNNNNNNNNNNNNNNNNNNNNNNNNNNNNNNNNNNNNNNNNNNNNNNNNNNNNNNNNNNNNNNNNNNNNNNNNNNNNNNNNNNNNNNNNNNNNNNNNNNNNNNNNNNNNNNNNNNNNNNNNNNNNNNNNNNNNNNNNNNNNNNNNNNNNNNNNNNNNNNNNNNNNNNNNNNNNNNNNNNNNNNNNNNNNNNNNNNNNNNNNNNNNNNNNNNNNNNNNNNNNNNNNNNNNNNNNNNNNNNNNNNNNNNNNNNNNNNNNNNNNNNNNNNNNNNNNNNNNNNNNNNNNNNNNNNNNNNNNNNNNNNNNNNNNNNNNNNNNNNNNNNNNNNNNNNNNNNNNNNNNNNNNNNNNNNNNNNNNNNNNNNNNNNNNNNNNNNNNNNNNNNNNNNNNNNNNNNNNNNNNNNNNNNNNNNUUAUUCCCAUUUUGCAGAUUGGAUGUACUACAUGCAUGGAAGCUGGCGUUGGAGUGCUUCAGUUUCCGUUUCUAUUUGAGUUGAUGAACAAUGUGUUGGUUCUUUGUACGUGUUGAUGAACAAUAUAUGUGCAACUAUAUGUAUGUAUAUAUGGAUGAAAUUUUGUAUGUGUUGGUUCUUUUGAUAUAUGGGAUGUACGUUGAUGAACAAAUGUCAUUGAUGAGCUUUAUAUGUAUAUCAUAUAUGUGUUGUGAUCUAUUUAUGAUAUAUGUGCUAUGAAUUAUAUGUAUAUGUGAUGUGAAAUAGAAAAAAUAAAUAAAAAUGUGACAAUAUAGGCUCUUUCCCGUCUGCCAGCUGAUGGCAAAGGUCUUUGCCGUCUGCCGGCCGACGACAAAGGUGCCACGUGGCGCCCAGCUGUGCAACCUGGGCAGUAGCAGGUGGCCAUAUAGUCUCUUUGCCGUCUACAUAGAGGAGGGGCCAGACAGCAAAGAGGAGGGCACAGAGGAGGGGGCAGACGGCAAAAGUGGAGAGAGGGGGAGGGCAGGACCCGGCAGACGGCAAAGAUUGGCAAGCGGGCAGACGGCAAAGAUGGAGGGGGGAGGAGAAGGCUGACGGCAAAGAUGGAUGGUCAGGCCAACGGCAAAGAUGGGGGAGGCAGACGGCAAAGCCUCCGUUAACCCCUAACGGAGGCAACGCCUUUCGGCUGCCGUCUCAAGAGCUUUGCCGACUGCUCCUAAGGAAAGCUGACGACAAAGAGCUUUGCCGUCCGCUUUGGGGGGCAGACGGCAAAGAAGGUCCUAUGCCGUCGUAGGCUGACGCAGAAAUUUUGCCGGCCGUGAGAUUCUUUGCCGUCUGUGGUAUUGUCUUUGCCGUCCGGGAUAGUGUCUUUGCCGUCUGUGAUGGCAGACGGCAAAGAAGUUGAUUCCUGUAGUGUACGAUCUAUGAUGUCUCUCACCGACUUACCGCUAUCAUUUUGGGGAUACGCAUUAGAAACUGCAGCAUUCACUUUAAAUAGGGCACCGUCUAAAUCCGUUGAGACGACACCGUAUGAACUAUGGUUUGGCAAGAAACCUAAGUUGUCGUUUCUUAAAGUUUGGGGCUGCGAUGCUUAUGUGAAGAAACUUCAACCAGAAAAGCUCGAACCCAAAGCAGAGAAAUGCGUAUCCAUAGGAUACCCUAAGGAAACUAUUGGGUAUACCUUCUAUCUUAGAUCCGAAGGUAAAACCUUUGUUGCCAAGAACGGAUCCUUUCUAGAGAGAGAGUUUCUCUCGAAAGAAGUAAGUGGGAGGAAGGUAGAACUUGAUGAGGUAAUUACACCCCCUCUCGAACAGGAAAGUAGUGCAGCGCAGGAAGAUGUUCCUGUGGCGCCUACACCGACUGAAGAGGAAGUUAAUGAUGAUGAUCAUGAAGCUUCGGAUCAAGUUACUACUGAACCGCGAAGGUCCACAAGGGUACGCUCCGCACCAGAGUGGUACGACAACCCUGUGAUGGAAAUCAUGUUGUUAUACAACGGUGAACCUUCGAACUAUGAAGAAGCGAUGGCGGGCCCGGAUUCCAACAAAUGGCUUGAGGCCAUGAAGUCCGAGAUAGGAUCCAUGUAUGAGAACAAAGUAUGGACUUUGGUGGACUUGCCCGAUGACCGGCGAGCCAUAGAAAAUAAAUGGAUCUUCAAGAAGAAGACUGAUGCAAACGGUAAUGUAACCGUUUACAAAGCUCGACUUGUCGCAAAGGGUUUUCGACAAAUUCAAGGAGUUGACUACGAAGAGACUUUCUCUCCCAUAGCGAAGCUGAAAUCAGUCCUAAUCAUGUUAGCAAUUGCCGCCUUUUAUGAUUAUGAAAUUUGGCAAAUGGACGUCAAAACAGCAUUCCUUAACGGGAACCUUAAGGAAGAGUUGUAUAUGAUGCAACCAGAAGGUUUUGUCGACCCUAAGGGUGCUAACAAAGUGUGCAAGCUCCAGCGCUCCAUCUAUGGGCUGGUGCAAGCAUCUCGGAGUUGGAACAUUCUCUUUAAUGAGGUGAUUAAAGCGUUUGGGUUCAUACAGGUUUACGGAGAAGCCUGUCUGUACAAGAAAGUGAGUGGGAGCUCUGUAGCUUUCCUCGUACUAUAUGUAGAUGACAUAUUAUUGAUGGGGAAUAAUAUAGAGAUGUUGGAGAGCAUAAAGGCCUAUUUGAACAAGAGUUUUUCAAUGAAGGACCUUGGAGAAGCUGCAUACAUAUUAGGCAUCAAGAUCUAUAGAGAUAGAUCGAGACGCCUCAUAGGUCUUUCGCAAAGUACAUACCUUGACAAGAUAUUGAAGAAGUUCAAUAUGGAAAACUAAAAGAAAGGGUUCUUGCCAGUUUUGCAAGGAAUGAGAUUGAGUAAGACUCAGUCGCCGACCACGGCAGCAGAUAGAGAGAAGAUGAGUUCUGUCCCCUACACUUCAGCCGUGGACUCUCUAAUGUAUGCCAUGUUGUGUACCAGACCUGAUAUAAACCUUGCCAUAAGUUUGGUAGGGAGGUACCAAAGUGAUCCCGGUACGGAACACUGGAUAGCGGUCAAGAAUAUCCUUAAGUACCUGAAAAGGACUAAGGAAAUGUUUCUCGUUUAUGGAGGUGACGAAGAGCUCGUCGUAAAGGGUUACGUCGAUGCUAGCUUCGACACAGAUCCGGAUGACUCUAAGUCUCAGACCGGAUACGUAUAUAUGUUGAAUGGUGGGGCAGUGAGCUGGUGCAGCAGCAAGCAAGAAGUCGUGGCAGCAUCUACAUGUGAAGCGGAGUACAUAGCUGCUUCAGAAGCGGCUCAUGAAGGAAUUUGGAUGAAGGAGCUCAUCACCGACCUUGGAGUGGUUCCAAGUGCGUCGGGUCCUAUGACACUCUUCUGUGAUAACACUGGAGCCAUUGCCAUAGCAAAGGAGCCCAGGUUUCACCGGAAGACGAAGCACAUCAAGCGCCGCUACAACUCCAUCCAGGACCAUGUCCAGAGUGGAGUGAUAGAUAUUUGUAAAGUACACACGGAUCUGAAUAUUGCAGACCCGUUGACUAAACCUCUUCCACGAGCAAAACAUGAUCAGCACCAUAAUGCUAUGGGUGUUCGAUACAUCACAAUGUAACUAGAUUAUUGACUCUAGUGCAAGUGGGAGACUGUUGGAAAUAUGCCCUAGAGGCAAUAAUAAAAUGGUUAUUAUCAUAUUUCCUUGUUCAUGAUAAUCGUCUAUCGUUCAUGCUAUAAUUGUAUUAACAGGAAACAGUAAUACAUGUGUGAAUGAAUAGAUCACAAUGUGUCCCUAGCAAGCCUCUAGUUGGCUAGCUCGUUAGUCAAUAGAUGAUCAUGGUUUCCUGAUCAUGGGCAUUAGAUGUCAUUGAUAACGGGAUCACAUCAUUGGGAGAAUGAUGUGAUGGACAAGACCCAAUCCUAAGCCUAGCACUAGAUCGUAUUGUUCAUAUGCUAAUGCUUUUCUAAUGUCAAGUAUCUUUUCCUUUGACCGUGAGAUUGUGCAACUCCCGGAUACCGUAGGAGUGCUUUGGGUGUAUCAAACGUCACAACGUAACUGGGUGACUAUAAAGGUGCACUACGGGUACCUCCGAAAGUGUCUGUUGGGUUGGCACGAAUCGAGAUCAGGAUUUGUCACUCCGUGUGACGGAGAGGUAUCUCUGGGCCCACUCGGUAGAACAUCAUCAUGAGCUCAAUGUGACUAAGGAGUUAGUCACACGAUGACGUGCUACGGAACGAGUAAAGAGACUUACCGGUAACGAGAUUGAACAAGGUAUAGGUAUACCGACGAUCGAAUCUCGGGCAAGUUCUAUACCGACAGACAAAGGGAAUCGUAUACGGGAUUGAUUGAAUCCUUGACAUCGUGGUUCAUCCGAUGAGAUCAUCGUGGAGCAAGUGGGAGCCACCAUGGGUAUCCAGACCCCGCUGAUGGUUAUUGGCCAGAGAGGUGUCUCGGUCAUGUCUGCCUGUCUCCCGAACCCGUAGGGUCUACACACUUACGGUUCGAUGACGCUAGGGUUAUAGGGAAUUAUUAUACGAGGUUACCGAAAGUUGUUCGGAGUUCAGGAUCAGAUCCCGGACGUCACGAGGAGCUCCGAAAUGGUCCGGAGGUAAAGAUUGAUAUAUAGGACGGAUGGUUUCGGACACCGGAAGUGUUUCGGGCAUCACCGGUAACGUACCGGGACCACCGGAGGUGGCCCCACGGGACCACCGAAGGGGGCAAUGACCCCGGGAGGUAAGGUGGGCCAAGUGAGGGUGGGAACCAGCCCCUAGGUGGGCUGGUGCGCCUCCCCACUCAGCCCAUGGCGCAAGGGAAAGAAAAAGGGGGGGCAAACCCUAGGCCAGGUGGGCCUAAGGCCCACGAGUGGGUGCGCCACCCCCUCCUCCCCCUCUGGCCGUCGCACCACCCAUCUGGGAGGGCUGCCGCACCCCCUAGGGUGGGAACCCUAGGGGUGGCACCCCCUCUCCCCUUCCCCUAUAUAUAGUGGGCACUUUUGGCCUUUGGAGGACACGGUUUUCCCUCUCCCUCGGCGCAGCCUUGCUCUUCUUCCUCCUCCUCUCCGCCGGUGCUUGGCGAAGCCCUGCCGGGAGACCUCGUCUCUCCACCGACACCACGCCCUCAUGUUGCUGGACUUCUUCCCCAACCACUCCCUCCUCCUUGCUGGAUCAAGGUGCGGGAGACGUCACCGGGCUGCACGUGUGUUGAACGCGGAGGUGCCGUUGUUCGGCACUAGAUCAGAAUCGCCGCGAGUACGACUCCAUCAACCACGUUCUAGCAACGCUUCCGCUUAGCGAUCUUCAAAGGUAUGAAGAUGCUCUUACCCCUCUCUCGUUGCUAGUCUCUCCAUAGGAAGAUCUGAACAUGCGUAAGAAAAUUUUUGAAUUUAUGCUACGUUACCCAAAAGUAGUAGCGCGGCCCCCCGCGCUACUAAUAGGUCAUUAUCUCGUGCUACUACUAUGGUUUUCCCUAGUAGUGAAGAGACGUGAUGAGAAUGAGAUUGAACUAGGUAUGGAGAUAACGACGAUCGAAUCUCGGGCAUGUAACAUACCGAUGGACAAAGGGAACUCCAUACGGGAUUUCCUAAAUCCUUGAUAUCGUGGUUCGACCGAUAUAGAUCUUUGUAGAAUAUGUAGGAACCAAUAUGGGCAUCUAGGUUCCGCUAUUGGUUAUUGACCGUAGAUAUGUCUCGGUCAUGUCUGCAUAGUUCUCGAACCAACGGGGUUUGCACACUUAACGUUCAAUGAUGAUAUAGAUAUAGUUGAGUUAUUGUGUUGGUGACCGAAGGUUGUUAGGAGUCCCGGAUUAGACCCUAGUAAUGAAGAGGAGCUUCGGAAUGUUCUAGAUGUAAAGAUUCAUAUAUGGUAAGUUGGUAUUCGAGUUUCAGAAGAGUUUCAAAAGGUUACCGGUUUUGUGAUGGAGGUUCCGGAAUUGUUCCGGGGGUCGACCGGAGGGUCCAACUGCCCCGAAGGUCCCCGUGGCCUAUGGGAGGUGGCGCACCAGCCCAUGGUGGGCUGGCCGCCACUCCCACCUGAGGUGCGUGCGGCCAAGGAGGUGGGCUGGCCUAAAGGAGGCUGCCGCCCCACUCUCCUUGGGUGCCAAGGCAUCUUGGCCGCCGCCCCAAGCCUAGGGAAAACCCUAGGGUGCCACCCCUCCUCCCUUCUCCCUAUAUAUAUUAGAGGGGAGGGGCAGACAUACCUGAAAGCCACAUCGCAUCCCUCAUCUAUCUCUUGUAGUACUUCUCCCUCGUUCUUGUCAUGGCAACGCUGGGCAAAGCCCUGCCGGGACAGCUCCACCACCAGCACCACCACGUCGUCGUGCUACCGGAGAACUGAAGCUACUACUUCACCUUCGCUCACUGGAUCGAGGUGGUGAAGGCAUCAUCGAUUUGCACGUGUGCUGAAUGCGGAGGUGUCGUCCGUUCAACACUUGAUCGGGACGUGAUUGGAUCGCGAAGACAUUUGACUACAUCAACCGCGUUUCUUAACACUUCCGCUUAGUGAUCUACAAGGGUAUGUAGAUGCACUUCCCUUCUCGUAGCUGUUCAUCUCCAUAGAUUGAUCUUGGAUGUGUGUCGGAAUUUUUUUGUUUACCAUGCAAUGUUCUCUAACAUCGCGAAGACGUUUGGAUAUUUUCAUAUGAAAGCAUUAACGUUUGUGUAUUUGAUGCCUUAUGGUCGUGUUAUAUAGUUGAUCUAGGCAUACGAACAUACAUUGGUAUUGUCCUCUCUUUCAUUUCCUAUGUUGUAUUUGGUACUGUGUAUUAAAAAAUAACUUAUUUUAAUCUGGUCUCAUUGGAGAUCAUCAUAUCAUUUCAGUCUGAUGUUUACUUUUUUAGUAAGCAGGUGUAUUUUUCACCCUUAUGAGGUGUACCACGAGAUCAUGAAACUUUAGGAAAUACGAACCUUUAGGAUUUAUAUAGUUUCAUUAAGUCGGUAGGUAAAUUGUGUAAACCAUAUAUUAUUGUUGUAAGUGACAAAUUCAUAAAGUUAUGGUGGUUUCUAUUGUUCAUGGAUGUCUUCUAUGCAUUUUAAUUUACAAAAACAAUAUCUUUGAUAAACAAAUAUGGGAAAUCAUGGCAAUUUUGUUGAGUUUGGCAAUUUUCUUGAACCUCUUAUUAUUUCUGGACCCUUUUUCUUUUAAGUUUCCUUCAAUUAGCUUGAUGUGCUUACCUUCUUUUGUAUGACUAUGCCAUUUGUAGUUGCAUAUUGAGCAUGUCUCUCUCUAGAGAAGAUAUGGGAGAAACCCACGUGUAUGAAUAUGAUCUGAGUGUGCUCUUCUUUAUUUAGAAGCUUGAGGCGACUUAUUAGUAUGAAGUGGCGCCUAUGAAGUUGAUUGCCAAGGCACUGGAAUGAAACCACUUAUUAGUAUGCUUGGUAGCUAUGCAUCCGUAGUUAUCUCCUUUAUGACGUUCCUGCUUUUAUUACUCCCUUUCCUAUAUUCGUGGUUUUUAUAUCGAAGUUCAUGUCGAGUGUGUGUGCCUUUCGUAUUGAACUUCAUCUCAAGUGACUUAUCAUUUGUUGUUUUGUGAACGCACUAAACUUGAUGCUAUCUUAUAAUCUCAUAUGAUAUUGAGCGUUACUAUGCCUUGAUCAUGUGACAAUUGAAUAUUUCUUUUUCUGUCUAUUGUUAUCUUGUAUGAAUACAUAUAUAUUAAAUCUAGAUUUCUACUAACUCACCAUUAGCUUCUUGACCAAAAGGAUUGCACCUGCACCCUCAUGCCAAGGCACGAUCCUGAACUAGUUAAAACUAGAAGCACAGGCGAAAACAACAAACAUAGAAGCAUACACCGCUGAUUCUGAGUCAAUAACAUUGUACAUACACUCUGCGUUGAGCAAACGUAGCAGGGAUCCGAUCAAAGAAAAGGGGAAUUUCUACUUUAAAUGCAAGACUUGGAGAAUACAGACCAUAUAGUAUCCAUCAGUAGUACCACUAGUGAGCUAGUGACCAUAUAGUAUCCAUCGGUAGUACGAGUAGAAAACUGGACAUUAGUCCCGGUUUCAGAGGAACUUUAGUCCCGGUUGUGCAACCGGGACUAAUCCUUCGGGACUAAAGGUCCCAUUAUUUAGUCCUGAUUGUGUUACAAACCAGGAUUAAAGGGGGUCCACGUGACCGUUGCGCAUCGCUCAGGCAGGAGGACCUUUAGUCCCAGUUGGUAACCCCAACCGAGACUAAAGAGAUUCACGCGUAUUUUUUGAGGGGUUUUGGAGGGGUUUGGAGGGGUAUAGGGUUUUCGAGGGGUUUAGCGGGUCUUUUGAGUUAGAAACCAAAUCCAUGUUUUUUACUAGUGUCUGCGCGUCGGCUAGCUAUCAAUAACAAUGAAGGAACCGUUACACAAUAUCGUCAUGAAUAUGAAGUGACACUGUUCCUCGACGCUAGCUACUAAUAGCAAUGAGAAGUGACAUAUAUAUAUUCGACGCUACUACAUGUAAUACACAUUCAUUCAUAUAUACAAUAUAUAUCUCUCAUGAUCCCUACUAUCUAAUUACCAUCAUCCACUAUCACUUGAUGAUGUUAUUCUUUGGUUGGUGAUAUGACCUUAUCAAGGAAGAAUCCCGCCAAUUCCUCUUGAAUUGCUUGUAUGCGAUUCUCUCGUAGGAGUUCAUCCCGCUUCCGUUGGAUCUAAUUUAAACAAGGCGGUCAAUAUGAAACUCAAUAAAAUUGAUGUUAAUAAAAUAAAAUUAUGAAUAUUGUUUACGUACGACAAGUUUUUCAAAAUUUCUGACCGUCUCGCAGGUCGUCUGACAAACGAACUCGCAAACGUAGUAUCCACAUAAGUUAUUCCUGUCUCCCUGCCUUCGACACUAUAUACGAUAAUAGAAUUCAAUAAAAAAAUCAAGCAUGAUAAUGGUAUUGAAGUAGAAUAAAAGAGAUGCGCGGACCUAGCUAGUACUGCUUACAGUGACUUGUUGAAAUCACAGCUCCUUUCCCCAUUCACCCCAAGUCUUGUUGGUGAACUGUUUCCAAACCCUGCCCGACAAAGCAAAUGAAUACAUAAAUGAUUUUUUAGUUACUUGAUAUUAGAAAAUGAACAAAAGUUAUCGAUAUAGUGCGAUAAUGAUUGAAAUUACCUCUCGACCAUUUGCUACAAGUCCGUGCAUGUCUCCAUGUCUUUGUAUUUCGAGUCCAUGACAAGGACGCUUCCUGCAUCCAACUGAAUGACUAGCAGAAUAAAGUGGAACAUGCGCACACAUAACUCAUCAAUUACACUUAACAUCGAGUAAUUAGAGAAAACAGAAUUUGUUCAAGACAGUAUAACACUCACUUGAAGAUGUAAGGAAAAAAGUAUUUCCCCUUUGGUUUGUUUUUCAAUUAACGCCCUUAGCAAGAUCUUCUCUAUUUCCUUGGCAUUCUUUUCUACUGUCACUUCAUGAACAGUAUUUGGGUUAAUGAACCCAAUGUCAUAGAUUCGUCCUCUUCUGCAUCGGAGGAUCUUCAUUCUACAUUAUAUAUAGUGAGGAAAAUUAUACAUGCAAUAAAUGAGUUGAGAUAGAGACUUAAUUACAAAAAUGAUACUUACAGACAAUAGCAACUCACGAUAACUUUGUCGAUGGCGUCUUGAUUCAAUAACUAAAAAAAUCCUCAAAUUCAAUGUAAAUCACCUCGUCUCCAUUGAAGAAAUGUUCAUCUUUAACUCCCACAAUGAGACGAUAGUUGGUCCCAUCCUUGCAGGCUUUCAGGUACCACUCAUGAAAGUUUCACAUUCGUGUUGGUAGAAGCGGGACAUUCUCAGGUUUGAUGAGAGGAAUCACGUACCGGUAUGUGUAUACAAUCUCAGCGAUGGGGAACUCUUCCUACUUGUCUAAGUAUCGACCAAGAGUGAAACCAUUAUCAUGGCCUCCUGCCUUGGCAUCAUAAACGAUACCAGUAAACUGAGGAGGGACCGAUUAGUUUUUUGUUCGUCGAGCUGGGAACUGUUUUCCCACUUGAUCUACUACUUCCAGACUGCUUAUGUUCUCUAUGUGACUUAACAAUCGAUCGGUCAUAGUCUCAUAGCGGCGGGGGCGACGGUGGUCGCGUAAGGUUUUUCAGACAGCGUUUCGCUUUUUCGGAUUUAUUUUCUCUGGUUCCUGGUGUCAUGUUGGUGCCAGAUGGCAUCUCACUUCGUCCUGCACAACCGUCUUGAGUUCCUCAUCACUCAUUUAGUAUGUUAACUUGCGAGGAGCCUCCUUGACGUGUGUAGUUGUUGCGGGUUUCUUCGCAGUUGUAAUAAUAGUCGUCGGAGUGGUGGUUCUCUUACGCGCGUGAGGCUGAGGCGACGGAGGAGGCGUAGUUUGCUAACUCGUCGGAGUGAGCUGAUGCGGCGGUUGAGGAGGCGGAGUCAGAUGACAUGGCCGAGACAGCUGAGGAGGUCGUGUCAGCUGACGCGGCGAACACAGCUGAGGCGGAGGAGUCUGCUGACACUGAGCUGGAUUGCUACUAUGAGGAAUCUGCUAAGGGUCAAGUCCGGCGGAAUGAUAUGUUGACACGGCGUCCAGUGUGGAAGCACGUUGUGUUCCUUUUUACAUAGAAUAUUAGUCCUCAAGGCAUCUCCUAGAUAAGUCUCCCCUUCACCUGUAGGUUACUCUAGGUUACUCAAGCUCCUGCUGCUCAAAUCCAUUGGUAACUUUAUCCACCCCGACAGAAGCAUGGCCUUCUAGAACCGGAGAGCAAUGGUAAGUAGCAUCAGGUCCAGGAGCUAAGACAUAGCCGACCUCCAGCCUCACAUAUAUGUUCUAGAAUUUCACAUGUAGCUCACAAUUUUCCCUCUCCGUGAUAUCAUACACGGGGUAGCGAGGAGCCGUGAUAUCAUAUGUGGGCCGAACGAGCUCCGUGGAAGCCACGCUGCUUUUCCUUUGAAAUAGUGAUGGGCCGGCAGCAGUAUUGAAUGCAGGAUGAGAUGGGUCGGUGGUAGCUUCAUACGUCUCCAUCGUAUCUAUGAUUUUUGCUUGUUCCAUGCAAAUAUUAUACAACUUUCUCAUAUUUUUGGCAACAUUUUAUAUGAUUUAUUGGACUAACAUAUUGAUCCGGUGCCAAGAGCCAGUUCCUGUUUAUUGCAUGUUUUUUGUUUCGCAAAAUAUCCAUAUCAAACGAAGGCCAAACGCGAGAAAACUUUACGGAGAAUUAUUUUGGAAUACAUGUGAUUUUGGGGAGGUGGAACCAAAGUAAACGGAGGCCCACGGCCUCCACAACCCACCAGGGCGCGGCCCAUACCCCCUGGUGCGCCCUGCCCUCUAGUGGCCACACCAUGAGUCGAUUGGGGCUCUUCUUCACGCCCAAGAAAGAUAAUUUAUGCAAAACAAACAUGUAAAAAUUUCAGCACAAUCGAAUUUAAGAGAUGGUGAAGAGCUAGAAACUAGGGAUGCGAAACAAAAGACAACAGAGAGGGAGAUCCAAUCUUGAAGGGGUUCCUACCCCUCCGCCACAAUGGAGGCCAUGGACCAGAGGGGGGAACUCUCCUCCCAUGUAGGGGGCUGGCCAAGAAAUAAGAAGAAGGAGGGGGAUCUCUCUCCCUCUCUCUCGAUGGCGCUCGAUCGAGUGUCGCCGGGGCAAGGAGCGUGACGGCGAUCUACAUCAACAUUCUUGCCGCCGUCAACACCAACUCUCUCCCCCUCUAUCACUAGUAGGAGAAAGGCUAGCAGUAGCACUGGUUUUGAGCAUACUAGUAGCACUCAUGCCAGCUCUACUGCCUCGAAGACGUUUUUGUUUUUAUCCCUUUUGUUUUUUGGGUUUUUAUCCCGACGGCCUUGCACGCACUCAACGAAUAUUACCGGAAUCAUGUGUUGUUUCGAACACUAUAUAUAUAUAUGAUUGCUUCUCAAUGCGUCGAAGACGUUUCACAUUGAGCUUCUUUCCUUUCUUUUUAGUUGUCUCUAUUUUUCUUUUCCGGCAUCAUGGAGUACGAUCUUUCUUAGAUAAUGUAGCUUGAUUCUUAUGUACACGUUGUCGUCGUUUACUCACGACAGUAGCCAUGGGUAGACUAAUCAUGAUUGGUGGGAACCGAAGGACGCCGGCAGGCUCCGUGAACGGGAUUGGUACAAGCGAGAUAGACGCACGAGGUACCCAGGUUCAGGGCUCUCCGUGGGAGAUAAUAACCCUAGUCCUUCCAGAAUGGUUGAUGAACCAGAGAGAUUAUAGUGUGCUCCUUGAGUUGUUCGAAGGAGGAGGAAGAAGGAGCAGCCGGCUCGCCUCUACCUCUCCUGUAUGAGUGGGUGUAUGUGUGUGCGUAGUUGGCCGACCCUCUGCAUGAAGGGGGAUCGGGGGGUUUUACCAAGAGUGUAAAAAACUAUUGGGAGAUAGAAAAAAUACCAGGUUCUUCGAAGAUUGCUGGGUAGAUGAUAAGCCUCUCAAGCUGGCUUACCCAAGAUUAUAUCUGAUUUGUUUUCACCAUAAUAUUAUAGUAGCAUUGGCUAUUGAGAAAACAUGGGAAAUUUUUUCUUUCCACAAAACUCUGCAUGGAGAGAAUUUAGCUAUGUGGGAAAGCCUUAAGAUUAGAUGUGAAGAAAUUCCAAUGUCUAGAGGGAAAGACCAAAUCAUAUGGAAGCUAACUAAAGAUGGGUAAUUCACUAUCAAAUGCAUUUUUUCCUAGUUAGAUCUGAGGUGGGUUUUCCUUUGAAUUCCUUGGAAAAUCAAAGUGUCGGCAAAAAUAAAAGUUUUAUUGUGGCUGAUUAAUAAGAAAAGUAUCUCACUAAGGAUAACCUUAUUAGGAGAGGGUGGAAGAGGGGGGAUGGUUGUGCUUUGUGUAUCUGAAGGAAACAAUUGGUCAUUUAUUAUUUACAUGUCCUAUGCCAAAAUUGAUGUGGAAUCCAUUGAAAUGUUCUUUUGAUCCUAGAGCCACUCCUUCUAAUUUGGAUUGCUUCUCCAGAUGGAUCAAAACGUUUCCAAAACAAGACAAAGGCUUGUUCUUGGUUGGAAUUGGAGUUGUUUUCUGGUCCAUUUGGAGAUCAUGAAAUGACAUCUGUUUUGAAGAAAUGAAGUGGUUGAUCCAAUGACAAUUGUGAUAACAAGAAACUAAAAUAUUUAAUUGCAAUAUCUAAAGAUAUACCUUCAAGCUCUCACCUCCACGGCAACGGUGCCAGAAAAAAGCUUGAUGUCUACUACGCAACUUUAUUCUUGUAGACGUUGUUGGGCCUCCAAGUGCACAGUUUUGUAGGACACCAUCAAGUUUCCCUAAAGUGGAUGACCUAAGGUUUUUUAAUCCGUGGGAGGUGUAGGAUGAAGAUGGUAUCUCUCAAACAAAACUGCAAUCAAUACAACAAAUCUCUUUGUUGUCGCCAACACACCCAAUAAAAUGGAAAAUUGCAUGGGUGCACUAGUUCGGUGAAGAGAUGAUGAUACAAGUGUAGUAUGGAUAGUAGGCAAUAAAUUUUUAUAAUCUUAAUAAAUAAAAACAACAAGGUAACAAGUAGUAAACAAUGAGCAAAACGUUAUAUAAAUUCUUGAAAAUAAGGCAUAGGGUUCAUACUUUCACUAGUGCAAUCUCUCAACAAUGCUAACAUAGUAGAAUCUUAUGGUCAUCUCUCAACAUGCAACAAAGAAUCACUCCAAAGUUCCUAUUAGCGGAGAACAUAAUAGGAAGUUGUUGUAGGCAGCGAACCACCUCAAAGUUAUUCUUUCCGCUCAAUAUUUUUGGCUAUUCCUAUAGGUGUCACAAACAGCCCUAGAGUUCGUACUCGAAUAACACCUAUGAUACAAAUCAAUCAACCCUCAUAUCACCUAGGUACUCAGAUGUCACCUCAAGUAUCCAAGGGUUAAUUAUUCGACAUGCAUCAAACAAUUUCAGAUUCAUCAUGUUCGAUCCAACACAAAGAACUUCAAAGAGUACUCCAAGAUUUCUAUCGAAGAACGUAGGAUGAAAGCAUGCAAUCAAACUCUAUGCAUAGAUCCCCAAGGUCACCGAAUUCACAAGUUGACACCAUAAUGUAUAUCAAGUGAAUCAAUAGAAUACCCCGUUGUUACCACAAGUAUCCACAUUCAAGACAUACAUCUGUCCUCAAACCCAAAAUUUUCAAUCCAAGAUAACGAGAUCUCAAAGGAAAAGAUUCAAUUCAUCACAUCAAUAUAUCAAGGGACGAACACCAUAUGAUCCAACUAUGUUAACAAAGCCCGUGAUACAUCAAGAUCGUGACAUCUCAAGAACACAAAGAGAGAGAGAGAUCAAACACACAGGUACUAGUACAUACCCUCAGCCCCGAGGGUGAAUUAUCCCUCCUCGUCAUGGCCUUCGUUGGAAUGAUGGAGAUGGCCACCGAUGAUGAUUUCUCCCUCUGACAGGGUACCAGAAAGGCUCCAGAUGGGUUUUUUCUUUGAUAGAGAGAGUUGCGGUGAUACAAUUUUUUCAACGUUGAAAUCACGCGCAACGGAGCCGCGUGGGCCCCACAAGCUAUCAGGACGCACCUAGGAGGAUGGGCUCACCCUAUUAGCUUGCGGCGCACAUGUGGCUCCCCUCUCGUGUUAAUUCGCUCCAAUAUUGCUCAUAUGUUAAAAGAAACAUCAAAAGUUUCGGUCGACUAUGAGCACUUUCAUUUUAUGCAAAAAACAACAGCAACAUGAUAAUUCUGCUGAAAACAGUAUCAGACCGAUUUAGUUCUAAUUAAAUCAUAUAAAAUACAUCAAAACCAUACAAAAAUAUUAUAAACAUAGAUAAAUAUAUCAUGAAUAUUUUAUAAAUUAUUAUUACGUUGGAGACCCGGUGCGACAGCGGCGCGUCCAUCUGCUCCGGGACCGGGAGCAGGAAGGGUCCCUCGGGAUGGGCUCUAGAUUGACGCCUAAGGUCACCUUAACGUGGUCAGUUCAUAGCCGUUACGCCACGCCAUCAAAAUCAGGACCCACUUGCCAUAAUCGAGAUUAAAAUGAUCAAAGCGACGGGUUAGUGUUUCCUCUAAAAGAUUAGGCCUAGCACGAGUGGUUUGGGCAGAAAUUCGUAGAACAGUGUUUUCUAUAAACCAAGACGUCAAUAUGAUGAUUUCCUGCAGUUCACUCGAUUAGAUUAGAUUAGACUGCCAUCGCAACGUAGCAAUACAGAGACUUCACACAUGGCAUGCGUCUGUAUCUGUUGGAGGUUACGGCACUAGCGGACCUUGUCACCGCGCAUGAGAAUUCAGGCUUUCGGCAGGGCUGGUCAAUGGACCAUGCGGAUCUUGACUUAUAGUACUCGUGACGCUCAGCCAGGUAGCAGUGGCUAUCAGCAAGAGCCAGUGCACGCUGACUCCAGCUUUGUCCUGGCACGGACCGUUGCUGGCGCCGCAUUUCUCCUUGGAUCAUUCCACAAGCUCUACAAUACAAGACCGGGCAUGCAUGCAGUAGUGCUCGAAGUUGAAUCGUCCCAUACCACGGUUGGUGCAAGAGGAUAUGCCAUAAAGUUUUGGUUCCUUGCGCGGGGGCCGUGCUCAACCCUUUCCCUGUGGAAGAGAAGACCAACAUGCAUGCAGUACUGUCCACAGUUGAACCAUUCCGGACAUGGUCACCAUGUCCCCAAGACCGAGCAUGCCGUGUCCAAACUCCAGAGACGGAUCGAUCGUGGGCAACGAUGCGCCGGAGACCGUAUCCCAUGACCACUUUUACUUCUGCGUUGAUCGAUUCCCCGCCGGAGACAUCGUACAGUUUUUGUUCCUAAAGCGGGUGGCUGGUCCUGGUCGGAGGAGCGCUCAACUCUUCAACCAGCUUACCUCCCCAAGUCCUAAGUGAUCAGUCAAUUUAUAGAUCUACAUGAUUGAACCAGAUGGUUCCUUUAAUAGAAAUCGGAUGGAGAGGCUCCCCUUCUUAUGUUCAAGCAGAGAAUUCUACAUGAUUUUGAUAAGAAACAAAUACAGGUCAUUUGAAAUCAUUCAGUAAGAUCCAACCAAUGCAUGCGCCUUACCAAGUGGGUCCAGCUUGUCAGUCUAGCAAAAAUAUAUUUUUUAAACUGUCUAGUGAAAAUAAUGAAUUGUAGCAUAAGUAUGUCACAAGACAUAACAGCUAAUAAAGUGUAAAAGAUAAGCAAACCUAGUUAUAUAAAGUAAAAGAAUGUCACACUGUAAUACUAGUAACAUAAAUAAAGAAAUAAAUAAGAAAACCAAAACGGUAGGUGACAGGUUUUGUUUUUGUGCGGGAUAGAAUUAGGCGACAUUUUUUUAAUAUUUUUUUGCGGGUUAGAAUUAGGUGACAGUUCCAUCUCAGUUGGACCAGAUACAUUGACUCAUCCCCAGUUCGAUUUCAGUGCGCGUGUCAUCCUUUUCCGGUGGUAAUUUUACAGUGUCCCGGUCCUAUGUGGAAGCCCAACCGCAACGUUUAUUAUGCUCACUCCUCUACAGUUGUCUGGUUCAAGUGCUCGCACUGCCACUUUUCCAGCAACACGACGGCGGCGACCAAGGGAGGAUUCGUCAUCGGUACACGUUAGAGUGUUUUUCCGUCUUCGUGGAGCAGUAUUGAUAUUUUUAUUUUCCGGCGUCGUGCUGCCCAUUCUGUGGCCGAUCCCUGCAAGAUCUGACGCACUCGGUGAGCUAAGCCGGCUAGGAGGGUGUGAUGUCAAGUUUUCAACGUCAGGUCAGGUGAGAGCGAUGCGCCCCUCCGUUGUUCAAAUCGGGCGGCUUAUUAGGUCUUGAUCCAUCUCCACAAUACCCACUGGGCUCAUGAAUUUCGGGUCGGGCCGUCGGGGCCCUGCAGCAAAUCGGCCUCUCCAUUGCGUGUUGUAUUUUUCUUCCAAGGGAUUAGAUAAACAGCUUGGAUUGUUAGUGUAGGCAGGCAGUGUACGUGGACCAGGACGCACGAGAAUUCAGGCCUUCAGCAGGGCUGGUCAAUGGACCAUGUCGGUCUCGGACUCAUGCCGCCGCCUCCGCCUCCGCCAGGUACUACUACUAUCUACUAGUAGGAGUACGUGGACUCGUGCUUUGUCCAGAUACGGACCGUCGCUGCAGCAUCAGCAACACCGCCCUGUUUGUUUCAGAAGUCCCGAAACUUUUUUCAGUCCCAACUUAAAAGUUCCUAGUCCCUACCCGUUUGUUUUUAGGGACUAAAUAGGGACUAGAGGUUAUUAAAUGACAUGCAAAAAGAUCAUGUUAUCCUUAAUAAUAUAGUAGUACUUAUUAAAUGACAUGCUAAAAGUAAGUGCGUUGUUGGAAAAAGUGUUAAAAAGUUUCAAAAAGUCCCUUCCAUAAGUACUUCUCCAAAUAGUCUCAAACACCCCACUUUAAUCCCUAAAAAUCCAUCCUGUUUGUUUCACAUGGGACUUUUUGAGACUUUUUUUAGUCCCUACCUCAAAAAGUCUAUGAAAACAAACACCCCCUAAUUCUCGUUGAAUCAUUCCACGAGCUGUAGAAUAGAAGACUGACCGGGCAUGCAUGCAUGCAUGCGCCGGUGCCCGAAGUUGAACCGUUCCUACUAGCUAGCACUGUUGGUGCAACCCUGCAGGGACACGCCGUAUAGUUUUGGUUCCCUGUCGGACGGGUGCUCAAACCCUGUCCUGUGGAAGAGAAGACCGGUCAUGCAUGUAUGCAGUACAUACUGUCCAGAGUUGAACUUGAACCGUUCUUCCGAUCAUGGUCACCGUGCCCCCGAGACCGGGGCAAGCAUGCCGUGUCCAGAGUCCGGACUCCAGAGACGGAUCGACCCCUUGCGCAGCGAGGGGCGGAUUUGGUCCCAGGUGAUGAGUCAAUGUGCUCCGCAACCGCAAUCAAGCAACCACGGCCGGAACCGGAAGCGUGCGAGGACUCCGGCGGGUCGUUGCGGGCUCCCCACCAACACGAUGAUACGUCCCUCUCGGCCUCUCGGUCUCCGGGUCUCCGCGCACAUACACACGGCUCCGAUCCCCACCUCUACCUACUGGCCCGGCCACACACCCGCGCCCACCCGAGUGCAAGCGCAAGCGCAAGGGCCACCGGUUUUUGCUGUCACUUGGGCAUUCUCCGCAGCUUCGCCGGUCGCCGCUCCACAUCUCUCUGAAAAUAGCCCGACCGAGACUUUUGCUCUCCUAUAAAUAAAUCCACCGGCCACUCCCCUGUCUCCCACAUUACACCGCGCCUUCUUCCUCCCUUGCCCAUCGUCAAGACGAACCGCCGCACACCGCUCCGUUUCGAUGGCGGCCAUGAAGGUGGUGCUCAAGCUCGACCUGCACGACGACAAGCAGAAGCAGAAGGCGCUCAAGGUCGUCUCCACUCUCCACGGUAAUAUGAUAGCCUCCCCUGCUUUAACUCCACACUAGUUCUGUUCUCAUCCAUAUUCUGAACUUCGCACCUCUGACGACGACGACAACCGCCACUACCCCAGGUGUCGACCAGAUCGCCGUGGACACCAAGGACGACAAGAUGACGGUGGUCGGCACCGUCGACCCCGUCCACGUCGUCGGCAAGCUGCGCAGCAAGCUCUUCCCCACGGCGCAGAUCCUCUCCGUCGGCCCGGCCAAGGAGGAGAAGAAAGACGACGCCAAGAAGGAGCCGGUCCCCGCGUACGCGCCGUGGUACCCGCCUCCGCCGCCGUACCACCCGCAACCGUACUACUACGGCCACUGCGCCGGGGACGACCCCAGCUCCUGCGUCAUCUGCUGAUCGAGCUUUACAGUUUGUUUGUCACCGGCCGUCCUGCCAGCCGGUCGAUCGGCGGCGUUCGUUAUGUACCUGGCGGUGUAAGGCGUGUAAGUUGCGCCGGUGAUUCGGCAGAGGUGCAUCUGCUUAGUGUGUAACGUGUAGAUACAGAUUACAGAUUUACAGUAUAUUGUUCAGAAAAGAAUAUCAUCGAGUUGUUAAAAAAGAACUGUGGAGAAGGACCAGAUAGAACUGCUGCAGAUGUUCUUUCAGAGAAAGUUCAUGGAGUGCUCCAAAUUGGUGAUGAGGAAGUGCUGAAAUAAACAAAUAAACUGGAGCUGCAGAAGCGAGUCAGGCACAAUGAACUGGAUGAAAAGUUCGGGCGGCCAGCGAGAUUGUUCCGUCGUGCAUCUUUUCAUUCACCAGUAGAAACUUUGAACUCUGAAGCCCACUUGAGAGUUGCUUUCAGUCAGCCAGUCAGUCAUCUCGACGACAAAGCGAAAGGUUUCCAUGCUUUUGGACUGUUUUUAUUACUCACGUGUGUUUUCUUCGACAUGAUUAUGACCUAAUAAAAUUGCUAACCGUCCAUCUCACGAAAAGUACAUUGUUAAUUGCAUGUCUUAACCGCUGCUCUAACUUCAUACAAUUUUCAUUUUGUAUGAUUGUAUCGAACAUCUUUGUUUGAAGGGACCGAGAAACUAGUGGAAUAGUUGGAUGUUUUAUUGAACCUUAUUGGCCAGCAUAUAUAUAUAGAAGUACAAGGUUGAAGAGCAAGAAGCUUCUAUUAGAGCACCUCUAGCAGACCCCGCAAAAGAGCGAUCCGAAAAAUGGGUUUACACAUCGCUGCAGAGCAAUUUUGCGGGGCCACUUCGUGUGUCAAAGAUCAGACCCCGUAUAUGAAACUGUAAAAUUUAAAAAAAGGGUUCGCUGGAAGAAACUACUGCAUCAUUCAUCAAAGUACAACAUGGUUCUUCAUCGAACUACAUCCUUCUUCAUUAAACUACAUAAUUUCUUCAUCAAACUAUAUAAGUCCUUGGAGGCGCUCGCCUGCGACGCCGUGACCCCUUGCUCGAGGAAGAUCUGCUCGAUCUCGAUCUCGCGGCGGUUGCGCGCGGCGUCCUCCGCGGCCUCCCUCACCGAAAGCUCCAUGAUGGAGCGAUGAGGUGAUCCUCCUGCCCCGGAGGGAGGUAGUCCUCGGGGCCGAUGACCCCUCCACGCAGCUAGCCGACGUCGUUCUCGAGCUUGACGGCGAGCGGCCCGAGCUCCUCCACCCUUCUCUUCAUCGGAGUGACGGUCCGCGAGGACGAGGCACCCGCAGACGAACUUCCAGCAGCAGAGGAGCCGAUGCGUCGAGCCGCAAGCUCGCGCUCAUACUCCUCGAGCUCGCGACGUCCGAAAGCCGGAAGCCAUAGUUCAGCCACCUCCGUGAUCCCCGAUUGCGUGCGGCGUCGGAGGCGCGGCGGCGACGGCGGUCAGCGUCAUCCCCUCCAUUUCCGUGGUCGUCCAUGGUCGGGACGACCCGCUGGUGGGUUUUUUUCUCGCUGACGACGAGUUGAAUCGCGGCGGAGGAUAGGGUUUGACCCGUAAAUGCGUUGUGAAACCACAUAUAUGCUGUUAGAGUAUAUAUCUCCAUAUGUGGUUUUGGUAAUUGAUGACAAUUCCUAUGGACUAAUGGUUGCCUUAAGUUAUAUUUAUAGGAUUUAUCCAUAGGCACUUCUUGAAGUCCAUCUGUUGGGUUCAAGGAGUUUAUAUGAUGACCAAGAUGGUAUUCAAGGUAUUAUCCAAAGAAUGGUCAUAGAGACACAAGGUUGAUCAAGAUCUCAGACAAAGAGUAAAUCAAGAUGAUCAACACACAAAGCGUACAAGAUGUAUCGAGGGGGAUCAAGUGAUCCCAUGGUAUGGUAAGCAUUGUCCAUUACGUGUUUGUGUACUAACCCAUGGUCUUCGUGAGAGUUUUAUGUGGGGGUUAUGUGUGUUUUCAUGGGCUUGCGUCAAAAGGAAGAUAUCAUACAAACCAUGAAGGAUGACGUAAAGUGGUGAUCGUCAUCAAGAUUGUGGUGUGCAAGUUCAAGUGGAUCAGCACGAAUGUAUCAUGCUUGAAGCUUGCCGUCCAUUGUGGUGGUAAUGGACUUUGUGAAGAUAUGCUGAAGAGUGGCUCGCCCAUAGUGAGUAUGAAGGAGCAAUCAACUAGUCUUCAUCAAGCCAACGCAAUCAAGAAAGGUGGUCCAUCUUAAGGAAGCCAAGAUCAUCAUCAUCUAGCUCAAGAGGACGAGGUGCAAGGUAUAGGUUUGCCCUUGAUAGGUUUUCUGUUUUAGGAUGGAUUGCCGUUCUGUCAAGGGGGGCUCUCAAGUGAGUAGCUCGAUCGUAUCGUUCGUUGAGAGCUCAAACCAUUUCCAUCCUUGCAUCAUACUUCCCGGUUCUUAUUUGGUGUUUCUCUUUGUGAGUUUUAGAGCUUAUGGUCAUCUUCAUGACAAGCUCGAGUUCAUCGAAAACGGAGUCCAUAUGCAUCUACUAUGAUGUUUUCGAUGUUGGAGUUUUUGCCGGUUCUUCAUUCAUAGGGGUCUCACAUCUCUAUAUCAUUGGCAUUUUCAUAUCUGCAUGGUCAUAGAGUUCAUCAUUUCACCCACAUAGCAUGUGUUGUUUGGAUAGCUCUUGUCGUCCUGAAUCCAACAAGCUUGGGUUUGCACGAUUCGGAGCUCCUAUGCGAAAGUUAUGGUUGUUUCAGUGGCGAGCGGUAGUACCGCUGGACCUAGCGGUAGUACCGUUGGCCCUAGCAGUAGUAACGCUAGAGCUGGCGGUAGUACCGCUGUCCUAGCGGUAGUACCGCCCCUGGUCAGCGGUAGUACCGCUCCAGGACUUUAGUACCGUCAUCUUUGCGGUUGUACUACGUCGGACUUUUGCGAAGACUUUCUUGGCGGUGGUUGGCCCGGUAGUAUCUUUGCGCUACCAUGGGCUCAUCGGUAGUACCGCUGCAGCCAGCGGUAGUACCGCUGGGCUCGGGCUGUAAGUGGGGGUAACGGUGUGAUUCCUUCCCCCACUAUAUAAAGGGGGUCUUCUUCCCCCUUGGUUUUAUCUAUCCGUUGAGCUCAUGUUCUACCUCCAUUGUGGACCUUCUUAGAGCUUGCUUACUCCCAAUCUCUCCAAUGAUUCUUGCUUGUUCUUGAGGGAAAAGAUAGAGGAGAUCUAGAUCCACAUCUCCACCAAUCACUUUCUCCUCUAUGUGAGGGGAACCCCUUGGAACUAGAUCUUGGAGUUCUUUGUGAGCUCCUUGUUCUUCCUCUCAUAUUUCUUCAUAGCUUUUGUUGUUGUGGAGGGAUUUGAGUGUGAGGGACUUGACCACUUCGUGUGUUCUUGCCAUUGCAUUAGUUGCAUCGGUUUGAGUUCUCCACGGUGAUACGUGGAAGUGAGAGGUUGAGAAGCUUAUUACCCUUUGGUACUUAGUACCCUAGAGAUUGUUCUUCGUGGAUGCUUUGGCGUCCUAGAAGCUUGGUGGUGUCCUGGAGCUCAAUCAUUGUGGUGUAAAGCUCCGGGCAAGCGUCGGGCUCUCCAAUUAGGUUGUGUGGAUUGCCCUGAGCAAUUUGUACAGGUACCGGUAACUGCCCCCAAGGGUUGCCAUUUGUACGGGUUCGGUGACCGCCCUCAAGGGUCCCUUAGUGGAAUCACGGCAUCUUGCAUUGUGCGAUGGCGUGAGGAGAUUACGGUGGCCUUAGUGGCAUCUUGGGGAGCAUUGUACCUCCAUACCGCUCCAACGGGGAUUAGCAUCCGUAAGGGUGUAAACUUCGGGAUACAUCAUCGUCUCCGCGUGCCUCGGUUAUCUCUUACCCGAACCCUUUACUUAUGCACUUUACUUUGUGAUAGCCAUAUUGUUUAUUGUCAUAUAUCUUGCUAUCACUUAGUUGUUUAUCUUGCUUACCAUAAGUUGUUGGUGCACAUAGGUGAGCCUAGUUGUUUGUAGGUUUUGUGCUUGACAAAUUAAACGUUAGUUUUAUUUCGCAUUUGUUCAAGCCUAAACCAUAAUUAUUUUAAAGCGCCUAUUCAACCCCCCCCCCCUCUAGGUGACAUCCACGUCCUUUCAUAUGCUGGCUCGAGGGGUCUUUUUCCGGACCGCUAUAAAAUUUUAUGGGCCGGAUGCGCGAUACGGGGUCUGUUCUGGCCACUAAAACGGACCGAACCCAUAUACUCGUCGGAAUUUUACGGGUUUAAUCCUUUUAUGGGGUCUGCUAGAGAUGCUUUUAGAGAUAAGGUAAGAGAUGGAUUACAAAUUCUAGACUAUCAAAUGCAUAUAGAAAUAUCUCUAACAUUUACGCAGUCGUAGUGUUAGCGUUGCGAACAACAUAAGCGUCGCGGACUGAAGAGAAUAACAACCGAAUCAAGACCAGAUAAAACUGUUGCAGUUGUUUUUUCAUAGAAAGUUCAUGAAGUGCUCCAAAUUGGUGAUAAUAAAGUGAUGAAAUAAACAAAUAAACUUGAGAUGCAGGAGAUUGAGCAAUUCAGGCAAAAAGAGGAUGAUUGUUUCACGGGGCCAGAUUGUUCCAUCCUUAGAGCAACUUCAAAAGACACGUGCUAAAAAAAUUAUACAACGCUGAAAUAUCGAUUUUUAGGAGGCGGGAAUGCAUUUGCUCGAACAAAUAGAUAAAAUAAUACGUCGCGGUAGCUCCAGCAGGUAUGUUAAAUUUACAACCCACGUGUCCUGUAGAAGCACCAUAUCAAGAAGAUCAACACACACAAAAAUCAACAAUAAAAUUUCUAUUCAUAAUAUACUUCAAGCCCAACACCACAUGCAAGUUCAUAUAAUACGAAUGAAAAAUGCUAGUAAAUAAAAAUACGUCUAGACUACUCUUGGUCCUUCUUGAUGGUGUAGUUGGACCUCGUAAGAAACACGUCUGCUCACCGAUCAUCGUUCGGGUCCAGUCCAAGUUCGACAUGUCCAUCUUGGAAAUAGCCAAUGCCUUGCGUCUAUGCUUGUCUAGGCGUUCGGCAGCUCGUUGCACCCUUCUGUUCGCGUAGAACUUAUGCUCGGCGAUGAUGUUCUUCGGAUGGAAGCGGCGCCACUCCGCCAAUGGCGUCCUCGUCCCUCUGGGAAAUCAGCACGCGGCUGUCCGGACAGCACUGGGUGCAGCGGUCCGCCUCGAUGGCCAGACGCAGGAUAGGCGCGACAUCCCACACCCGUUCGACCAUAGAGACGUCAUCCAAGUUCAUUUGUGAACGAGGCCGUCAAAGUUGUCACGCCGCUGUGUCGUACGCGCGGUGGCCUCAUGGGCGAUCUCGUAUGUGCCGAGGCCGAGGCGCGUGUUACAGAAACAGAUCUCAACGUUGAAUAUGUCGGACGGGCGUUUGCGGACACGCGAAAGCCCGAGCUGCUUCGGGUGCGCCGUGGCAUGGCUGGGCGCGGCGGCGACGAGACGCUGGGCGACAGAGCACAAGGAAAAGGCAGCGGGCAGGAUAAGCAAUAGGACAUAACGCAUGCGGGAUGAAGUGGGCGGAGCGUGGGCGAGUGCGCGUCAAAAUUGACGCGGGAGCAGCCGCCCUUCCCCGUGCGCGAAAACAAUUUUAGCGUGCCGCGGUUUCGCGCCUUCGUUGGAGCAUGUUCAAGGACCGUCCGCGCUCUUUCUUUCAGGCGUUUGUUGGAGUUGUACUUACAUUUAUCAAUAAAAACUUUGAAGUCUAAAGUCCUCCGGCUCUGCUCCACCCGAGAGUUGCUUUCAGUCUUUUUAUUCGAACAUGACCUAACGUGUGUUUUCUUUGGCAUGAAUAUGACCUAAUAAAUUUGCUAACCGUCCUACUCAUAAAAUAUACUCCAUCCGUUUUAAAAUAAGUGAUUUAACUUUAUACUUAACUUAAUACAAAAUUGAGUCACUUUAUUCGAGACAAAGUGAGUCUAAAUCGCUGCUCUAACUGCAUAGGAUUUUCAUUUUGUAUGAUUGUAUCGAAUAUCUUUUGUGUUCUACGGGCAUGCAGUGAGGAUUUUCAUUUUGUAUGAUUGUAUCGAACAUCUUUUGUGUUCUACGGGCAUGCAGUGUUAAAUCCUUUCGAACAUGGUGGGGUUGCUGCAGCCGUGCAGGACGGAUCGUCGGUACUAGGCCGUAUGCCUAGGUGACCUUUUCUUGUGCGUUGAUCGACCCCCCUGCCUUGACCCUGGAGCUGGAGGCACGGUUGCUAAAGCGGGGGCCGGUCGUACGGCCCACAACCCUGUCUCUUCUGAUGCUGGUCGGUGAACUCUGCAGCUCCUCUCCUUCCCUCUGCACCGUGAAGCAUCCACCGGUUUUGGAGUAUUCUAGUUGAAGCUCUCGCACCGCAUCACCACUUUAAGAGCAACUUCAAUCGCCUCGAUGUACGGCGCUUUUAUCCGUUUCGCUUGAGUCGGUUAUUCGGUCGACGUUUGUCCUAUUUAACAUUUGAGUUGACGCAGCUUUUAAAAUUGGUGAUCCGUCCGUACACAUAUUUAAAAAUGCCCACGACCGUAGAUGAAGCCAGUGACCAUGCCGUUUCUUAAAGUUCAUUCAUACACCAAUGCCAGCGUCCGGCAUACAAUGCCAACUUUGGAAAACACCACACAAUUCAUGCUGGCGCAUUUACCAGCGGCCUACACACAAGUCAGCACACAAAAAGGGACGGGUGUUCGACCAUGUCAUUCGCGGCCCUAAUCAUGCCAACACAUUUGCCAACAUACAAAAAAGAUGACGCUCGCCGCCUUAGAUCACUCGCCGUCGAACUUGAGCAUGUCGACCUGCAUCUUCUCGAAUCACGGCCUCUUUCUUGGCGACACGGUGUUAAGAUCCACAUUCAUGAUCUUCACUAUGGUCACCAUGUUAGUGAUAGCCACUUCUUUUGCCUUGGUCUUGGCAUUGGCGACUUCCAUCUCUAGCAUCUUGGCUUGCUUCUUCGUCUCCAUCUCAAGCAUCGUCACUUGCUUCUCCACCUCCAUUUCAAACGUCCUCCUUUGGAUCUUCAUGAACACAUUCAUUUGCUCUUCAUUACCUUGCGACGCUUAUCCUCCCUUGAGUCCUUUUUGGUCAUCAUGCCCUCCAGGGUUGGCCCUCUCGUCGUCGAUGGCCGUCGGCAUUCCGUCGAACAGGUUACGGGCGCUGGAGAGCACGUCGGCUGACAUCUCCCGCGCGCGUUUCCUUGACCCAUUGGAUGACGAGCCACCGGCUACCGGUGUGGCGUCGAGGUCGAUGGGCUCGAGCGCGGGCGUGGAAGGCACCACCACGCUCACCUAUGGCGAGCAUUCCCCGAAGAGGCGAGAGGCUUGCGGGUAGACGUGAAAUCCGGAAAUCGGGUGAGUCGUCGACGCGCGGGGAGACUCUAGCGGCACCAUACGAGAAAACACAUAUGAGUCUCUCCUGGCCGCGGCCAUGACAACGUUGACGAUCCCGUGCUGGCCAGUGUUUAACCCUAGGUACAAUAGCGCCUCCCUCGUUGCCGCCAUGACGCGUGCAACGGUAUCCUCCCAUUGCGCUACAACGGCUAUGACUGCGGCGCCCGCUACUUUGUCCCUUGCGUCCACCGCGUGUCUCCGGUCCUUUCUCUUCGCCGACUCCCUAGCUCGUCCUCGGGCGUCCGCUCCUUCUUCUUCUUGGACGUGGUGGCGGUCUUGCGGGGGCGCGAGGCUUGUCUUUGCGGAAGGGCCGGUCGUGAUGCCGGACGAGGCGAGGGAGGCGAGGUCGGCGGCGGCAUCGAGGUCAUCGUCCAUGGCGAGUGGCCGGGAGCACGCGCGGGCGGAAGGGUUUACGAAAAGUGGAGGGAAAUGGUGGAGGCUUCACCAUCGACCGGCGGGCCACGAGGAGUAGUUGGCGCGCGGUGCGUGCGUCCGUCUCGUACCCGCGCCGACACAAAUCAGGCCUUAAAAUAGACCGAAAAUCGAUUGGUAGACGGACAUAAAAUGGACGCGUGUUCAUUUGAGUUGACGCGUUAAGAUGUUUUUUUAUCGCCAUGACCCAAGCGGAUGCACGUGAACGAAAUGGGUCUACGUGUUGGAUUUGCCCUAAGCGUGGAGCAGCAGGAGGAAGAAAAAUGGCAGAACUUACGUAGUAUCCAAUGAACAGUGGUGGUGACCGAGGACCUAGAAUUGUCAUCUUCUUUUUUUCCUGGCCAAGGUUAGCGGCUGGAGUUCAGGACCGGACUGACCACUUGCCGUCGCUGUUGUCAUAAUAAUGGUGAUCUGCACCUGUAGGCAGGCGGGACAAGGGACGAAACCAGCGGCAGCACAGCCACUCUCAAAUCCACUUCGGCUUAGCUUAGCUCCCAAUUAAAGUCAGUCAGUCAGUCAAUGUGCUCGCAAUCAAGCCCGACGUGGACGCGUACCAACACUGCGGCAGGCCACGGCCGCGCCCCACAGGCCACCCCGUUGACGCGGUGACCGCGCCCCGCAUCCCUCGCCGGGUCUCGACGCGCAUGCACACCGGACACGGCUCCGCUUCCCGCCACCAGUGGGCGCGCCCUAGUCCAGUCGCAGGCCACCACAGAACAGAGGAAGCGACCGAGACAACGAGGUCCGGCUCCGUCUCUCCCGGGCGCGGUUCCACCGGGUUUUUCCGUCACGCCGGCCAUUCUCCGGAAGCUUCGCCGUGAGGCUACUCACGUGCGUGCCUGCGUGCCCCGCCGUGCGGCAGCCUAUAAAUCCACCAGCCUGCCCAGUGCUCAGAGUCACACUCUCCCCUGUCUCCAAUAUCAAACCGACCUUUCUUCCUUCCCCGUCGCCGAUCGAGACGCCGAUUCCCUUCAUCCCCCGCCCGCCAACGUCCGUGAUCCAUGGCGGAAAAGAAGGUCCGUUGCUUACAGUUUGGUUGAUCGAACUGGGAUCUAUUUCUGUUCUGGUUUACUCCUAGUCUUUUAGCUGCGGCUCUUGGUUGAUUGCUGUGCUCCGGUUUGCUCAUCUUGUUUUCUUCUUUGAUGGCCGCGGGAUUCAGGUCGUGCUGAAGCUGGACCUGCACGACGACAGGCAGAAGCAGAGGGCGCUCAAGGCCGUCUCCACUCUCCACGGUAAGAACCCCCUGCUUCUUCUUCUUCUCCGGGUUCCGUCCUAGUCAUGGAUGGAGGGGAUUGCCAGGAUUUCCAUCAUGUCUCAUCUUGACAUUUCCGAUGACCACGACUGUCGCUCUUCCUCAGGUAUCGACCAGAUCGCCGUGGACAUGAAUGACCAGAAGAUGACGGUGGUGGGCACCGUCGACCCCGUGGACCUCGUCGGCAGGCUGCGCAGCAAGCUCUUCCGCACGGCGCAGAUGGUCUCCGUCGGCCCGGCCAAGGAGGAGAAGAAGGACGCCGCCAAGAAGGACGACGGCAAGAAGGAGGGCGACAAGAAGGAGCCGGUCCCGGUGUACACGCCGUGGUACCCGCCGCCGCCGCCGUACCACCCGCACCCGUACUACCACAACCACAGCGCCGAGGAGGACCCCAGCUCCUGCGUCAUCUGCUGAUCGGCGCGCGCCGCCGGUUCCCUCCUCCCAUUGUGCAUUCCGUAGCUGGCCCUGUGCUGCCUGCCGGCCGAUCAUGCCUCCCUGCUACGGUGAUCGACGGCGUGCGCCAUACAUAAGGCCGCGUAAGGAUUUUUGCGCCCGUGAUGCGGCUGUUGUUCCUGUGCAUCUGCUUAGUUUAUAAAGUGCAGAUAUGCAAUUUAUUACAGUGUGUAGAAUUAUUAUUUUUCAAGGGACACAGUGUGUAGAAUUACCACCAGUACUAGAUAGAUAGGACUGCUGGAGUUGGAUUUUGAGUGAAAGUUCACCGAGGGCUCAGCUCCCCGUUGUGAUAACAAUUAACGAAGGAAAUAAAUAUAUUGUAUUAGUUGCAAGAGAAUUGCGAAAUUCAGGUGGCUGGAAACUCUGAACUCUUAAGCUCUCCGGCUCUGCUGCAUCUGAUAGUUGCUUUUCAGCGUGUCAGAGAUCUCGAUGACAGAGCUAGCAAGAUUUUGGACUGCUUUUCAUCAGUCAUUCAUGUUUUGUUCGACAGCCAGUAAACCCCAUCUGCACCUCCUUCACGAGUCCUAACACAUGAUUGCGACCUAAUGCAUUGUCAAUUCUCCAUCUCACGAAAUACACAUGAUGAAAUUGUUUACUGCUAGUGUUAAUCUUGCUCUCACCGCAUGUAGCUAUCAGUAAUAUCGGUCGAACAUCUUUUGCUUUCUUCCGACGACCGCAGAGCCGUUCACAUUUGACCGUCCACUAACCUAUUUGGUCGACUUUUUGUGUCCAUUGCUCUGUGCGUUCCCCGCUUGGUACGACCACUUGCUCCUCCUGAAACGGCGAAGGUGGAGCAGUGAGUUGUCUGGAUCGUAUCCGGCGUCUCGGCGGACCACCAAGGCGGUUUUUAUAUUAGAGAACUCCUUUUCAUAAUCGUUGGAGGCCAUGGAUAGCGUGAAGAACAUGGUGCAAGGAGGAGAUGGGAGUGGUGGUGUUAUGAGAUUCUUUACCCGGCGUCGCUUCAAUGCAGACACUAAGAGCUCGAUUCUGCUCUAUGCCUACGUCAAUACGGAGCAGCCGUUCUACAGCGGCAUGACUGCAGGUAGGUAGGGACGGGUGGGAAGCAUUGCUGGCUUUUGAACUCUGGAUCAAUUCACCAGAGAGCAGCAACACAUGUACGUGCAAGCUAGCUAGACAAGCUAGCAAGCAAGCAGCUGGAUGGAUUGCGUGGCUAGCUUGCCGUAUGUCCUUAGCUUCGGGCUGGCUACGAUCGCAUCGAUCUCUCUCGGCAAAACGGCUUUGUAAACGUGAAAGCAAACACUGAAUCGAUGGAUUGUUAAAGGCUUGUAUCAAGCCUUGCUUUUCUUUUCUUGUAUUGCUUUGCUCUUUCUUGAUCUAGUGUUUACAUCGUGGGUUACAUGGUAUAUAAAGGAGCUAGACAGUCAAGAGCUAACCUACUCGGUUCCUACUUGGAAAUACUACUUCGAUACAUACACAUAUUCACGUCAGGUUUAAUCCUAAUAAGCACGCGGGCAAGAAAGGAGCGUUUUGGAUGGACACGACUGGCAGAGGCGGACGUGACAACGGUCCGGACGCUCACGAACCUCCACCCCACACCCACCACCAAGUUGUCUCCGGUAUGCGGGUAAAAGCACGUCCAGACCGUCCUGUAGACCGAUGCAGGUUCGUGAUGGAUGACAUCCGGGAUCCGAAUUACAUGGUUCACACGUAUAUGAACGGUUUGCAUUGGAGAUGUCCUUAGGACAUCUCCAACGCGCCCUCUAAAGCAGACACAUCAUCGGCAUUGCCUUCGCCGUUCCUUGCAGUAUUUCAGGGACCGCCUUCGGUGUCGUCGGCUCGUCAAAUGCUUGACACCAACUCUCCUCAUUGGUCACGUCUUCAACCUUAACCUCUUCUUCGGUGCUUUCUAGACUGUCAUUCAGAUCAUCGAGGGCACAUCUUUUCAACCCGAGCGAUACCAAACUUCGGUCUAACUUUGACUUCCAAGCUCUUGGCGCUUGCUUCAACCCGUAAAGUGCCUUCUUGAACUUGUAAACUUUCCCUUCUUCGCCUUUCUUCUCGUAGCCGAGGGGUUGUUCCACGUACACUUCUUCUGUGAGAUCAUCGUUGAGGAAAGCGGAUUUAACAUCCAUAUGAUGAACCUUCCAAUCCUCUUGUGCUGCCAAAGCUAGGAACACUCUCACCGUCUCUAGUCGAGCAACCGGUGCAAACACCUCAUCAUAGUCAACUCCUUGACGUUGUACGUAGCCCUUUGCAACGAGUCUUGCCUCGUACUUCACAAUGGCACCCUCCGUGUCCUUCUUUAACUUGUAAACCCACUUCAAACCUAUCGCCUUUUGGUACGGAGGUCAGGUUACCAAAGUCCACGUGCCAUUGCUCUCAAUCGCCUUCAUCCCCUCAUCCAUGGCGUGCGUCCAGCUAGGACUUUUGCUCGCCUCUACGAAGUUCGCCGACUCCUCAACUCUGAGCAGACAUAGUCUGGAGUACUCGAGCAUAACUGGCUUUGUGUACUUGUAGACCUUCUUGAGGGUUUUGUAGCGACGAUGCCCUGAGGAGUCCUUUGUGGCUUGCGAAGGGGGCGACACAAAUUGUGUCGGUGUUGAUACACUUGAGGAAGACGGCUGAGUCCCGGGCGUGUCAUCGACAUCCGUGUCGUCGGCGUAGUUGUCGUGACCGUGACCAUCAUCUUGAUUGUCGUCAUCACUAUGCGCCUCGUUGUCAAUGUUGUCAUUGAGAUCUCCGCUUGUGUCGUGCACGUCGUUGUCGCCAUCUCCUUGCGACCUAUGCGCGUCGUUGUCAGUGUCGGCACCAUGAUGAUCACUACCAUGGUGUGUUGGAAAUAUGCCCUAUAGGCAAUAAUAAAAUGGUUAUUAUUAUAUUUCCUGUUUUGAAGAUAAUCGUUUAUUAUCCAUGCUAUAAUUGUAUUGAAUGGAAACAUAAAUGCAUGUGUGGGUAUAUAGACAAAGUUGUGUCUCUAGUGAGUCUCUAGUUGAUUAGCUUGUUGAUCAAGGAUGGUUAUGGUUUCCUAGCCAUAGACAAGUGUUGUCACUUGAUGACGGGAUCACAUCAUUAGGAGAAUGAUGUGAUGGACAAGACCCAAACUAUGAACGUAGCAUAUGAUUGUGUCAUUUUGUUGUUAUUAUUUUCUGCAUGUCAAGUAUCCAUUCCUAUGACCAUGAGAUCAUGUAACUCACUGACACCGGAGGAAUGCCUUGUGUGUAUCAAACGUCGCAACGUUACUGGGUGGCUAUAAAGGUACUCUACACGCAUCUCCGAAGGUGUCCGUUGAGUUAGCAUGGAUUAAGACUGGGAUUUAUCACUUCGUGUGACAGAGAGAUAUCUCGGGGCGGCCCACUCGGUAAUACAACAUCACAUCUAAGCCUUGCAAGCGAUGUGACUAAAGAGUUAGUCACGAGAUCUUGUAUUACGGAACGAGUAAAGAGACUUGCCAGUAACGAGAUUGAAAUAGGUAUGGAGAUACCGACGAUCGAAUCUCGGGCAAGUAACAUACCGAAGGACAAAAGGAUUGGUAUACAGGAUUAUAUGAAUCCUUGACAAAGAGGUUCAACCGAUAAGAUCUUCGCAGAAUAUGUAGGAUCCAAUAUGGCCAUCCAGGUCCUGCUAUUGGAUAUUGACCGGAGAGUGUCUCAGGUCAUGUCUGCAUAGUUCUUGAACCCGCAUGGUCUGCACACUUAAGGUUCGGUGACGUUUCGGUAUAGUUGAGUUAUAGGUGCUGGUGAACGAAGUUUUGUUCGGAGUCCCAAAUGAGAUCUCGGACGUCACGAGGAGUUCCAGAAUGGUCCGGAAACAAAGAUUGAUAUAUAAGAAGUUGGUAUUUGGAUUGCGGAAGAAUUUUGGGCAUUGCCGGUAGUGUGCCGGGAGUGACGAAUGGGUACCGGGGGCACACUAGGUGGGCCCACCACUCCCCAAGAGGGCCACGUGGACUUGAUGGUGACGCAAUAGCUCUUAGUGGUCUGACUAGUCAACCAAAUAAAGCCCAUGAGGUAAAAGUGGAAAAAGUCAAAAGAGAUGGACAACUUGGGGAGGAGUCCUACUCCAAGUAGGAUUGGAGGAGAACUCCUCUCUAGGUUCGGCCGAGCCCAAGGGGGUUUCCCUUGGUGCUCAAGGCUAGCCCCUCCUUCCUCCUAUAUAUACUAGAGGUUUUAAGGGUUUUAAGGCAGAAUUUCAGCCACGUGCAACCCUCUCCUCUAGUUUGUAGUUCCUCCUCUAGAUCGGAUUUCUGCGGUGUUUAGGCGAAGCCCUAAAGGAAUAGAUCACCACCAUCACUAGCGCGUCGUCACGCUGCUGGAGAACUCACCUACUUCCCCGUCUCUCUUUCUGGAUCAAGAAGGCGUAGAUCGUCAUCGAGCUGUACUUGUGCUGAACGCGGAGGUGUUGUCCGUUCGGUGCUAGAUCGGGACGGAUCGUGGGACGGCAGAGAUUUGGAUCACGAAGACGUUCCACUACAUCAACCGCGUUUCUUAGCGCUUCCUGCGUUAGAGAUCUACAAGGGUAUGUAGAUCCGAUCUCCCUCUCGUAGAUGAUCAUCACCAUGAUAGGUCUUCGUGUGCGUAGGAUUUUUUUCCCAUGCACCGUUCCCCAACAUGGUGGUCACCUUGGUUGGCCCUCUUGCCAACCACCCGGACGUCCUCUCCUGCAUCAUCGUCAGUUGGCAAUUCAACUGUGAGUAUGUUACUGUUUGGAGCAUCGUCGGCUACGGCGCUCCAAUUCCACGCUUGGUUUUCUUCAAACACGACGUCGCAUGAAAUCCUUAGACGCUUUGUUUGUGGAUCGUAGAAGCGGUAUGCCUUGGUGCGGGAACUCCUCUUGUAUCCGAUGAACACCAUCUUGGUACUACGAUCGGCGAGCUUUCAGGGAUGCGGCUCCGCCGUCUUCACAUCUGCCACGCACCGGAACGUCCGUAGGUGCGACACAUUUGACUUACGUCCGUAAAUUGCUUCAUACGGAGUCUUGUCGAUCACCGCCUUUGUUGGAGCCCGGUUGAGAAGAUAGAUUGCCGUCGAGACAGCUUCUCCCCAAAAAGUCCCCGACAGGUUCUUGCUCUUGAGUAAACUCCGUGCCAUGUCAACGACGAUUUGAUUGCACCUCUCAACGACCCAGUUUUGUUGUGACAUGUAAAGUACCGUGAGGAACCUUUUAUGCCAAUCUUCUCACAGUAGUCGUUGAACUCAUCGUUCGAUGUAAAAUCUCCGUCGCGAUCUGUCCAUACAACGCGAACCUUCAACUUGUCUUCCAUCUCCGUUGCAGCCUUCAGCUUCUUGAACGCUUCAAACGCCUCAUUUUUAGAUCGUAGGAGAAUGACCCACAUAUAUCUCGAGUAUUCGUAUACCACAAGGAAGAAAUACUUCUUUCCCGCGUGAGUUGCCGGGGUGAUAGGGCCACAUAGAUUACCAUGGAGCAGCUCGAGUGCAUCAUUGACAUUUCUGUCUACACAAGCACUUAAAUGACUAAGCAUACGAGUACUUUGUUCCAAAUGUCUGCUAACAUAAUCAUUGAAACUCUGUUGUUUGGCAACAAAGUUGUCAAAUUCAUCAAAGCAUAGGCUAGCAGGUUUAUCAAAAGGAAUAUCACUCUCAUCAAACCUACGCAGAGAAUUUACUUCCACUACCUGUAUCGGGUUAUCGAGACCAUGGAUCUCUUCGAUAGGUGGCAAAUUUUUGACAUCUUCAGAUCUAAUGCAUUUCUCUUGCAUAGAUUUCUUGGCUUCUUGCAUAUCUUCGGGACUGAGGAAUAGGAUACCUCUUUUCUUCGGAGUUGGCUUAGGAGGUGGUUCGGGAAUAGUCCAAGCAUUAUCGUUGAUCAAGAUGUUAUUUAGUAGAGUCUCAGCUUGUUCUACAGUUCGUUCCCUAAAAACACAUCCGGCACAACUAUCUAGGUGGUCUUUAGAAGCAUCGGUAAGUCCGUUAUAGAAGAUAUCAAGUAUCUCGUUCUUCUUAAGAGGGUGAUCAGGCAAAGCAUUCUGUAGCUGGACGAGCCUCCCCCAAGCUUGUGGGAGACUCUCUUCUUUGAGUUGAGCAAAGUUGUAUAUUUCCUGCAAGGCAGCUUGCUUCUUAUGGGCAGGGAAAUAUUUCUCACAGAAGUAAUAGACCAUAUCCUGGGGACUACUCACACAUCCAGGAGCAAGAGAAGAGAACCAGGCUUUAGCGUCAUCCUUUAGAGAGAAAGGAAACAACUUAAGGAUAUAGUAGUGGCGGAUCUUCUCCUCACUAGUGAAAAGGGUGGCUAUAUCGUGUAGUUUGGUAAGAUGGGCUACGACCGUCUCAGACUCAUAACCGUGGAAAGGAUCAGAUUCGACUAGAGAGAUUAUCUCAGGAUCGACAGAGAAUUCAUAAUCCUUAUCGGUGAUAAAGAUAGGUGAAGUGGCAAACUUCGGGUUGUAUUUCAUCCUAGCUUUAAGAGAUUUUUCCUUCCACUUGAGAAGUAAUUUCUCAGCGUCAUAGGCAUCCUUACACGCAAGAAAAUCCUCAGCUAUCUCUCCCUCCAUAACGUAACCCUCAGGUAUAUCAGGCAAUUCAUAUCUAGGAGAGCUAGAUCUAACAGGAGCAAAAGCAGUUUCUGUCUCAAUAGUAUCAGCAGUUUCAGAAGCAUCACGAGCAUUGGCAGUAACUCUAGCAAUAUGAGCAUCAAGGAAUACCCCUAGUGGCACAUCAGGCAAAGUAGUAUCUCUAGCAGUAUCAAGCAUAGCAUCAUCAGGCAAAAUAGCAUCUCUAGCAGUAUCAGGCAUAGCAUCUCUAGCAGUAUCAGGCAUAGCAUCAUCAAGCAUAGGCGACAUAUCAAGAUUUCUAGCAGGAGGUGAUGUCGCAAACUUACUCAUAACUGAAGGUGAAUCAUGUGCAGAUCUAGAUGGCAGUUCCUUACCUCCCCUCAUAGUUGAGGGCAAGACUUUGGUUUUAAGAUCUUUUAGAUUCUUCAUAGUGAUCAGCAGAUAUAAAUCCCAAGUGACUCAGAGAAUAUAGCAAUCCCUUCCCCGGCAACGGCGCCAAAAAAAUGUUGCUCCUAGCAGUCCCCGGCAAUGACACUAGAAGAAUGUUGUUGACGUGUUCCUGACUUGAUGCCGUCGCGACAACAGAGCCAGAACUGCUCCCAGUUUCUCAACAAUUAGCAAUUGUCUUGCAAUGGCCCACCAGCGCGUGGGUUCGCGGCAGUUUUUGAGGGUAGAGUAUUCAACCCAAAUUUGUUGGUUCGCCAGACGGGAAGUGAAAGGAUACUCUCAAGUAUUAGCAGCUGAAUGUGUCAGAUUCAACCGCACCUGAAAGAUUAGUACCUGCAAGCAAAGAAUAAGUAGCAAAGUAGUAUGAUAGCAACGGUGCAAGAAACGAUAUGUUGACGGCAGACUAUUCCUAACUGUUGUAUCAAUGGCGCCAGUAAGUUGCCCGUGGACGGGAAAUAGUCUUUUCCCGACAACGGCGAGCGAAAAAGUAUUGUAGCGGGUAGCAGCAGCGUAACGAGUAACAGCAGUGGCAAGGAACAACAGUAGUGACAACAGUAGCAAGUAGCAACAGUAGCAAGUAGCAGCAGUAGCAAGCAACAGUAGUAACAGCAGCAGAGCAAAACAAGUAAGAGCAGCAAUGGGACAAACUCGUAGGCAAUGGGUCGGUGAUUCGUUUGGAUGACAUUCAUCAUGCAACAGUUAUAACACAGAGAGAUAUGUGGCUAGUUCCGUUCGUCAAUGUGAUGUAGGCAUGCAUUCCGUGUGUAGUCAUACGUGCUUAGGGAAAAGAACUUGCAUGACAUAUGUUGUCCAUCCCUCCCGUGGCAGCGGGGUCCAAAAGGAUACUACGGGAUAUUAAGGUUCUCCUUUUAAUAAAGAACCGGAACAACGCAUUAGCACUUGGUGAACACAUGAACUCCUCAAACUAUGGUCAUCACCGGGAGUGGUUCCGGUUAUUGUCACUCCGGGGUUGCCAGGUCAUAACACAUAGUAGGUAACUACAACUUGCAAGAUCGGAUCUAAAACACACAUAUAUUGGUGACAACAUAAUUAUUUUAGAUCUGAAAUCAUGGCACUCGGGCCCUAGUGUCAAGCAUUAAGCAUGGCAAAGUAGUAGCAACAUCAAUCUCAGAACAUAGUGAAUACUAGUGAUCAAUCCCCGUCAAAACUAACUUGAUUACAUGAUAGAUCUCAUCCUACUCAUCACAGCCGAGCGAGCCUAUGAAUAGAUUACUCACGAACGAUGAAGAGCUUCAUGGAAUUGGAGAGGGAAGAAGGUUGAUGAUGACGAUGGCGACGAUUUCCCCUCUCCGGAGCCCAAAACGGACUCCGGAUCUGCCCUCCAGAUGAAGAACAGGAUGUGGCGGCUCCUCCGUUGUGACAGCCCGAUGCCGACGUUCCAGAAGCUUCCCCUUUUCUUCCGUUUCCGUCGUGUGGGUAUUUUCAGUUGCCGCUUCAUCAUCGCAUCAUGCGCAUCAUCUGCACUGCAUCGACAUCUUCGUUGCCGCCAAUUUUCAAACUUGCAUUCGUUAGUAGUUGCCGGUUCUCGUCGUCGUCCGUUCUGAGUCCGACCGCACACGCACGCGCCCGCGGCACCGUCGAAACCCUGUUUUAAAGUGCGUUUAAAACUUUCUCUGGUCGGGUUGAGAUUUAACGUGCGGUCGUGAUUUGCUAUAGCGAGGCCGCCCGUCGAAUUUCGUCGCGAUCGGAGACCGUCUGGUACCCGAACGGUCGCCCGUAGCGGCACCAUCUUCGGUUAUUCGUCGGACGUCUGUCGGUGUUUUUAAAUUCGUGCCGCGUCGCCCGCUCUCCCCCUCGUCUCCGGUAAACCCCUCUGCAUGGCCGCGUACCCAUACCCGCGUUCGAAAUCGUCCGAAUCCGACCCCGCGGUUGGAUCCGGAUCACGAUUCCGGUUAACCGAGCCCCCCAUUUGUCUCUAAAUACCCCCCGGUGCAUAUUUGGACAACCUCUCUCUCUCUCCCUCGUUUUCCGUGCAAACCCUAGACCCGCCUCGUAAUCCGCGCCCCAGCUAGUCUCUACCCACCUCCUGAGCCCCAGAUCUGAUCCAGCCUAGCGCACCCGAUCUGGACCGUCGGAUCUCGGAUCCAACGGCCCAGGGCGCCUCCCUCCUCCUGCCCGAGAUGCCUCCCAUGGCAGCCGCCUCCUUGCCGAGCAGCCCACGCGCCUUCNNNNNNNNNNNNNNNNNNNNNNNNNNNNNNNNNNNNNNNNNNNNNNNNNNNNNNNNNNNNNNNNNNNNNNNNNNNNNNNNNNNNNNNNNNNNNNNNNNNNNNNNGCGGUGCCCCCGGCCCAGCUGCGCGCCCGUUCGCCUACAGUGACGGCCCACCUCUCCACCGCAGCGCCGCGUGGGCCUGCUCUUCCCCAACCCCCAAGCCCAUCUGCAGGCCGGCCUCCUAGGCCGUGGUGAGCGCCCUGCCUUUUUCCCUCGCCCCAGCGUGUUUUAGUUUUAUGCCGCAUGUCCAGUUUCGGCCCGGUAGGCAGCCCAGGCCCGUUAGUUUUUUUUUAGGUUUUCAGUUUUUCUUUUUCAGGAAAUCACUAGAUUUUUUAAACGUCCGUAGUUAUUAAACCGUAAGUCAGAACGACGCGUGUUAUAUAUCGUUUUGGGGUAGCUUCGCGAGUAGAACACGAUUAUCCAACAUGCAUAUUUGUUUAAAGCUGUUUAGAGUGCCUAAUGCCUCGUUUUACGUGCUGUUUAACUAGGAUCCGUUCCGUAGUUAAUUCUCGUGCGUGUCCGGACUGCCCGUAUGCCAUAGAUUUAAUGUCCAUGUUUUAGGGACCAUAUUUCUACGUAUUUAGAGCGGUCACUCGUAUUUUUCCGUGAAGGGUUUUGCCGGUAGCUUAUUUUCCCGUUUAGAGGUAUUAUCUCGCAUUAAUGUGUGGCUUUAUUUUGAGUUGCACACCUAGAACAUGAGAGGUAUUAUCUCGCAUUAAUGACUGCUUUAUUUAUGACGAGGUGUUAUUUUCACUAAGUCUGAAAUAGUGCGUGAGAUGCCAUUUUGUGUCUUCUUUUCCUAGUGCUCCUUGCUGCCAUGCUAGUUGUUGUUAGCUGUUCGUAGUAGUGCGGCUUGCCCUCUUUCAUGCCAUGCCUUGCUUGAGCUCAUCGGAGUUGUGUAUCCGUAGUUGUGGGGCGAAGAAAAUACUAUGUGGCUGAUUUUGACAGAUUGUAGUCAUUUCUUGUUUUGCUCGUAGUUUUUGAACCGUAGCUCCGUUUUGAUCGUGUCCUACAUGUAACUUGCUUAGAACCUCGUGUAGUUUCAUUUUUCUCUGGCUGUUUGUAUGUGUUGAAGUGCUCGUAGCCGCCAUUGCACACAUUUUGCAUUCAUGCCAUCAUAUCUUGCGGUGCCUGUAUCUUUUGAUCCGUAGCUCCGUUGGAGAUGUUCUUUACGUGUAGAUUGCUUGCCUUGACGCGUAGAAUCACGUGAACCUAUUUGUUUUGCUGUUUAACAACCAAUUAUAUGCAUUAGAUCAGAUCUGAACAGAAUUGUAAAUUAACAUGUGAGGUCGUCUCGGAGAUGCUAUAGGACAUUUCCGACCUCAUUUAAAAUGUCUAGGUAGGUAGUUUAAUUCCCGCUUCACCUCUUGCAUGUUUAACAACAUUAACAUUGCCGUGUAAAUAACCGGGAGUGAACUAAAUAACUAACAUGGAGUUUCGUCAAUAUGCAACUCGUGCAUAUUGAACUUCACUUAAUGUGUAGUGUUUGAUUGUGUGAUUUGUCAUACCGUGACUUGCAUGUAUUCAGUAGCUCAUGCAUCAUAUGUGUUGUGCAUCAUGUGGUGAAUAUCAUGUGUUGAUGCUUGUUUCCGGUUUCCCCGUCUCGAUAGAGUUCCGCAAGCGUGUCGGUUGUGAGGACCCGUUCGACUACAUCGGUUCGUCUGCUUCACGGAGGCAUUCUUCGUCCAAGCGGGAUCUCAGGCAAGAUGAUCAUUUCCCCAGAUACCAUUACUAUCAUUGCCAUGCUAGUUAUUUCGUUGCUACCGACUAUGUCUCGUUGCCUACCACCUGUUAAAUAUCAGCCUAUCAACAAUGCCAUGAUUACCCUCAACCUGUUCGACCUAGCAAACCACUGAUUGGCUAUGUUACUGCUAGCUUAACCCUGUUGUUAGCGUUGCUAGUUGCAGGUGCAGUUGCUACCAUGUGAAAACAUGGGUACCUUGUUAUAUCACCAUAGUUAUGCUAUUUAAUUUAAUGCACCUAUAUACUUGGUAAAAGGUGGAAGGCUCGGCCUUUCUAGCCUGGUGUUUUGUUCCACCUUUGCCCCCUUAGUUUCGGCUACCGGUGUUAUGUUCCAUAAACAAGCGCUCCUAACACGAUCGGGGUUGUUAUGGGGACCCCCUUGAUAAUUCGUUUUAGAUUAAAGCUGGUCUGGCAAGGCCCAACUUUGGUACUACAUUUGCCUAAUCACUAAUAAACUGCAUAGGGAGUAAUUAACCCGAGGAAAUUUAAUCAACCCCCGGGCCAGUGAUCCUCAUGAGUGUUGGUCCAAACUAGAGCCGUUUGCGGGGCCAACCCGGGGUAACUCGGGAGAUUUCUAUCAGGCCACCGUACGCUGUGCUUAUUCGUCGUGUCCCGAGAACGAGGUACGCGACUCCUAUCGGGAUCGUCGACACGUCGGGCGGCCUUGCUGGAUUAGUUUUACCUUUGACGAGAUAUCUUGUGCAUCGGGAUUCCGGUGAUACUUUGGGUAAUCUCAGAGUUGAGGUUUUCCACUAGGGAAUCCGACGAGAUCGCGAGCUUCGUGAUCGAGGAUUUCUAUGCGGCUUGUGGUAAUUUGUGAUGGACUAGUUGGAGCAUCCCUGCAGGGUUAAAUCUUUCGGAAAGCCGUGCCCGCGGUUAUGUGGCAACGUGGAAGCUUUGUUUAACACUGGUUCUAGAUAACUUGAAGUUAACUUAAUUAAAACAUGCCAACUGUGUGCGUAACCGUGACUGUCUCUUUCGUGAGUUCCUUCUCCGAUCGAGGACACGGAGGGGUUAUGUCUGAUGUAGGUAGGUGUUCAGGAUCAUUCAUUUGAUCAUCUGUAGUUCACGUCCGCUAUGCGUUGAUCUUCCCCCUCUUACUUCUUGUACUCGUAAGUUAGCCACCAAAUAUACGCUUAGUCGCUGCUGCAACCUCACCACUUAACCUUACUUCACCCAUUAAGCUUUGCUAGUCUUGAUAGCUUUGGAAAUGAGAUUGCUGAGUCCCCUGUGGCUCACAGAUUACUACAACACCAGUUGCAGGUACAGGUAAAAGUUACUUGACGCGAGCGCGUUGAUUGUUCAUUUGGAGUUUCUUCUUCUUCUUCCUCUUCGUCGAUCUAGGAUGGGUUCCAGGCCGGCAGCCUGGGAUAGCAAGGAUGGACGUCGUUCUUCUUUUGUUGUUUGUUUUCGUCCGUAGUCGGACCCUGCUCUUACUCUUGUUGAUUAUGUAUUGUACUGAUGUGACUCUGAUGUAGCUUGUGGCGAGUGUAAGCCAAUUCUUUAUAUAUCUCAUCUUUUCAGUACAUGUACUUGUAACGAUAUCCAUUCUUGCGACACGACGAGAUGCGCUUCUAUCCCUGACGAGGCCUUCGUGCCAAAUUGAGGAUAGGGUCGCAUCUUGGGCGUGACAUCCGUAUCGCAAACGCGAUGAAAUCUUCUCUUCUGAUUUUUUUUCGGGACGAAAGUGAAUUUAUAGAGCUGGAGUUGGGUGCGGCAGACCCACGUGGGCCCCACAAGCUUGGUUGCCGCGGCCAGGGGGGAGGCCGCGGCAAAAGGGCUUGUGGCCCACCCCCUCCGGUGGAUCUUUGCGCAGGUAAUUUUCAUAUUUUCCAGAAAUAUUCUCCGUAAAUUUUCGGGACGUUCCGAAAACUUUAAUUUCUGCACAAAAACAACACCAUGGCAAUUCUGCUGAAAACAGCAUCAGUCCGGGUUAGUUCCAUUCAAUUCAUGCAAAUUAGAGUCCAAAACAAGGGAAAAAGAGUUUGGAAAAGUAGAUACGAUGGAGACGUAUCAGGGUGUAAUGUGAAUGGCAUCGGAUCACGACUUAAACAGGCGCGGCGACCAUGAGAAGGGAUGGGAAGUUGACUUCAAUGAGGUGCAGUGGCCAGAGUAGGCUUCUCCAAUGCUGCAUCUUCAUUGAAGUAGCAACAUCUGCUGGCCAAAUAGCGUUCCUCUGACCGGCUUCAGUUCCGUGGAGUCACAUCUGUUGUGGAGCAACGAUAGCACACAUAAAUGCGCGACAACUGCUCCACAUGGAGAGGGUUUUUCAGAUCGGAGGGCUUUUGGGUGGGGCCGGGAUGUAGGACACAAUGGUGGAUCUAGUGCUAUCGGUCAGGUGGGCCAACAGUGUAAUUAUGCAUGUAUUUUAGUUGUUAUUUUAUUUUAUUUUUAUUUUUUGCUAUGAUAUAAAUGUCAAUUUCUAAUCUCAGGGUGGGCCGUGGACCAUCAUCCCCACCCCUACCUCCGCCACUCGUUGGACAUGUGUGUGGCAGUGCUCCAUGCGCCCACAAAAUCUGGGUGCAUUGAAAAUUAGACACGUGGACUUGUUUGACGACCGAUGAUGAAGCACGAUGGAUGAAAUUAGACCACUUUGGAGAUGCCUUCACCCCGUAACUAAUACUCCCUCCGUUCGAAAAUACUUGUCCUAAAAAUAUAUAAAAUGAAUGUAUCUAUAACUAAAAUAAGUCUAGAUACAUUCAUUUGUAGGACAAGUAUUUCCGGACAGAGGGAGUAGUUGAUUGUUGUCACGUUUGCUUCUAAAGGUACCUCAUCGAGAUCCUCUAUGCUAAAACUACCAAAAAUGCUCUCUAUACCACUUUACUAGUUUUAUUUCCAGUAAAGUCAUUGUGUCGCAGCUAGUAGUUCCCCUAUCCUGUAAAUUGUGGUUUCACAAACUUUAAAGUUAUUGCUCAAAUUAUUCUGAGUAAUUGCUCACAUUUGAACACAACAAAGAGUAUUUGAAUGAAUUACAUCACAAUUCAACUACAAGCAUAAAUUCAAUCCAUUGAAUCCACCGGUCAUAACCACAAUUUUUGCCAAAGGCCACGAGAUGAGCAAGUUCAUUCCAAAAAUAUACCAACACACGAUAGAUCAAAUGCCAUCAUAAUUCAAAGAGGCGAACUCACCACCACAGCCACCCCUAACCACUCAGCCUGGACGUUCAUGUAUUUUGGUUAUUUCGGUUCGGUUAGUUCGGGUUAUGGGUAAUUCAGGUAUUCCAAAAAUGUGAAUCAAAUUUUUUUCUGCCAAAAAAAAAACCCGAACCCUAGUUACCCUAAAUUUUGAUUCGGAUAAGUCGGGUACCCAAAAUACCCAAAAUAUACGGAGCACACAUCAACUUUUGGUAUGGAUAAUUUGGAUAGUGUGGGUAUUUUGGAUAGUAUGGACAUCUUAUAGUUAGUACGGGUAACAUGUUCAUGUAAUAAUAGCGUGAAUAAUUUGGCUAGUAUGAAUAAUUUGGGUAUGGGUAUUUCGUGUUUUUUAAACUGGAACCCAAACCCAAACCCGAGAACCGAAUAGGCAGGAAAUGAGAACCGAACGCUAACCCGAUACCCGAAUUAGCUGACAAUUUUGGUACUUCGGUAUGGUUAGCGUUUGGGUAACGGGUUAGGGUACCCAAAUGCCCAGACUGAGUUGCCGAAGCUUUCAGCACCCCUGCCAGCGCUUGCACGAAGCGCCUUAGCCUUGAUGUCUCCACAAGUAAGCUCGCAAAAUCUUCUCGUGAUAUCGUCAAUCCUACUAGGAUUCAUCAACAUGAUAUCACGGUCCUCAUACAUCCUCUUCUCCUUUUGCUCCUCGACCGCCAUUGUUAGUUUUUGCAUCUCAAUGUCAAGCAAUUUUUUCUUCUCCAUAAUCAUCUUUCUAUCCUUUGGUCGUAGCCUAUGCAUUCCAUGUGUCCUCCUCUAUGUUCUUCAUCUCAUAUAAACAAUUCGUCUUCUUCCCUUUUCACAUCCACCAUUCCGCCGGUUAUCAAGGAAGGGCUAUCCUGACAUCGACUAAUGGGGCGACAACGUCAAAUUAGACGGGAAUCGUUGAGGUGGGAAGGAGGGUGAGUGUGAGUUUUAGACUAUAGAGCAACCCAUGCCAAAAUUUGAUUGGGGGGGGGGGGGCUAAUUUUGGCGAUUUAAAACUGAAAAUUAGUAAAGUUUUCGUUUUAGUGGGUCUCUUAGUUGGGUGUGUUGGGCUUACGUGAGCAUUUUAUUCCCCAAAUAUAAAUUUUUAUGAUCUGGUAGAGAUGCCCUAAGUUGUGAUAUUGUAACAUUAUUUACUCUAUUAAAAAAAUCCUACAAGUCAUACCGAUAUAUGAGGAUGGCGUCUAGUCAACUGGGUAGACAAGUCGUAGAUGGACUAAUUGACAGAACACGGGAGCAAAAAAAAAUUUGACGCAAAUUUACAUGAUUUGAUAUAAAAAGAAAAGCAGGUCAUUUGACAUAACCUAACAUGUUUCUCAUCAAGUGGGUCCAACUUGUCAGUCUAUGAAAAUAAUGAAAUUUAGCAUAAAUAUGCCACAAGGUAAGAGCAACUAAAAUAUACUAGUACAAUAUAGUGAACAUAGACUACAUAGUUAUGAAGCACUGUAGUACUCCCUCCGUUCCUAAAUAUAAGUUUUUUAAGAGCUUUCAUUAGAGGGACUACAUAUAAAUGUAUAUAGACAUACUUUAGAUUAUAGAUUCACUCAUUUUGCUCCAUAUCUAGCCCUCUAGUGGAGUAUUUAGGAACGGAGGGAGUAGAUAACAAACAAGCAGGACGGCAGUGAGGCAUGGCUUAGCUCAGCUAGGUAGAAUUCCCGGUCGUACGGCAGUGCGGCUUAGCUUAGCUCAACUAGGUAGAUUUCCUUGUACGGCAGUGUGGCUUGGCAAUUUUCCCCGGUAACAGCUGUGGAGUCCAUCGAUCGUGACUGCGCUUCUACCAUAAGCUAAUUUAUUUACAUCUCUCCUUCCGGUCAAACAAAAAAAUGACACUAACAAACAAGUAGAUAAAAAAACAACAAAAGCGGUAGAAUUAGGUGACCACAUACACCGUCAGUCAUCCCCCGUUGAGCUUCAGCGCGCGUGUCAUUCUUCUCCGGUGGCGAAUUUCCACGGCCCGGUCCCACGUGAAAGCUCCUUCACGUGUUUGACUCCAGCCGCAACAUCCAUGCUCAGCCAUCCAUACUUCUCUGCCGCUUCAAGCGCUCGCACUGCCAUUUUUUUCAACAAGACGGCGGCGGCGUUGAACGGAAGAGCGUAGUAGUACGAUUCGCCCGUCAGCUACCCGUAGCUAUCGGACAGUGUACGUGGACUCCUGCUUCGUCCUCGCACGGGCUGCUAUACUGCCUCAUCGCCACUAAUUACCCUUUGAUUGUUCCACAGACCAUAGAGGAGAAGACCGGGCCGAGCAUGGUGGGCUGCGCCGUUGCCCAUGGCCGUUGUUUCUCCGUCGAUGUUUGGAUUCCCUUUUGUCGCGAUGACCGUUGAGGAAGAUAAACGUCCGUCGUAAAGUUUUGUUGGUUGCUAAAUCGGGGGCUGCGCUGAAGACUUCAUAGUUUUUUACUCCCUCUGUUUUUAAAUAUAAGUCUUUUAAAAAAAAUUAUUAGAAGACAACAUACGAAGCAAAAUGAGUAAAAUCUACUUCAUCCGUCUCAAAAUAAGUGUCGCCGCUUUAAUAUAAAAAAUUUGUCACUUAUUUUAAAAUAGAGGAAGUAUAUUAUAAAGUACGUCUACAUAUAUUCGUCUAUAGUCCUUUAAUGAAACAUCUAAAAAGACUUAUAUUUAGGAACGGAGGAUUAUUUUGAAGAAAAAGAACGUCCAUCAUAGUUUAAGUUCUGAUGAUCGGAUUUAGUUUUGGAUCUAUUUUAGAAUUUUCGACCAUGCGCAUUGAAUGGUAGGAGACGUUUCCGUCGACGACUAGACGCUUACAUUAGUUUCGUAAAUUUCAAGAUGAUAUAUCAAUUCAGUCUUUCGAAAGUAUUCGUAUAGAUUAAUAUGUGUGUGUGUUUUUAUAAGGUUGAAUGUAUGCACGUGUAUAUGAACGGUUAUGUGUGUAUUAGUAUAUUAAAAGAAAAACAUGCUCGCAAGUAAAUGUUUCCCGCGGCAUUUCCAGGCGCCACUGGCCGGUCCGUUGACGCGGGUGCGGCUAUCCGCUGUCACCCAGCGGCCAUCUUUCCCGCUACACUUGUCUUUGAAAGGAACCCGCCCGCCCUCCCGAGACUUUUUUGCGCCGUGGAACGUUCCACCGCGAGCUUAGUCACGGGCGAGCGUGCGUGCCGGCCGCCUAUAAGAAUCCGCCGGCUCCGUCCCCCAAAUUAUACCGAGCUUUCUUCCUUGCCCAUCGCCGGUUCCCUUGGCUCACACCCGCCAACGUUCGUCAGUCGGUCAGUGCCGGCCGGGUCGGGUCCAUGGCGGAGAAGAAGGUUUCUUGCUUACAGUCUACCGAAUUGGGAUUUCUCUCCUCUGAUUUCAAUUACGGCUCUUGAUUGCUGAUCUUGCUUUCUUGUUUGGCGGCCGCGGAAUUCAGGUUGUGCUGAAGCUGGACCUGCACGACGACAGGAAGAAGCAGAAGGCCAUCCAGGUCGUCUCCGGUCUCCAGGGUACUCUACUCCCCUGCUUCUCCUUAUUCCCCAGUUCCGUCGUAGUAAUCGUGGAGGGGGCUGGCCAGGAUCUUCAUCGCCUCGCACCAGUCUGUCAUCAUGCGGCUCACCGCCAACUGUUGCUCUUCCUCAGGCAUCGACCAGAUCACCGUGGACAUGAAGGACCAGAAGAUGACGGUGAUCGGCACCGUCGACCCCGUCCACCUCGUCGAAAGGCUGCGCAGCAAGUUCUUCGGCACGGCGCAGAUGGUCUCCGUCGGCCCGGCCAAGGAGGAGAAGAAGGACGCCGCCAAGAAAGAAGACGAAAAGAAGGAGGCCGACAAGAAGGACGCGGGCAAGCCGCCGGCGUGCCCGCCGUACUGGUACGCGCUGCCGCCGCCGUACCACCCGUACCAUCACCCCUGCAGCGCCGGGGAGGACCCCAACUCGUGCGUCAUCUGCUAAAAUCGGCGCGCGCCUCUGAAUAUUUUGUAGCUGGCCGUGUGCUGCGCUGCCGAUCGAUCAUGCCUGCCACGGUGAUCGACGACAGCGUGCGCCAUACAUAAGGGUUUUGCGCCGGGGUUCCCUGGACCCGGCGUUUGUGCAUCUGCAGAGCUUAUAAAGUGCAGAUAUGGAAUGGAAUCACAGUGUGUCGAAAGGUCAAAUACAACUGCUUACUUGGAUUUUUCAGAGAAAGUUCAAGGAUUGGUCAUCAAUCGUGAUAAGGACAUGCUGAAAUAAAUAAACCGUAGCCCGUAGGUGCAGCAGAUUGAGCGAGCCAGGCACAAUGAGAUUGAUAAAAAAUCCAGGCGGCUUGCUAGAUGGGUCUCGCGUGCAUCUCCUACAUUUACCAACGGAAACUCUGAAGCUGUCUGGUGGUGCUUCACCUGAGAGUCGCUUUCAGUCAGCCGCCAGCGAUCUACCCCUCCAUUCCUAAAUAUAAAACCUUUAAUUAUUUUAUUAUAAACUACAUAUGAAAUAAAAUGAGUGAAUCUACACUAUAAAAUAUGUCUAUAUACAUCUGUAUGUAGUUCAUAAUAAAAUCCUAAAAUAUUUUAUAUUUAGGAAACGUAGGGAGUAAAUGAAAACGCAAACAUGUUUUCGAGCUUUUGGACCAGCUUUAAUGAUCCGCUUGUGUUUUCUUCGACAGCGAGUAAGCCCCAUUGGCACUUCCCUCACAAGUCCUAACACAUGAUUACAACAUAAUACGUACACACUAGUGGUACAUUAUUAACAGUCCAUCUCAUAAGACAGGCAUUGUUAACUGCACGUCUUAAUCUUUGCCCUAACUACAUGGAGCUUUCAUUGAGAAGCAACAUCUUGUGCGUUCUACCCACGGCUGCGAAGCCGUCGCAUUUUAUCCUCUCAUUAAUGUAUUUGUUUGACUUUGGCUUUGUGAUAACUUUACACCUUUUACGGGUUUUUUUUGACAGAAACUUCUCCUCCCUUAUUGAGAUGCUAAAACAGUGGUAUCAUUUACAAGUAAUGAGAGUACAUGAGGAGGUGCUAAAUCCAGCCAACAACUAGGAGGAAAAAUUUUAACUAGCCUAGCAAGUUCAUGGCCUACUUUAUUACUCUCUCUAAAACAAUGAUCAUAAAUAACAUGGUUGAACGCAGAUGACAUAAAGAAACAAUCGUCAAUAAUUGCUAAAGCAACCGAAGAAGAAUUGCCAUCUUUUAGGGCUUCCACAAUCUCCAAACUAUCCGAGCUUAGCACAAUCCUGCUACAUCCAACAGUUCUCGCAAUAUUCAAUCCAAACCUGAUAGCUAGAGCUUCUGUUGUGAAUGAAUCAAAACAAAUAUAUAUUCUUUCAUUCGCCGCCGCAAUGAAUUAUCCGCUCUGAUCGCGAAUGAUUGCCGCUACAAGCACCUUGUCUGAACCACACUCUUAAAUCACGUAAUAAGGUGUUUGUCCAAAAAAUAAAGAAAAAUAUUUACUCUCUUUGAAAAAAUCAUACUCUAAUCACGAGGUAAGGAGUACUUCUUUUUGUGAGGAAUGAGGACGAAUAAAAAUCAUACCAACAAGUUGUACCCACAUGCAAAAUAAAUAGUACUCCCUCCGGCCCAUUUUAGUCUGCAUAUUAGUUUUGUCUGAAGUCAAAGUAUCUCUACUUUGAGCAAACUUAUAGAAAAAAUAUCAAUAUUCAUCAUGGCAAAUUAAUAUUUUUAGAUUCUUUACAAAAUGUAGUUUCAUAUUGUAUAUAUUUGAUAUUGUAGAUAUUGGUAUUUUUUAAUAUAAAUUUAGUCAAACUUUAUAAAGUUUGACUUGAACGAAAUCUCAUAUACGGAGUAAAAAGGACCGGAGGGAGUACUACUCUCGAACAAUCUGCAAACAUGAGCUGGAUCAGUUAUCCAUAGAUUACUACCUUGUCUGUAUUUUGAUGUGACUUUAUUUCUGCGGUUGGAAUUUCGUUUACUUUUGGUUUUCCCCUAUAGUUUAGUGUCGUUUUAAAGGAUGCUAUGUCUGUAUCUGACGAAUACUUUGCUUCAUUAAUAAAAAUGGAGCAGUGGGAAACCCUUUUUAUUCAAAAAAAAAACUCUCCAAGAAGGCAACAAAUAUGUGUCUGAGUUUUCCACACUCAAUUAGCUGUUGCUUAAUCCUAACAAGUUUAGACGAAAAUGGUAAAAACUAUGAAUAUGUCGCUGAGGCAACAGCUGAUGUGUGAAACGUAGCAAAAAUAGUUAUGUGGAGUAAAAUAAGUCACGGGGUAUCAUCUAAAGGUUAAAUGUAAAUAAGAAAAAAGAUAGAAACAUUGGAUUCAGAUUAGCAAAUUCCAACGAAAUCUCAACACGAGUCCCUCAUUUUACUUUUCCUUCGAUGUGCCCAAUUCUCUCCCAAUAUUUGUUUACUUGCACAAUCUAAGAGCAACUCUAGCAGACCCGGAAAACACGUUUGCGGUUCACGAAGAUCGCGUUUGCGGGUCGAAAACAUGCGCGGCCGAACAGAACCCGUAUCAAAACAUGCAUAAUUUGAAAAAACGCUUUCACGAGAGAAAUUGCACUGCUGCCACUGGAGGGCUUCGAGCUCCUCGGCGUGGUGCCGACGCUCCGCCUCCUCGUGCACGCUCCGCUCGGCGAUGGCGGCAGCAACGGCGUCGAAGUCCAUGACUUAGUCCUCGGGCCCGACCACUCCGCGGCGGCCGAGCGGAGCGGGCUCCUCGGGCUCCUCCUUCACCGGGACGAAGACGAACGACGCCGGCUCCUCCUCGUCCUCCGACCACUCCCUCUUCACGGGGAGAAAGCCCGCACCGGAGGACGAGGAGGAUCCGGCGUACGAAGAUCUCGCGGAGGAGAAGGACGCGCUACGCCGGUCGUACUCCUCCGUCUCGCGGCGGUUGAAGCUCGCCGGCGGCGACAUCCCGCGGUUGGUCCAUCUCCGGGCGCCGCGCUUCCUCGCCCCGGCCGCUUGGACGCNNNNNNNNNNNNNNNNNNNNNNNNNNNNNNNNNNNNNNNNNNNNNNNNNNNNNNNNNNNNNNNNNNNNNNNNCGCCGGCGGCGAGAAAUGUGGAGAGGGGAAAGGGGAAUCGGGUGGCUCGCGGCGGAGGAGGAUAGGGUUUGGACUCGCAAAAUGAUCGCGAAACCGCAAUUAUACUGCUCCGUGCGCGCGGUUUGCGAGCUACGGCAAAAAAAAUUACGGACCGGACGAAUAUGCAGACUCUGUUCUGACCGAAAAAUUGAGCCGAGCCUGCAUACUCGCCGGAAUUUUUACGGACUAGACGUUUUGCGGGGUUUGCUAGAGUUGCUCUAAAGGCACCAGCCUAAGAAAAAUCUACUCGUGCAACAUACUUAGCUAUCAGUGACAACUGCAGAUUUGUCCUCGCAUGGACCGAUGUUGUUGCAUUGCAUGCAUCACCAAGAAUUCUCCUCCCAUUAUUCUACAAACCUCACCCGUCGCUACUUUCUCGGUGAAAAAGAACGGAGGAGUUGAACGUUGAAACUUUCCCGCGGAGCAUGCACUAUUGAUUGGGGGCGCCCUAAGAAUAAUGCAGCAUACUGCCACACACUCCUUUUCCAUAAUAAACCUUGCUUGCCAAGGUAACGCCUCGGCGUCCACGUCCUGACAGGACGAAUCGCUAUCGUUUCUAUAUUUCUUUUUUGUCCGGCAACACCACUCACGCACGCAUGGAUUUGGAUUGGAUUGGGUUGGGUUAGCCUUUAGAGUUGCUUUCAGUGAGUGGUCUCGAUGAGAACGCAAAAGGUAUAGAGAUUUUUAAGAGCAUCUUCAAUAUAAGUGUCCACGUCAACGAUCAAUAGCACAUUACUUUAAUGAGUAUACAAGUUCUUUAAUAAAGUGUAUGUUAAUCGUAUGUAAAACAACUAAGGGGGCCACUAAAUAUUGAAGAAAUAACAAUGCUUGUCUCGGAGCUUGUGUGUGAACCGUUGCUUCAAGUUCAUACGAUGUUAUUCUCUCUUUUCUUUUAUUAUGCAUCAUGUCAUCAAAAUCAUCUAUGUGACAAUUUUAUCAACGAUGAUCAUACGAUCAUUGGAGAUGCGCUAAUACCAUGAUUAGGAUGGUGUAAUACAUUGUUAAUCGUCCAUCUCGCAAAGUAUAUGUUGUUAACUGCGGGUCUUAAUCGCUGCCCUAACUGCAUCGAGUUUUGAAGAACACCAUACGACUUCUGUGUUCUAUCGCCGGCUGUGAAUCCAGGCACAUUUCAUCCGUCCAUCAUCCGAAUAUCCAGUAUAUUUCAUUUGUUUACAUCUUCACUGUUGAUUCUUAUGAUAGCUCUAAAUCAACCCCAGCUAUUUUUUUUCUUAUGCUAAGAAGCCAGAUCCACACCUCGCGAUGGUGUGGCACAGUGGCAGCUGACUGGGUGGACAAGUCGCGUGUUCGUUCUGUGCGUAUUUGGCUUGGUAUGAGAGCGGCCGCGCUGUGUGGGGUGUGGUUAUGUUGAGUAUAUUAGCAAUUUUUCAAUUAAUUUAAUCUACAGAUAAAUCAUGAGCAUGAUAUUAACAUAAUUAAUCACAUAUUGAUUAUCAUCCAAGUAAGCACACACUAUGCAUAUCCUCUAUUCUUAAAUAGCUAUAAUCCACUCGUUAAUUUUCUUCUCCAUGCAACAAAGCCACAUCAUCAAGUCACGCAUGGAGUCAUAAGUUGCUUGUUCCUUUAAUCUCUCCAUGCAAUGCAAAGCAUACCACCUCAUGGAUUAUUUUUUCCCCAGAGAAUUAAGUCAUGUAAGAAAGUUUUAUAUUUGUUUUUGGAUUAACUUUAGUCUUCUAUCACUUAUUCAUAUAUUUUUAACAAGAUUUCCGCCGCAACGCAUGGGGUAUCGUCUAGUAAUAGAAACAUCUAUUCGUAUAGCUAGUCAUAUAAGAAAGUUUUAUAUUUGUUUUUGCAUUAAUUUUAGUGUUCUACCACUUACUCAUACAUUUUUAACAAGGUUUUCGCCCCAACGCGCGGGGCAUCGUCUAGUAAUAGAAACAUAUAUGCAUAUAGCUAAUACUGGUAACACAUAAAUAAACACGAGCAGGAUAAACGAAUUAUACCCUCCAGUAGGCCAGAACGAAGCGACGGUGGCGAUAUUGGUGUCUUCGACAACCUUCUUUUUGGCUUCAAGUUUCUUGCCAGCGAGUCGUUCGCUUCGUAUUGCAGACUCAUGGUGACGGCGAAGGCAAAAUCGACGUUGACAAACGGCGGCGAGCAGUCAUGUAGGAGACACUCCCAAAAACUUUAUCGCCCCUCUUUCAUCCAGGAUCUCGAGAGGCGAGGUUUCAAAGGGCUCUUCUUUUGUCAAACCUUGUACACAAUAGACUGGAUGGGAUCACCGACGGCAGCAGCAGCAACAAAAGGAACGACAAUGGAUGAGAUGUGCGUGGAGGCUAGGCUUGCUACUAUAUAGACGCGGUCGGGUUGGAGGGUAUCGGCUGUACCGAACGGGUCUGUUAAAGACUCUCCAUUUCUUACUAUAAAAAAUAAGUGCAUAGGUGUGAGCUCGGAUCGCCUCAUUCCCAGAACCCCCACCUUUGUCAUGCAUGCACCAGGAUGAGGUGUGGCGAGACAGGCAGUGGAGGAGGAGCGUGCGGUAACCAUGAUAAUUCAAGCUCGAGCCCGGACUCACAUGAGUCCGGUGAACAGUAACGUGAUUAUCGACAGAAAAAAAAGUUCAAAAAAUUCCAUUUUUUGUGUUGUAAGAUGUUUAUCCGUGUGAACUCCGUGCAAAUUUUUGUGAAGUUUGGACAUUCGAGAAGCUCAUGGCAAAAAACACAAAAUCAGGUAUGAACAGUGCGAUUUUCAAAGGUUCUCGCGCAUUCGAAAUUUUUCUUUUUUGCCAGGGCUCCUCAAAUGCCCAAGUUCACAAAAAUUUAGACGAAGUUCAUGCACCGAAGAAUCUUGCAGCACAAAAAAUAAACUUUUUGUAUACUUCAAACCGCAUUAUUGUUCAUGACCGGGCUCAUCUGAGCCUUGGAGCCAAAUCCCUGCUCUCUCUCCACUCAUAUUCUAAAUCUCCAAUAGCAUGUGAAAGAGAAUUUUUUAUAAGGAGAUCCAACCCCUCCUCUACCAGUGGAGUGUGACUAAACUUUCCACCAAAUCCCUUGUCAUGACAUCUACAUGGGCCCUUUGAGAUUUUCUAAAAUUGUUAGAUGGGGCCCAUGCCCACUCUGUAUUUUGAAAAUCCCCCAUCACAUCUCAAGGGACCAUUGUGUUGUCCUCGGUUCCAAACCCUUUUUUUGUAUACUAAUAUUCUUAUUGGAGACCUGUUAAGGAUUAACAAUCACCUAGAAGAAGUAGUUACACUCCUUCACAACUGAACAACGAAUUAGACCUUAAAUUGUCAGUUUGGUAUAAAGAGUUUCAGCAAUUGUCUUACCAGUAUUAGGAUGUCGAAGGUUGACCCCUUGGAUGGAGCAUAUUAGUCACACUUCUGGCCAAUUCAUGACCUUACUCAAUAUUACUCCAUUCUCAUAGACUGAUUAGGUGCGUGUUUACCUCCUUCUCCCCCACCAUGAAAGCCAACAUGUGUCAACAUUGUAUUAAGCUUAUCAUGUCAUUGAUUACGUGUUUGUUUGAGACCCUAAAGAUUUUAGUAACUUACACAUCUUUCUUUCCUGAUCAUCUAUCACAAAGUAAUGUGACUGUUGCAUGUACAUUUCCUCGUCUAGCUCUCUAUUUAGAAAAAUCAUCAUAACAUCUAUCAGGUCGAUGAGAAGACCAUGUGAGGCUAUUAACGAGAGUAAUACUUGGAUGGUGGUCAGUCUGGCUACCUGUGAAUAAGUAUCAAAGAGAUAUUCUUCUUCUUUCCAUGAAUAACGUUUGGUUGCCGAGCCUUGUACUUUUUAAUUGUAUCAUCAGGCCUAAAGUUUUUUUGAACACCGACUCAUAUCUCAUUGGUUUGCAACCAUAUGGACGUUGAGUGAUUUCCAUUGCCCGUUAGCCAAGAUGGAGUUCAUCCCUCUAUGGACGGCUCUUUCUGGUAGUCAACAUGUCGAGGUGCAUAUGCUUCUGCAAUAAAAGUUGGAGUAUCAUCCACGAGGUACACGAAGAAAUUUACAAUCCGCAGUCUCUUGCCCCUACCAAGAGUUUCCUCAUCAUCUUCCUUAGGAUUCUCAUAAAUAUUCCAAAGGAAUGGCAGGCUCGGGAGUCUCUUCAAAUUCUUAUCUAGCAGUGCUUCACAUAUCUCUCAUAGGAAAAAUAUUCUCAAAGAAUGUAGCCUCUUUACACUCCAUAAUUGUAAUGACCUUCACAUCACAUACCUCAAAUUUCACUACUAGAAAUCUACAGCCAACAUUGUUCUUUUAGUGUAGCCAAAAUUUCGCCAAACAACCAAGUACGCAAGUAUGAGAGUGUCAUUGCUCUCUUCUACCAUUGCUCAUAUGGAGUUAUCUCAUUAUCUUUUGUCGGAAACUUUUUCAAGAUAUGAGAUGAGUAUCCUGUGGGUGAAAUGAUGAUACCAUGCCAAAUAAGUAUCAAAUUUUGUGGUAACCCUUCCAACUUUUUAGCACAUGUCAUGUGGAUGAAAUGAUGAUACUAUGCCAAGUUUCAGCAUUUUCACAGUUCAUUUGUAGCGCUUUUCAAUUUCAGGGUCAUUUAGCUCAAAAAAAUCAUUUAAUGCAUGAAAAAUAGCAAAUGAGGUGAGAAAGGGUUGAAAAUUUAUGAGGUGGCUUUGAAUGAUGCUUAUUCAGGGCACAAUAGUCUGGAGUUGAAAUAAGAUUAAAAAAUGAAAUGGCUUUGUAAGAGACGAGAAUUCGUCCAGAACCGUGAUACUCCGAAAGAGAUAGUCCAGUUUCUACACAAAGUGCAUCUUGUUUUUGCCGUAAUCCUUUCAAAUUUUUAGCACAUGUCAUGUGGGAGAAAUGACGAUACUAUGCGAAAUUUCAGCCUUUUCCAAGUUGAUUUGUAGCGCUUUAUAAUUUCAGGGUCAUGUAGCUCAAAAAAUUCAUUUAAUGCAUGAAAAAUAGCAAAUGAGGUGAGAAAGGGUUGAAAAUUUAUGAGGUGGCUUUGAAUGAUGCGUAUUGAGGCCAGAAAAAGUAUGAAGUUGAAAUAAGAUUAAAAAAAUGAAAUGGCUUUGUAAGAGAUGAGUAUUCGUCCAGAAACCUCAUACUUCAAAAGAUAAUAGUCGAGUUUGUACACGAAGUGCAUCCUAUUUUUGUUGUAGCCCUUCCAACUUUUUAGCACAUGCCAUGUGCGUGAAAUUAUGAUACCAUGCCAAGUUUUAGCCUUUUUCGAGUUGAUUUAUAGCGCUUUUCAAUUUCAGGAUCACCUAGCUCAAAAAAAUCAUUUAAUGGAUGGAAAAUAGCAAAUGAGGUGAGAAAUGGUUAAAAAAUGAUGACGUAACUUUAAAUGAUGCAUAUUGAGGGCACAAAAAGUCUGAAGUUAAAAUAAGAUUAAGAAAAUGAAAUGGCUUUGUAAGAGAUUAGUAUUCGUCGAGAACCUUGAUAUUUCGAAAGAGAUAGUCGAGUUUAUACACGAAGUGCAUCCAGUUUUUGCCGUAAUCCUUUCAACUUUUAAGCACAUGCCAUGUGGUUGAAAUGAUGAUAUCAUGCUAAGUUUCAGCCUUUAGAGAGUUGAUUUGUACCACUUUUUAAUUUUAGGGUCAUUAGCUCAAAAAAUGCCAAGUUUCAUGCAUUUAAUGAUUUUUAUUUAGGUAAAUAAUCAUACCAUGCCCAUCCAAGCCACAUCCUAAAAUCUCAACAGUUUCUAACUUCAGUUGUUAUUUUUCAUGCAUUUAACAAUUUAUUUAGGUAAAUGAUUCUUAAAUUAAAAAGCACUACAAAUGAACUCUAAAAAGGUUGAAACUUAGCAUGGUAUCAUUAUUUCACACAUAUAGCAUGUGCUAAAAAGUUCAGAGGAUUACGACAAAAACUGAAUGCACUUCGUGUACAAACUUGGCCGACUACUUCAGAGUAUGAGGGUUUCGGACGAAAACUCAUAUGUUACACGGACAUUUCAUUUUUUUUAACUUGUUUCAACUAUAGACUUUUUUUCAUUCAAUAUGCAUAAUUUCAAGCCACAUCCUCAAAUUUCAACAGUUUCUAACUUCAGUUGUUAUUUUUCAUGCAUUGAAUGAUUUUUUUAGGUAAAUGACCCUGAAAUUAAAAAACACUACAAAUGAACUCUAAAAAGGUUGAAACUUUGCAUGGUAUCAUACAUCACAAUGCCCCAAAAAUCUUGCUCACAUCAUAUUUAAACAGGGACAUAAAUAAAAAUACUCAUCCAAGCUAGAGAUCCCCAAGCAGUACAUAAUAUAUAAUAUCUAGAAAUAGAAGUGUUCGCCGUUGCGAACACUACUCGUCUGAAUCAGAAUAUCCUCAAAUUGGUGGUGGUGGUGCUUGAUGUACGAGGUGACGCUAGACAUAGUUCACGAUUCGAAUCCUGCAGUACAACUCGUAUGCAACGUACACAUCUUUUGCUGUAUACUCUGUUGGAAAUAUGCCCUAGAGGCAAUAAUAAAUUAGUUAUUAUUAUAUUUCUUAGUUCAUGAUAAUCGUUUAUUAUCCAUGCUAUAAUUGUAUUGAUUGGAAACACAAUACUUGUGUGGAUACAUAGACAAAACACUGUCCCUAGUAAGCCUCUAGUUGACUAGCUCGUUGAUCAAAGAUGGUCAAGGUUUCCUCGCCAUAGGCAAGUGUUGUCACUUAAUAACGGGAUCACAUCAUUAGGAGAAUCAUGUGAUGGACUAGACCCAAACUAAUAGACGUAGCAUGUUGAUCGUGUCAUUUUGUUGCUACUGUUUUUCUGCGUGUCAAGUAUUUGUUCCUAUGACCAUGAGAUCAUAUAACUCACUAACACCGGAGGAAUACUUUGUGUGUAUCAAACGUCGCAACGUAACUGGGUGACUAUAAAGAUGCUCUACAGGUAUCUCCGAAGGUGUUCGUUGAGUUAGUAUGGAUCAAGACUGGGAUUUGUCACUCCGUGUGACGGAGAGGUAUCUCGGGGCCCACUCGGUAAUACAACAUCACACACAAGCCUUGCAAGCAAUGUGACUUAGUGUAAGUUGCGGGAUCUUGUAUUACGGAACGAGUAAAGAGACUUGCCGGUAAACGAGAUUGAAAUAGGUAUGCGGAUACUGACGAUCGAAUCUCGGGCAAGUAACAUACCGAAGGACAAAGGGAAUGACAUACGGGAUUAUAUGAAUCCUUGGCACUGAGGUUCAAACGAUAAGAUCUUCGUAGAAUAUGUAGGAUCCAAUAUGGGCAUCCAGGUCCCGCUAUUGGAUAUUGACCGAGGAGUCUCUCGGGUCAUGUCUACAUAGUUCUCGAACCCGCAGGGUCCGCACACUUAAGGUUCGACGUUGUUUUAUGCGUAUUUGAGUUAUAUGGUUGGUUACCGAAUGUUGUUCGGAGUCCCGGAUGAGAUCACGGAUGUCACGAGGGUUUCCGGAAUGGUCCGGAAACGAAGAUUGAUAUAUAGGAUGACCUCAUUUGAUUACCGGAAGGUUUUCGGAGUUACCGGGAAUGUACCGGGAAUGACGAAUGGGUUCCGGGAGUUCACCGGGGGGGCAACCCACCCCGGGGAAGCCCAUAGGCAUUGGGGGUGCCGCACCAACCCUUAGUGGGCUGGUGGGACAACCCAAAAGAGCCCUAUGCGCAUUGGAAGAAAAAUCAAAGAGAAAAGGAAAAAAAAGAAGGAGGUGGGAAAGGGAAGAAUGACUCCACCUUCCAAACCAAGUAGAAUUCGGUUUGGGAGGGGGAGACCUUCCCCCUUGGCUCGGCCGACCCCCUUGGGAGUCCUUGGACCCCAAGGCAAGUCUCCCCCCUCCUCCUCCUAUGUAUAGUGGGGUUUUAGGGCUUAUUUGAGACAACUUUUGCCACGGCAGCCCGACCACAUAUCUCCACGGUUUUACCUCUAGAUCGCGUUUCUGCGGAGCUCGGGCGGAGCCCUGCUGAGACGAGAUCAUCACCAACCUCCGGAGCGCCGUCACGCUGCCGGAGAACUCUUCUACCUCUCUGUCUCUCUUGCUGGAUCAAGAAGUCCGAGAUCAUUGUCGAGCUGUACGUGUGCUGAACGCGGAGGUGUCGUCCGUUCGGCACUAGAUCGUGGGACUGAUCGCGGGACGGUUCGCGGGGCGGAUCGAGGGAUGUGAGGACGUUCCACUACAUCAACCGCGUUCACUAACGCUUCUGCUGUACGGUCUACAAGGGUACGUAGAUCACACAUCCCCUCUCGUAGAUGGACAUCACCAUGAUAGGUCUUCGUGCGCGUAGGAAUUUUUUUGUUUCCCAUGCGACGUUCCCCAACAGUGGUAUCAUGAGCUAGGUCAUGCGUAGAUGUCUUCUCGAGUAGAACACAAAAGUUUUUGUGGGCGGUGAUGUGCGUUUUGCUGCCCUCCUUAGUCUUUUCUUGAUUCCGCGGUAUUGUUGGAUCGAAGCGGCUCGGACCGACAUUACUCGUACGCUUAUGAGAGACUGGUUUCAUCGCUACGAGUAACUCCGUUGCUCAAAGAUGACUGGCGGGUGUCAGUUUCUCCAACUUUAGUUGAAUCGGAUUUGACCGAGGAGGUCCUUGGAUGAGGUUAAAUAGCAACUCAUAUAUCUCCAUUGUGGUGUUUGCGUAAGUAAGAUGCGAUCCUACUAGAUACCCAUGGUCACCACGUAAAACAUGCAACAACAAAAUUAGAGGACGUCUAACUUGUUUUUGCAGGGUAUGCUUGUGAUGUGAUAUGGCCAACGAUGUGAUGUGAUAUAUUGGAUGUAUGAUAUGAUCAUGUUGUAAUAGAUAAUAUCAACUUGCACGUCUAUGGAACGGCAACCGGCAGGAGCCAUAGGGUUGUCUUUAUAACUAACGUUUGUGCUUGCAGAUGCGUUUACUAUUUUGCUAGGAUGUAGCUUUAGUAGUAAUAGCAUGAGUAGCACGACAACCCCGAUGGCGACACGUUGAAGGAGAUCAUGAUGAUGGAGAUCAUGGUGUGACGCCGGUGACAAGAAGAUCGUGCCGGUGCUUUGGUGAUGGAGAUCAAGAAGCACAUGAUGAUGGCCAUAUCAUGUCACUUAUGAAUUGCAUGUGAUGUUAAUCCUUUCAUGCACCUUAUUUUGCUUAGAACGACGGUAGCAUUAUGAGGUGAUCUCUCACUAAAAUUUCAAUACGAAAUUGUGUUCUCCCCGACUGUGCACCGUUGCGACAGUUCUUCGUUUCGAGACACCACGUGAUGAUCGGGUGUGAUAGACUCAACGUUCACAUACAACGGGUGCAAAACAGUUGCACACGCGGAACACUCGGGUUAAGCUUGACGAGCCUAGCAUGUGCAGACAUGGCCUCGGAACACAUGAGACCGAAUGGUCGAGCAUGAAUCGUAUAGUUGAUAUGAUUAGCAUAGAGAUGCUUACCACUGAAACUAUUCUCGACUCACGUGAUGAUCGGACUUGAGAUAGUGGAUUUGGAUCAUGUACCACUCAAAUGACUAGAGAGAUGUACUUUUUGAGUGGGAGUUCUUAAGUAAUAUGAUUAAUUGAAAUAAUUGUCAUAAACAUAGUCUAAUGGUCUUUGCGAAUUACGAUGAAGCUUGCGCUAUAGCUCUACUGUUUUUAUAUGUUCCUAGAGAAAAUUUAGUUGAAAGUUGAUAGUAGCAAACUUUGCAGACUGAGUCUGUAAAACCGAGGAUUGUCCUCGUUGCUGCACAGAAGGCUUAUAUCCUUAAUGCACCACUCGGUGUGCUGCACCUCGAGCGUCGUCUGUAGAUGUUGUGAACAUCCGACAUACACGUUUCUGAUGACUACACGAUAGUUCAGUACAAAAUACUUAAUGACUUAGAAGCAAGGCGCCGAAGACGUUUUGAAACGUCACGGAACAUAAGAGAUGUUCUAAAGAGAUGAAAUUGUGAUUUCGUGCUUGUGCCCUUGUUAAGAGGUAUGAGACCUCCGACAAGAUUCUUUGUCCACAAAGUAAAGGAGAAAAGAUCAAUCGUUGAGCGUGUGCUCAGAUUGUCUGAGUACGACAAUCACUUGAAUCAAGUGGGAGUUAAUCUUCCAGAUGAGAUAGUGAUGGUUCUCCAAAGUCACUGCCACCAAGCUGUGAGAGCUUCGUGAUGAAUUAUAACAUAUCAAGGAUAGAUACAAUGAUCCUUGAGCGAUUCGCGAUGUUUGACACGACGAAAGUAGAAAUCAAGAAGGAGCAUCAAUAGUUGAUGGUUUGUAAAACCACUAAAGUUUCAAGAAAGGCAAGGGCUAGAAGGGAUACUUCGUGAAAUGGCAAAACAGUUGCUGCACUAAUGAAGAGACCCAAGAUUAAACCCAAACCCGAGACUAAGUGCUUCUGUAAUGAGGGGAACAGUCACUGAGGCGGAGCAACUCUAUAUACUUGGUAGAUAAGAAGGCUGGCAAAAGUCGAAAGAAGUGUAUUUGAUAUACAUGAUGUUGAUGUGUACUUUACUAGUACUCCUAGUAGCAUGAGGGUAUUGUAUACCGGUUCGGUUGCUAAGUGAUUAGUAACACGAAAUGAAAGCUACGGCAUAAACGGAGACUAGCUAAAGGCGAGGUGACGAUACGUGUUGGAAGUGUUUCCAAGGUUGAUAUGAUCAAAACGUCGCACGCUCCCUCUACCAUCGGGAUUUGUGUUAAACCUAAAUAAUUGUUAUUUGGUGCUUGCGUUAAGCAUGAACAUGAUUGGAUCGUGUUUAUUGCAAUAUGAUUAUUCAUUUAAAGAGAAUAAUGGUUACUCUAUUUGCUUGAAUAAUCACCUUCAAUGGUUUAUUGAAUCUCGAUCGUAGUGUUACACAUGUUCAUAAUAUUGGUGACAAAAGAUACGAGGUAAUGAUGAUAGUACUACUUACUUGUGGCACUGCCGCUUGAGUCAUGUUGGUAUAAAUUGCAUGAAAAGGCUCCAAGCUGAUGGAUCUUUAUACUCACUUGAUUUUGAAUCACUAGUGACAUGCAAAUCAUACCACAUGAGCAAGGCCUUGUUUUCAUUGAGAUGAAACAAGAUAGUAACUUGUUGGAAGUGAUACAUUUUGAUGUAUGCAGUCCAAUGGGUGUUGAGGCACGCAGUGGAUAUCAUUAUGUUCUUACUUCAAUGACGAUUUGAGUAGAUACAAGAGUAUUUACUUAAUGAAUCACAAGUCUGAAAUAUUGAAAGGUUCAAUUCUGUUUCGGAGUGAAGUUCGUCGUAACAAGAGGAUAAACUGUCUACGAUAUGAUCACAGAAAUGAAUAUCUGAGUUACGAGUUUUGGUACGCAGUUAAGACAAUGUGGAAAUUGUUUCGCAGUUCAUGCCACCUAGAACAUCAUAGUGUGAUGAUGUGUCUGAAUGUCAUAGCCACGCACUAUUUGGUAUGGUGCAUGCUAUGAUGUCUCUUAUCGAAUUACCACUAACGUUUAUGGGUUAUGCAUUAGAGACAACCGCAUUCACUUUAAAUAGGGCACCGCGUAUUUCCGUUGAGAUGACACAGUAUAGACUUAGGUUUAGAGAAAUCUAAACUGUCGUUUCUUGAAAGUUUGGGGCUUCGACACUUAUGUGAAAAAGUUUCAGUCUGAUAAGCUCGAAUCCAAAGCGGAUAAAUGCAUCUUCAUAGGAUAUCCAAAACAGUUGGGUACAUCUCCUAUCUCAAAUCCGAAAGCAAAGUGUUUGUUUCUGGAAACGGAUCCUUUCUCGAGGAAAGGUUUCUCUCGAAAGAAUUGAGUGGGAGGGUAGUAGAACUUGAUGAGGUUAUUGAACCAUCACUUCAACAAGUGUGUAGCAGGGCGCAGGAAGUUGUUCCUGUGGCGCCUACACCAAUUGAAGUGGAAGCUGAUGAUGGUGAUCAUCAAGCAUCGGAUCAAGUUACUACAAGCCUCGUAGGUUGACAAGGUCGCGUACUACUACAGAGUGGUACGGUAACCCUGUCUUGGAGGUCAUGUUGUUGAGCAAUAGUGAACCUACGAGUUAUGGAGAAAGCAAUGGUGGGCCCGAAUUCCGACAAAUGGCUGGAAGCCAUGAAAUCCGAGAGAGGAUCCAUGUAUGAAAACAAAGUGUAGACUUUGGAAGGACUACUUGAUGGUCAUAAGACUAUUGAGUAAAGAUGGAUCUUUGAAAGGAAGACAGACGAUGAUGGUGAUAAGUCACUAUUAAGAAAAGCUCGACUUGUCGCAAAGAUGUUUUCGACAAGAUCAAACUGUUGACUAUGAUGAGUCUUUCUCCCUCGUAGCGAUGCUAAAAGUCUGUUAGAAUUAUGUUAGUAGUUGCUGCAUUAUUUAUGAAAUAUUGCACGUAGGAUGUCAAAACAUUGUUUCCUCGACGGUUUCCUUGAGCAAACAUUGUAUGUGAUACAACCAGAAAGUUUUGUCGAUCCUAAAGAUACUAGCAAGUAUGCAAGCUCCAGUGAUCCUUCAAUGGACUGGUGCAAGCAUCUCGGAGUUGGAAUAUACACUUUGAUGAGAUGAUCAAAGAUUUUGGGUUUGUACAAGGUUUAUGAGAAACUUGUAUUUCCAAAGAAGUGAGUGGGAGCACUAUAGAAUUUCUGAUAAGUAUAUGUGGUAGACAUAUUGUUGAUCAGAAGUAAUGUAGAACUUCUGUAAAGCAUAUAAGGUUGUUUGAAAGGAGUUUUCAAAGGAAUACCUGGAUUGCGCUACUUGAACGUUGAGCAUCAAAGAUCUAUGGAGAUAGAUCAAAAGUGCUUAAUGAAAGUUUCAAUAAGAUGCAUGCCUUGACAAGUUUUUGAAGGAGUUCAAAAUAGAUCAGCAAAGAAGGAGUUCUUGGUUGCGUUGUAAGGUGUAAAUUUUAGUAAGACUCAAAAUCCGACCACGGCAGAAUAAAGAGAAUAGACGAAGGUCGUCUUCUAUGCCUUAGCCGUAGAAUCUAAAGUAUGCCAUGCUGUGUACCGCACCUGAUGUGUGCCUUGACUCAAAGUCUGUUGAGAGGUACAGAGAGUGAUCCAUGAUUGAAUCACUAGCAGCGGUCAAAAUUUAUCCUUAGUAACUAAUGGACUAAGGAAUUUUUCUCAAUUAUGGAGGUGGUUAAAGAGUUCGUCGUAAAGGGUUACGUCGAUGCAAGCUUUGACACUAAUCCGAAUGACUAUGAGUAGCGAAACGGGUUCAUAUAGUAGAGUAGAUAUUUGGAGCAUUUCCGAAUAGCACGUAGUAGCAGCAUCUAUAAGAUGACGCUAAGAUUUGUAAAGAACGCACGGAUCUGAAAGUUUCAGAGCCUUUGACUAAAACCUCUCUCACGAGCAAGACGUGAUCAGACCCCAUAACUAUAUGGGUGUUGGAUUCGUUGGAAUCACAUGGUGAUGUGAACUGGAUUUUUGACUCUAGUGCAAGUGGGAGACUGUUGGAAAUAUGCCCUAGAGGCAAUAAUAAAUUAGUUAUUAUUAUAUUUCUUAGUUCAUGAUAAUCGCUUAUUAUCCAUGCUAUAAUUGUAUUGAUUGGAAACACAAUACUUGUGUGGAUACAUAGACAAAACACUGUCCCUAGUAAGACUCUAGUUGACUAGCUCAUUGAUCAAAGAUGGUCAAGGUUUACUAGCCAUAGGCAAGUGUUGUCACUUGAUAACGGGAUCACAUCAUUAGGAGAAUCAUGUGAUGGACUAGACCCAAACUAAUAGACGUAGCAUGUUGAUCGUGUCAUUUUGUUGCUACUGUUUUCUGCGUGUCAAGUAUUUGUUCCUAUGACCAUGAGAUCAUAUAACUCACUAAUUCCGGAGGAAUACUUUGUGUGUAUCAAACGUCGCAACGUAACUGGGUGACUAUAAAGAUGCUCUACAGGUAUCUCCGAAGGUGUUCGUUGAGUUAGUAUGGAUCAAGACUGGGAUUUGUCACUCCGUGUGACGGAGAGGUAUCUCGGGGCCCACUCGGUAAUACAACAUCACACACAAGCCUUGCAAGCAAUGUGACUUAGUGUAAGUUGCGGGAUCUUGUAUUACGGAACGAGUAAAGAGACUUGCCGGUAAACGAGAUUGAAAUAGGUAUGCGGAUACUGACGAUCGAAUCUCGGGCAAGUAACAUACCGAAGGACAAAGGGAAUGACAUACGGGAUUAUAUGAAUCCUUGGCACUGAGGUUCAAACGAUAAGAUCUUCGUAGAAUAUGUAGGAUCCAAUAUGGGCAUCCAGGUCCCGCUAUUGGAUAUUGACCGAGGAGUCUCUCGGGUCAUGUCUACAUAGUUCUCGAACCCGCAGGGUCUGCACACUUAAGGUUCGACGUUGUUUUAUGCGUAUUUGAGUUAUAUGGUUGGUUACCGAAUGUUGUUCGGAGUCCCGGAUGAGAUCACGGACGUCACGAGGGUUUCCGGAAUGGUCCGGAAACGAAGAUUGAUAUAUAGGAUGACCUCAUUUGAUUACCGGAAGGUUUUCGGAGUUACCGGGAAUGUACCGGGAAUGACGAAUGGGUUCCGGGAGUUCACCGAGGGGGCAACCCACCCCGGGGAAGCCCAUAGGCAUUGGGGGUGCCGCACCAGCCCUUAGUGGGCUGGUGGGACAGCCCAAAAGAGCCCUAUGCGCAUUGGAAGAAAAAUCAAAGAGAAAAGGAAAAAAAAGAAGGAGGUGGGAAAGGGAAGAAGGACUCCACCUUCCAAACCAAGUAGAAUUCGGUUUGGGAGGGGGAGACCUUCCCCCUUGGCUCGGCCGACCCCCUUGGGAGUCCUUGGACCCCAAGGCAAGUCUCCCCCCUCCUCCUCCUAUGUAUAGUGGGGUUUUAGGGCUGAUUUGAGACAACUUAUGCCACGGCAGCCCGACCACAUAUCUCCACGGUUUUACCUCUAGAUCGCGUUUCUGCGGAGCUCGGGCGGAGCCCUGCUGAGACGAGAUCAUCACCAACCUCCGGAGCGCCGUCACGCUGCCGGAGAACUCUUCUACCUCUCCAUCUCUCUUGCUGGAUUAAGAAGGCCGAGAUCAUCGUCGAGUUGUACGUGUGCUGAACGCGGAGGUGCCGUCCGUUCGGCACUAGAUCGUGGGACUGAUCGCGGGACGGUUCGCGGGGCGGAUCGAGGGACGUGAGGACGUUGCAGUACAUCAACCGCGUUCACUAACGCUUCUGUUGUAUGGUCUACAAGGGUACGUAGAUCACACAUCCCCUCUCGUAGAUGGACAUCACCAUGAUAGGUCUUCGUGCGCGUAGGAAAUUUUUUGUUUCCCAUGGGACGUUCCCCAACAUACUCAAUGUUGAUACCGUCAAGUGGGGUCGUCUCUCACUCUUUGUGCUGAUCCGAGGGAAAUUUGGUGUUCAUAUCAACGUACUCCUCGUCGAUCAUGACGACUGUCAUAUGAGUCAUCGAAGUCCUCAUAUGUUCAAGCCUAAAUAUGUCUUGGAUAUCAAUGUGGCAGUUAGCUAGUAUCUCAAUACCGAAGCUUUGCCUCAUCUUGAGCUUGUCAUUCCUUAUAUCAAAGCUAACAAAACAUAUGCCGCUACGAAGGAAGUCCAUGAGUACUAGACAGUGCUUGUCACUACUGCAUCAGCAAUAAAUUAAAAUAAAAUAAAUGUUAUAUACUGCAGCAAAACAAGUAUAUUUCGGCAGAAGUAUAAUAAUUAAGAAUCAUAACAAGUAUAUUUUGGCACAAGUAUAAUAUGGAACUAUAAAGGAAAAUUCGCUCACUUCAACAAAAGAGGAAUCAAAAGAAGCCCUAGAUGUUUUUAUCCUGUGCACUUUUCAUAUAUGAAUCAAAAGAAUAAAUAUAUGCAACAAGGAAAAUUCUUUCACUACAACUAAAGAGGAAUAAAUAUUUCCCAUAGGAUUCAAAUGAAACGUGUUGCUAUCCUAUGCAUUUUUCAUAUCCUAUGAAUUGAUCAAGAAACCUAAAUUAACUAUGACAUAUAUGUUCUCCCAGAGUUUUGCCAAUAUGCAACUAGGAAAAUUGUUUCACUACAACUAAAGAGAUAUUGAUCUUUAGGAUUCAAAUGGAACAUGUUGCUAUCCUAUACAAUUUUCAUAACCUUUGAUCAAAGAAAAGCCUCAAAACUUACCUCAUCCAUUGGAAGACCAUGACGUUUCUAUUGAAACAAAGUUGGAUGACGACAACAUCUUCUAGAUUGGCCGUGUACUCGAGAUCAAGCCCAUGAACUUGUCUUUCUCAUCCGCCACUUCAAGCCCUUCCUCGAAAUAGGAAAGAAAACGCGGCACCAUGGCGCUGUCGUUCGUGUAGACGACAUUGAGUUUGGUCGUGCCAUGUGCGAGCACCUUCCCAUAGCGAGUGAUUGGAUCAUCCAUGGUGAAAGAUAUGGGGAAGAAGAGAGGAGAGAGCAGAGGAGACGAGAAUGGCCGUGGUUACUGUAGCCCUCGCGGUCUGUACCACUCAUCCCGUUUUUCAUCGCGCGAAACGACGCGGUAUGCGAACGGUUUAGACCUUAAGUUUCGGUUUGAGACACCAAUCGGGACUAAAGGGCCUCGCUCCAGGAGAACGGUUGCCACCACCCCUUUAGUCCCAGUUCGUGGCUCAACCCAGAACUAAAGGCCCUUAACGAAUUGGGACAAAAGCCAUUUGGCCUCCAGCCGCUCGAACCGGGACUAAUGGUCACAUUAGUCCUGAUUCAAAACCAAACCAGGACUAAGUGGUCAAACGAAAGACCUGUUUUCUACAAGUGAGGAGUUCUUAUGGAAGCGUGAGGUCGAGCAGAAGAAGAAUAAGAAAGAUGAGGCCGGUCCCUCGACGGUUAUCGCCGUCGAGUCCUUUGAGGAGGUCUGUGACGACUCGGACCGGGAUGCGUUCUGGGUGUAGUUCAUGACCUCCGAUAACGAGGUGCAGUUCGAGAGCUCCGAUGACGCGGAGUAGUUUUAUCUUCGGUGUAGUUCAAGUCAAUGUAGUUUGAACUAGUACUAGUAGUAGAUGAAUGUAGUACCUCAGAACUAGUAAUAGUUGAAUUAGUAGCAGUUGAGUUUGCUAUGGUUUUAUUAACUAGAAUUAUGUAGUGAAUUUGCUAUGUUUGAAGUAUAGGUUUGAAAUAAAAUAGUAGUUGAAGAAUAUAAUUUUACAUCUUUAUUUGCAUUUUUUAUUGAAGUUGCUCUUUACAUCUUCAUUUUGCAUCAUGUGUUAAAGUUGGUUCUUUUUUAAAGAUGUACGUAAAAACAUUUUUUAAUGAUAUAAAUUAUACAACACCUAGGUUUAUGUUUUUAAAUUUGCAUCUUCUAUUCGAGAUGCUCUAUGUAUACGAGGAAAAAGGAUCGAUGCAGGAAGCAUCAGUUCAGUUGUGGUUAGCAACUAAUAUCGUCUUCCCUCUUUCUAUUUUUUCUGGCGGGUGGAGCACCGGCAUGGCCACUUGCCGUCGCUGUUGUAACAGUAAUGGCGAUGGGGCAUGCAUCCGCAGGCAGGAGGGACAAGGGACGAGCUCCGGACUUCUACUAUAAGCAACCGCCAACCAGCGACAGGACAGGCUUCCGAUUAAAAUCAGUCCUCAGUGUGCUCGCAAUCAAGCAACCACGGCCGAACGUGUACCAAGGCUCCGGCGGCGGCGGGUCGUUGGCCGGCCGACCCGUUGACGCGACGACCGCCUCCCCUCCCAUCAACACGACGAUCCCCAAGGCCACGCGGCUCCGCUCAGCACCAAUAAACAAGCCCCUGAACCCUGGUUUGGUUAACCAUGGGUGCGGCUAUCCGCCGGCCUCCGGUGUCACCCAGCGCCAUCUUUCCCGCUAAACUUGUCUUUGAAAGGAACCCGCCCGUGACUUUUUGCGCCGUGCCUGCCGGCCCCGCCCCGGCCGCCUAUAAGAAUCCGGAUGAAUCCGUCGGCUCUGUCUCCCAAAUUAUACCGACCUUUCUGCCUUGCCCAUCGCCGAUCAAGACGAAGCGCCGCACGCCGGUUCCCUUGGCUCACACCCGCCAACGUUCGUCAGUCGGUCAGUGCCGGCCGGGUCGGGUCCAUGGCGGAGAAGAAGGUUUCUUGCUUACAGUCGAGCGAAUUGGGAUUUCUCUCUCUCUCUUCUGACUUCAAUUACGACUCUGCUCAUGUUUGUUCAUCUUGUUUUCUUCUUUGAUGGCUCGGGAAUUCAGGUCGUGGUGAAGCUGGACCUGCACGACGACAGGCACAAGCAGAAGGCCAUCCAGGUCGUCUCCGGUCUCCACGGUACUCUACUCCCCUGCUUCACCUUCUUCCCCAGUUCCGUGGUGAUCGUGGAGGGGACUGGUCAUGGCCAGGAUUUCCAUUGUAGCCCAAUCAUGCGGCUCACCGAUCCAUAUCUCAAUCUGACACUCACGACGUCGACGACUGUUGCUUCCUCAGGAAUAGACGACAUCGCGGUGGACAUGAAGGACCAGAAGAUGACGGUGAUCGGCACCGUCGACCCCGUCCACCUCGUCGAAAGGCUGCGCAGCAAGUUCUUCGCCACGGCGCAGAUGGUCUCCGUCGGCCCGGCCAAGGAGGAGAAGAAGGACGCCGCCAAGAAAGAAGACGAAAAGAAGGAGGCCGACAAGAAGGACCCGGACAAGCCGCCGGCGUGCCCGCCGUACUGCUGGUAUGGGCUGCCGCCGCCGUACCACUGCCCCUGCAGCGCCGAGGAGGACCCCAACUCGUGCGUCAUCUGCUAAAAUCAGCGCGCGCCGCCGAUUCCCUCCUCUGUAUAUUUUGUAGCUGGCCGUGUGCUGCGCUGCCGAUCGAUCAUGCCUUCGACGGUGAUCGACGGCGCACGCUAUACAUAAGGUCAUGUAUCCGGUUAGUCCCUUACCCGGCAGGUGUGCAUCGGCUGCGU